rnacentral:lncRNA from 1 species
UGUUAUCCCGUGUUUACGCUUUCUGUACUCUGUGCUUGUCUUCAUUUCAUCAUGAUGACCGUGCUUGUGUUCUGCUAUGCAUACUUUUGAGUACUUAUUCCGCUGCAAGUAGUUCUUCGCUAAGGAAUUUCCUCACUGGCAAAUUCCUCAGUGAAGAAUUCAUAAAAAUCGCCUAUUCACCCCCCUCUAGUCGAUAUAACGCACUUUCAAUCUUGGAUCACUAAAAGUAAACUGUAGAGUCUUGAGCAUUACAGCUUGAGCCAAUCUUUUGUCCUUAGCUUUUUGAGGGGUCCACAUUUCUAAUCCAUGCCAUGCCAAUCAUUGAACUUUCCUGAAAUAUUCAUCUUGAAAUAGCAUUAGCUCAAUGAGCUAUAUGUUAUUAAUAAUUACCAAAACCACCUAGGGAUAGUUACACUUUCGAUUUCCCCCUUUUUGGUAAUUGAUGACAACAUAUAGAUCAAAGCUUCGACAAAUGAUAAUAAGAUUGAAGUACCUCGUCGCUUUGAGAGGUAUGUGAUAAGCAAGAGCUCCCCCUAAAUUUGUGCAUUAUUUAAGAUUUGCUUUUGAAUGCAAAUGCACAAUCGAUUAGGAUCAUGGGUUACUCUUCCAUGUCACAUACAUCUUGGUGGAGCGCUCAAAAUGAUAUAAAUUAAAAGCAUGCACUCGUCACCAAGCAAAGUGAAUGAUCAUAUAUGGAUAUAAAGGAUAAUAUCAUCCAAGCAAGCAUUAAAGUAGCAUAUGAUCAAACACAUGAUCAUACAAGUAUCUCACACAAGGACAUAAAGUAUAAACCAAGCACACAAUAAAGUUCAACCAAAAGCAAGAGAGAUAAAAGACAAAACACACUCUCUCAAAGCCUAUGAUCUAUACAUAUUUCUCCCCCUUUGGCAACAAGUUACCAAAAUUUUGAAAGUGCAUAGAGCUAUGCGUCUCUCAAGCUUGGUCUUCGAGAGGUGGUGUAGAGAGAACUGCUAGGACGAAGGCAUCAGUUGAUGUUGUUGGAGCUGGUGGAGUGGCUGCUAGAGGUGGCACUGAAGUUAUGGCUGCUGGUGCUGAUGUGGUGGCUCUAGUGUUAGUCAUGGGUACUGCAGCAAACCUACGACCUCUAGGCACUCCCUGAAAAGCAUCAGUAGUUGCCUUCCCUUUCCUCUCUUCUGGUUCCUCCUAGAGCUGCUCAACUGCUGUUUGGAUCUCAGUUACCUUCAGAUCAAGAUCAUAAAAUUUUGUCUCUAUGAUCCUCUCCAAACUCUCCUGAUUCUGAGUCAGGGUGGCCAAUCCCUUCUCAAUCCUCAAAGUAGCUUGAAUCAGAUAUCCAAGCUGGUCUUGUUUUCUUUUCAGGAAAACUUGAGAUGCUUCCUCAACACUAGGCAUCUUGGCAGCUUUCUCUGCUUUAGCUUUUGCUCUCUUCUCUUGUGCUUGAGCUAAUGAAGGUUCAUUCUCAUUCAUGACAACCUCAUUAUCUUCAAACUCAGGGAGCAAGGGUAAGUGCUCUUUGUCCAACAAGUAUGUUCCUGUGCCCAUCUUAGCAUUGAUGAGCUCCUGAAUAUGUGGAGCAUACUCACAACUCCUCUUUUGAUCAUCAGCUCUCCUCUUGAUUGUCUCUACAAUCAGGCUCAUGACUUUAAACUUUUGAGGGACAUAAAAAAUUUGCAACAUGUUGAUGGAAUGUCCUCUGAUCAUCUUGUGAUCUCCUGACUUUGGUAGCAAUGUGUGCCUAAUGACCCACAAGUAUAUUGGAUCUAUCAUAGUCCUUUCGAUAAGUAAGAGUGUCGAACCCAACGAGGAGCAAAAGGAAAUGACAAGCGGUUUUCAGUAAGUUAUUCUCUGCAAGCACUGAAAUUAUCGGUAACAGAUAGUUUGAUGAUAAGGUAAUUUGUAACGGGCAACAAGUAAUGAAAGUAAAUAAGGUGCAGCAAGGUGGCCCAAUCCUUUUUGUAGCAAAGGACAAGCCUGGAAAAACUCUUAUAUAGAGACAAGCGCUCCCGAGGACACAUGGGAAUUAUCGUCAAGCUAGUUUUCAUCACGCUCAUAUGAUUCACAUUUGUUACUUUGAUAAUUUGGUAUGUGGGUGGACCGGUGCUUGGGUGCUGCCCUUUCUUGGACAAGCAUCCCACUUAUGAUUAACCCCUAUUGCAAGCAUCCGCAACUACAAAAGAAGUAUUAAGGUAAACCUAACCAUAGCAUGAAACCAGAGUGAAGUUCAAAUAGACAUGCCGCAGAAGUUCAACUCCUUUACGUAGUGCAAAAACAACACGUCAAAAACAGAGUGAGGUUCAAACAAACAUGCCCGAGAAGUUCAACUACUUCACGUAGUGCGUUGCCAUUCGCAAUGAAGGCGGAAAUCAUGAUCUCGUCAUUUCUCUAAUUUACUUCAAAACGACAGGAAUAUCAUUUGUGUAAAUUCAAGUCCUCGGUCGGAGAAAGUUAAAAAAAUAUUGUGAGAGAGGUUUGUACAAAAAGAAUAUCAUUUGUGUAACACUUACGAAAUGGAUGAGAAAAUUACAAAUGAAAAUACGUCACAGAAGUUCAAUGUGAGAACAGCACGAAGUUCGACUACUAUAGUGAAUGAAUUUGAGAUGAAAAACUUUUAAAAUUGUCGCGAGUAUGAAAAAAUGAUCAACACGGAAAAGUUGUGUGUUUACAGCAGCUUUCCAUCGGUAUAUCACUUGCUCAAUUCCGAUGAGUGGAUGGAGAGCUACAAGCAGUGGAUGGAGAUCUACGAGGAAAAAAAGCACGUGAAAAACAGAGUGAAGUUCAAGUAGACAUGCCGAGAAGUUCAGGUUCUUUACGUGGUGCAUUUUCGAAGAAUCUGUUUCGCGAUAAAGGCAGAACGAAUGGUCUCGACAUUUUCAAAAUUACUUGAAAACGGCUAGGAAUCACAGAAAACCAUCAACAUGAAAAAGUUUCGCAUUUUCCUUAGCUUUUCAACGGUAUAUUAUUUGCCCUGUUCCGAUAAAGUUUGUAGAAAUUACAGCAAAAAUACGUUUUUAGCCAUUUUUAAUUGGACUUAAAACAGUAAGGAGUUGGAAGAAACAACAUAUACUGUCGUGGAAUUGUCACGGCAGAUGUCCUUGAGCUAGGACUUAGUCGUGGAGCCAUCGCAACUAGGAAGCUUGAAGGGGUUAUGCGGGACAAGGAACACGAGGGUUUAUACUGGUUCGGCCCCUUACGGUGAAGGUAAAAGCCUACGUCCAGUUUGAGGUGAUCUUGAUUAUGGUUACGAUCGCUAGGAGCUAAAUAGCUAUCCCGGCUCUCGAUGAGAUUGUCGUCCUCAAACCGCUGCCGGGUCGUCCCUUUAUAUAGGGAGGCCGACGCCCAGCAGCCCUUAGAGUCCCGGCCGGCUCAUAAGAGUGUCCGGCUCGGACUCUCAACUAUACUUGCCUUACGCUACAAGUUCUACCAUAAUACUGAUUGUAUCUACGGGCUUUAAGCCAUAUCCGGGUCUUAGCCCAUCUCUGGCCCAUCAUCUUUAAGCUUGGCUCCGGGCUUCUGGCAAUGACCAUACGAGUAACCCGGCCCCUCCUGGCGGGUGACUCUAGGGUCUAUAUCCUCAACAUUAGGCCCCAGAUUGAUUUGAGCCGGCUCAUGUCAAUCUUCAACUCUUCUGACAGAAAAAAAAUCUCUGGCUUACCAUUCAUGUGAAGGCCAUAACCCGGAGUGACGUCAUCCUCUGGACUCCGUAUAAUCCGCCGUGACGUCAUCCUCCAUUAAGUCCGUUUUUUACUCCGCCAGAUCCGCAACGGAUCUUUGCCUUUACUGUCAUUUCAAAAAUCGAGGCGUCGUGGGGGGAGAUAACCACGCCGUGGUCUCCUUGAAUCUCGCGCCCACUUACGACCUCGCCUUAUAAAUAGGCCAGCCCAACGGGCUCUUCUCACGCUCUCUUCUUCCUCCUCGCGCCGUCGCUCCUCUGCCCGAGCUCUGCCAUUGCCGCCGCCGUCGCGCCCCUGAUCUUCAUCAACCCGGCCGCUGCAUCACCCUGACUCGGACCAGAUAAACUGCGGCGACUUCCGCUCCUCUCCAACUCCGGUGAGUCUCUUCUGCCUUGUUAGAACAGAUCUGCGGUAGAGUUUAAACAGUUCAUCCGUGUUCUUCGCCAUUGUCCGCAGGCUUCAGUAGUUCUCGUAGUUGCCACCCUUGCUUGAUCUUAGAUAUGUAUAGACUUGCUGCAGUAGUUGUUUAUUACUCAUUUCACCUGUAAAACACACUUCUUUCCACUACAUAAGAUCUCCUUCGAGCUCAAGAACUCCCCUGCGUCCGCAUUUUAGGUCUAGAAAAUUUUCUUUGCUCCGACCAUUUUGAUCCAAAAAAGUUACGGUAGUAUGCGAAACCUGUUUUACCACACUUAGUAAAAACUGCAACCAUUGAGAAUCUUGGCGGCUUACAUUUCCGGCUUAAAGAAAACACGCACCGUAGAACUUUCCGGUUUAAAGAGAACCAUGCUCUGUAGAAUCCUCCUGCGGCUUAAAUAACCCACUGCAUCUGAAUAUAUAUAUCAUUAGUCCCCUUCAUAAGCCGCCAUCUUAGUUUGAACGAUAGAUCUCCGGCUUAUAUUUAACCCGGACACUUUUCUCUUUAUCAUAGCCUACCAACCUUCACCAUGCCUCCCAAGGCUCCCAUCACUUGCAACUGGAUGAGGUCCAACGUCACCGACGAGACCCUGGCCAAUUUCGUUAAGUCCGGAUAUUUGCCUAAAAAGGAAAUCAUGUCCUACCGUGCCCCUGACCCGUCGGAAGAGAGACCACAGCCAAGGGACGGGGAGGUAGUGAUCUUCGCAGACCAUAUGAGCCGGGGAUUCGCACCGCCCGGCUCAAAGUUUUUCAGGGACGUGCUCAACUCCUUUGACCUACGGCCUCAGGAUAUAGGACCCAACUCCGUAUCCAACAUCUGCAACUUCCAAGUCUUUUGCGAAGUGUACCUUGGAGAAGAGCCUAGUCUGCUGCUUUUCAGAGAGCUGUUUUACUUAAACCGCCAAAAUGAGUGUGCCAACGGGCCAAGUCUGGAGUUAGGUGGCAUCUCCAUCCAGCGGCGUAGGGACUGUCUUUUCCCUUACGUAGAGCCGCCGAGCCACCCCAAGGACUGGAAUAUGACUUGGUUCUACUGCCAAGAUACGUCCCCGGCUGACGAGAAUCCGCUGCCCGGCUUUCGCCCAACACGUCUAGAGCCGACUCAUCCACUGUCGGACAAACUGACUGCAGCGGAACGUCAGCCUCUACUUCCAACUAUCAAUAAGAUCAAGGCCCUGCUAGGCAACGGUCUGAACGGAAUCGACCUGGUCCGGGUCUGGAUCUCAUGGCGGGUGAUCCCAUUAAGCCGCCGCCCCGGCUUAAUGUGUGAGUACACCGGGCGAAAGGAUGACCCUCAGAGGCACAGUCGCAAUGAUCUUCCAGAAGACGUUGCUGAGGAAGAGACCAAGGCUCUGUUAAACGAGAGUCUGGCAGACUGUGGAAGGACCGGGUUAGCCCCCUUCUGCAAGACCAACCCAGCCCCAGCGGUAAGCCGCUGACUUUAAUGUUUUAUCUCCUUCUGCAUAUAACCUGCAUCUGAACCGUUUUGAAAAUUCAUCCUUGUAUUUCUCAGGCUGAUGAUAAGUUCUGGCGGGUCAAAUAUGACCAUGAGGCGGCCAAGAAGGCCAGGAAGGCGAAGAAAGCCGCCAAGAAAGCCGCCCCUCGUAAAAAAGGAAGCAGACCUACUGCUUCGGAGCUGAUGCAACUAAGCGAUAGCUCCGAGUCAGAGGUAACCCCUAAGCCUUUAAAUUCUUGCUGUACUUGUUGUUUGUUGCUGUCCGCCUUAUCAACACUUGCUCAUUGACAGGAUGACACCGGCGCCAAUAACCCGGUGGUUGAAGAGGUAAUGUCACUUUCCUCCGACUCGGAACCCUUGCCACAGCUGAAAGUCCGAAGGGUGACCCGGAAAGUAAGCUUUUCACAUCCUUUAGCUCAUCAAGACCCUCAAUUUCUUUUGAAGCGACAGGUUCACGAAAGCCGGCGUCACACCCGGACCAACAAGGACACCGAUCUCUCCGCCGGGUUACCCGACGCAACAAGGAAGCGUCGCACUGAGGUUUUUUUCUCACUUGUACCCUUUUCAUCCGUUGGCGGGUGUUAUCAGUCAGCCACUCAACUCUUCUGACUCCAAUUAUCAGGAGACCUCCCCCUCUUCGGGUGACUCCAUGCAGUCAAAUCUGCCGGCCUUCAAGACUGCGCCCGGGUAACAACAAUCAUCUUACAUUAUCUUUGUCUGUACUUACUCUUUGUGUGCCUAACACUUCUGUCUUUUCAGUGCCCAGGCGAAGCUCACCAAAAGAGCGAAGAAGACCAGGUCAGCCGGAGUGCCGGACAUACCUGAACCGGAGGUGACGGCUAAAGAGCCGCCAGCUGCCUCCGCCCCCGAAGCCACCACUGCAAUGGACACGGCACCUGAGGCCUCAGCCCCGACUACCAAGGCAACGACCGAAGCUUCGGUUAACCCGGAGGCCUCCGGCUCAGCCCCACCAGCAGACGACCCGGACGUGGUAAUCACCCGGACGGAGUUCGUUGAGCCGGGGAGACCGACUGCGCUGGCCAAAUGCUCCGCGAAGGGGGAGUUGCUGCAGCCCCACCGGGUGAACCUGGACCUCUCCGGCUACACCGACUUGAGCAUUGGAGAGCUCAUCUCUGGCUACAUCAGCCAAGUACACAAGAGCCGGGACGCCGAGGUCGCCAUGGUCAACCAGAUCCAACAAAAAUCUGAGGUAUCCUUCUGCUGUCUUCUUACUUACUGCAUAGUUACCUUUGCCAUGCUAGCCCCCAAGUCGACGACUUAUACUUGAAUAUGUUGUAGACUUAGGUUCCGGCUUAGUCAACUGAGCCGGCAGUAUGUAGAUAGAUACGUUCAAUAUGCAUUAGCCCCCAAGUGCCAAGUGUCUUUGCUUGGAAAACGCUUGGGACUUAUAUAAUGACUGUUAAUAACCCGGAAAUAUAUGCAGGCUGUUGGCAAGAAACUAGAGGCGGACCUUGCGGAUCUCAAGAGCCGGAUGAAGAUGCAGGAGAUGGAGACCCGGAAGGCAAACGCCAAGUUUGUAUCCAGCAUCGCCACUCAAGAAAAAUUUAAGACCGAGUUUGAUGCUGAGAGAAAAGCCUGGGUCGAAGAGAAGGCCGCACUGGUGACCCGGGCGGAACAGGCGGAGAAGGCUCUUGCUGAGAAGACCGCCGAGCUCUCCGGCCUAAAGCGCCAGGUUACCCAAAUGGUGGCCGCUAUUUUCGGUAAGUCGCCUCACCGGCUUUCAUCAAGUCCAUAUAUGUCAUGAUUCAUCCUUGUCACCGGCUUAUCUGAUUCUGUUAAGCAGGUCCCAGGAGUGCCAACCUCAACCAGAGCGUGGUCACCAAGCUAAAGGCCAUGUACACCCUGGUGGAACAGCUCUACACUGGGUCACAGUGUGCCUUAGCUGUGGUGGCCCUAUCCAAUGAGGUGCCAACUCAUCUGGCCGAAGUCCUGCGCCGGCUCGCCGUUCUGCCUCAGCGGAUCCAAGAGCUGCGACGGGCCUCCACGAGAGCCGGAGCAAUCGCCGCGCUGAGCCGGGCCAAGGCAUUCCUGCCGGAGCUAGACCCGGCAGACAUCGCCCUGGGUUACCCAAGCCUGAAGGAAGAUGGCUCAGCCUUCGACCAGAAGGACUUCGCGGCAUGUGUGAAGGCUGUACGCCCGGUGGCCACCCUCAUCGGGAACGACACCGACUUGACCAAGUACCAGCCGGGUUAUGAUGCGGAGAAUCAGAGGAUUCCAACCCCUCGCUAUGAAGCCCUCAAUCUGAUCCCUCCGGCUCGUCAGCACACCUUCGCCCCGGAGAUUGACCCGGCCGGGUUAAUUGACGAAGAAGCCCAGUUCGAAGCUCUUAGCGGCAUCGACUGGAAAUCAUCAACCUUCGAGGUCUUGGGAUCAGACGGAGGAGAAGACAGGAAUGAGCCGGGGACUUCAACUCAGCGGGCAUCAUAAUUUAGCUGGCGGCUUAUCAAACAUUGUUCCAUCUUUUAGACUUGGAGAGUUAUUGUAAUAGAGUAGGUGCAACAGUUUAUCUCUGCCGUGCCAUCGUGCACGUUUUGAAUGCGAAAGCCCUUUGAAUUUUCCUCUUUGAUAUUUCUCCGGGUCAUAAUCAUCCCUUUGUUUUUCUCAACCUCAAAAGGUGCCUUUAAGUAUCUGCAUAUACAAGGCAAAUCACAAGUCCCGAGGCGGCUUACCGCCCUGAGAAUCAGGUGUUUGAGAUAAAUAACCCGGAAUAUGAAUCAAAAAAGACUGGUCCUUAAUUAUACUCUGAACAUAGCCAAAAUAAUACACUUAACAGCCUGUAAGCAUCUUCCGGUUUAAAUAACCCGGGUAGCAAGGUUGACACCUUAACUCCGAUUUACUUGCCUUGAUGACACCCAUGACGUGCAACUAACACUGCAAACCAAAGUUAAGCCAGCAAGUGAGACCCGGCCAUGCACCCCUCAGAGUAAACUUUUGAAAAAGCAGAAGAACUUAGGGGCUUCCGGUUCGAAUACGACCAGAGACCCGGCCCAAAGGGGUUAAGCCAAGAUUCGGAUACGAUCAUAUAGCCCCCAGUGGGUGCGGCGAUGCCAAUCAAGAGGGUACCGACAGCUAUGUUCUCUUUGGUUCGAAUACGACCCAUGUUUGAACAGGAAGCCCCCAAGUGAUUCUUAAAAUUGUUCAACGACGCUGAUUCGAAUACGAUCCACGUCGGUUCUCAGAGGGGUUAAACUACGAUUCAAAUAUGACCAAAGGCAACCUCCCAAUGAGCUCGGCACUUGGCCAAUCAAAUGGGUAUCGACAACUAUGUUCUCUUUGGUUCGAAUACGACCCAUGUUUGAACAGGAAGCCCCCAAGUGACUUUACUUCUUACGGCUAGAUUCGAAUACGAUCAUAAGCCGGAUCCUCCUUGAAGUCAGCAUGUAAUCUUGUAAUAAAAACAACACACACAUAUUUGGAGGAGAGAAAAGGACAGAGGUCCUGCUUUAUUGUUUAUCAUAAUAUAUACAUGGCCGAGAUAAAUAUGUACACCACGAGAGCCGGUAGCUCAAGUGUAGUAAGGCCGAAGCUGAGCUAUGUUCCACGGCCGACGGGUCUCUUCCUCAGAUUUACGUGAAUGUUUGUGCUCCCGAAAAUCAAUGAGGUAAUAUGACCCGUUGUGCAAGUUCUUGCUGACCACAAAGGGCCCUUCCCAAGGUGGGGAUAACUUGUGUGCAUCUGUUUGAUCCUGGAUGAGCCGGAGCACAAGGUCGCCUUCCUGGAAGACCCGGGAUUUGACCCGGCGGCUAUGAUAACGGCGCAGGUCUUGUUGGUAAAUCGCUGAACGGGCUGCUGCCACAUCACGCUGUUCGUCCAACAAGUCCAGAGCAUCUUGGCGCGCCUGUUCAUUAUCCGUCUCAACAUAAGCCGCCACGCGAGGUGAAUCGUGACGGAUGUCGCUGGGGAGGACUGCUUCUGCUCCAUAAACCAUGAAGAAAGGCGUGAAGCCUGUAGACCUGUUAGGAGUAGUGUUGAUGCUCCAUAAGACGGAGGGCAACUCCUCCACCCAACAACCCGGCGUCCGUUGCAAAGGGACCAAAAGCCGGGGCUUGAUACCCUUCAGAAUUUCCUGAUUAGCUCUCUCAGCUUGACCAUUGGAUUGAGGAUGAGCCACUGAAGAAACAUCAAGUCGGAUAUGCUCUCGUUGACAAAACUCUUCCAUGGCGCCUUUGGAGAGAUUGGUGCCAUUGUCAGUUACAAUGCUGUGCGGAAAACCAAAGCGGAAAAUCACCUUUUUCAUAAAUUGAACCGCCGUGGCUGCAUCACACUUGCUAACUGGCUCAGCUUCCACCCACUUUGUGAAUUUGUCAACUGCCACCAAGAGGUGGGUCUUCUUAUCUUUGGAUCUUUUAAAAGGCCCAACCAUGUCAAGCCCCCAGACCGCAAAGGGCCAAGUGAUUGGGAUCAUCCUCAACUCCUGAGCCGGCACGUGAGCCCGUCGUGAGAACAAUUGGCAACCAUCACAUUUACUGACCAAGUCCUCUGCAUCAGCAUGAGCCGUUAGCCAAUAAAAACCAUGACGGAAAGCCUUGGCCACAAGGGAUUUUGAGCCGGCAUGGUGGCCACAAUCUCCUUCAUGGAUCUCACGCAAGAUCUCUUGACCUUCCUCAGGGGAGAUACAACGUUGAAAUGCCCCGGAAACACUGCGAUGAUGCAACUCGCCAUCGAUAAUGAUCAUUGACUUAGCCCGCCGGGUUACUUGCCUGGCCAAAGUUUCAUCCUCAGGCAACUCUCCCCGGGUUAUAUAAGCCAGAUAUGGCAUUGUCCAGUCUGGUAUGACAUGAAGAGCCGCCACCAGUCGUGCCUCCGGAUCAGGGAUAGCCAAGUCUUCCUCUGUAGGCAACUUAACCGAAGGGUUAUACAGGACAUCCAGGAAAGUGUUAGGUGGCACCGGCUUUCGCUGAGAGCCUAGCCGGCUUAGAGCAUCAGCUGCCUCGUUCUUCCUACGAUCAAUGUGCUCGCCCUGAAAGUGCCCAGCAAUGGCAUCAACCUCGCGGCGAUAAGCCGCCAUGAGAGGAUCCUUAGAAUCCCACGUGUCUGAUACUUGUUGAGCCACCAAGUCUGAGUCACCAAAGCACCUUACCCGGCUUAAGCUCAUCUCCUUAGCCACCCGAAGACCGUGGAGCAAAGCCUCGUAUUCAGCCGCAUUGUUAGUGCAAGGAAACAUCAACUGUAGCACAUAACGGAACUUGUCACCCUUAGGGGAAGCCAAUACAACGCCAGCCCCCGAGCCCUCCAGCUGCCUGGACCCAUCAAAGUGAAUAGUCCAAUAAGUGUUGUCCAGCUUUUGCUCAGGCACUUGUGACUCUGUCCAAUCAUUGAUGAAAUCCACCAAGGCCUGAGAUUUAACAGCAGUGCGUGGCACAUAUUUGAGGCCAUGAGGUCCAAGUUCUAUAGCCCACUUAGCAAUUCUCCCUGUGGCCUCUCUGUUUUGAAUAAUAUCCCCAAGAGGGGCAGAACUGACCACAGUGAUGGGAUGACCCUGAAAAUAAUGCUUAAGUUUCCGGCUCGCCAUGAACACACCAUACACAAGCUUCUGCCAAUGCGGGUACCGCUGUUUGGACUCAAUGAGCACUUCACUGACAUAAUAAACCGGCCGCUGAACCGGAUGCUCCUUACCCGCCUCCUUGCGCUCCACCACAAUAGCCACGCUGACUGCUCGUGCGUUUGCCGCCACAUACAGUAGUAAGGGCUCCUUAUCAACCGGAGCAGCAAGGACCGGGGGCUCUGCCAGCUGCUUCUUCAACUCCUCAAAAGCGGUAUUAGCCGCAUCAUUCCAGACAAAGUUAUCAGUUUUCUUCAUCAACUGAUAUAAGGGCAUAGCCUUCUCACCCAAACGGCUUAUAAACCGGCUUAAAGCAGCGAUGCGACCCGCCAAGCGCUGUACGUCAUUUAUACACGCCGGCUUAGCUAGGGAGGUGAUGGCCUUGAUCUUCUCCGGGUUAGCCUCAAUGCCUUUGUCAGAAACCAAGAAGCCCAGUAGUUUGCCUGCAGGAACACCAAAAACACACUUGGCCGGGUUAAGCAUCAUCUUAUAGACCCGGAGAUUAUCAAAGGUUUCCCUUAAAUCAUCUAUCAGGGUUUCCUCUUUGAUGGAUUUAACCACAAUAUCAUCCACGUAAGAAUGAACAUUGCGCCCGGUCUGUUUAUGAAGACAGUUCUGUACACAAUGCUGGUAAGUCGCCUGUGCACACUUGAGUCCAAAGGGCAUAGACACAUAGCAGAAGGCUCCAAAAGGAGUGAUGAACACCGUCUUCUCCUGGUCCUUAACUGCCAUCUUAAUCUGAUGAUACCCGGAAUAAGCAUCCAAGAAACUUAAGCGUGCACAACCUGCCGUAGCAUCAAUGAUUUGAUCAAUACGGGGGAGAGCAAAAGGAUCAGCCGGACACGCCUUGUUCAAGUCCGUGUAGUCCACACACAUCCGCCAGGUGCCGUUCUUCUUGAGCACGAGCACCGGGUUAGCCAACCACUUUGGGGAAAGACUUCAACGAUGAACCCGGCUGCCAAGAGCCGGGCCACUUCUUCACCAAUAGCUUUCCGCCUCUCUUCAUUAAACCGCCGGAGAAACUGUCUGACCGGCUUAAAUUUCGGAUCAACAUUGAGAGUAUGCUCAGCGAGUUCUCUAGGUACACCUGGCAUGUCAGAGGGUUUCCAUGCGAAGAUGUCCCUAUUCUCACGGAUGAACUCGAUGAACGCGCUUUCCUAUUUUGGAUCCAGAUUGGCACUGAUGCUAAACUGCUGAGAUGAAUCUCCUGGAACAAAAUCAACAAGCUUAGUUUCAUCAGCCGACUUAAAUUUCAUCGCCGGCUCAGUCUCCGUAGUCGGCUUUUUCAGAGAGGUCAUAUCUGUUGGGUCGACAUUGUCUUUGUAAAACUUCAACUCCUCUGUAGCACAAACAGACUCUGCAUAAGCCGUGUCACCUUCCUGACACUCUAGAGCCACUUUUCGGCUGCCGUGAACCGUAAUAGUCCCGUUGUGACCCGGCAUUUUGAGCUGUAAGUACACAUAACACGGCCGUGCCAUGUUAUGGACUUCUUAUAGCAUGGUAUGGACUUCUUAUCUUGACCACCUCCAAGGUCAACUUCUCCACCCUGUAGUUGUUCUCAUCACCAAAAGCCACUUCCAAUUCGAUCUUGCCGACUGGAUAAGCCGACUUACCAGGUACCACACCAUGAAAGAUAGUGUUGGACUGGCUGAGAUUCUUAUCAACCAACCCCAUACGACGAAAAGUCUCAUAAUAGAGGAUGUUGAUGCUGCUGCCUCCGUCCAUGAGCACCUUUGUGAACUUGUAUCCUCCCACUUGAGGAGCCACCACUAAGGCCAAGUGGCCCGGGUUAUCCACCCGAGGAGGGUGAUCCUCCCUACUCCACACUAUGGGCUGCUCAGACCAUCGUAAGUAGCGUGGGACUGCCGACUCAACAGCAUUCACAGCCCUCUUGUGAAGUUUCUGGUCUCGUUUGCACAAACUAGUGGUAAACACAUGAUACUGUCCGCCGCUAAGCUGCUUUGGAUUGGUCUGAUAACCCCCCUGCUGCUGUUGAUGACCCUGGCCAGACUGUUGAUUAAAGCCCCCUUGACCGCUCUGAGGGCCAGAAUUUGAGCCGCCGCCCGGGCCAUGAAAGCCGCCGGCGCCUGAGCCGCCGCCCGGGCCAUUGUAGUUUUUAAAGGCCUUCAUGAUUGCACAAUCCUUCCACAGAUGAGUCGCUGGCUUCUCCCUAGACCCGUGCCUCGGACAAGGCUCAUUCAACAGCUGCUCCAGCGAAGGUCCUGACCCGCCGCCUCGGGGAGGGGGCCUCCCCUUGCGUCGCUGGUUGUUGCCUUGUGCGCUGGCGUUGGCUACAAACUCUAGGCUGCCAUCGGCCUUACGCUUGCCUCCUCCUUGGUUCCCCGGGUUAAACUGAGGACCCUUGCCACUGCCGUUCUUCUUUCCCUUCCCUGUCCUUUCAUCAUCUGAAGGGAGAUCCUUGGUACCAUCGGAAUCGGCGUACUUGACAAGAGCCGCCAUUAGUGUACCCAUAUCGGUGCAGUCGCGCUUAAGCCGCCCGAGUUUCAUCUUAAGGGGCACAAAGCGACAGUUCUGUUCCAACAUUAAGACUGCAGAGCCGGCAUCCAUCUUAUCUGAUGAAUGUAUGAUCUCCUUGACCCGGCGAACCCAAUGGGUCGUGGAUUCACCCUCCUGCUGCUUACAGUUAGUCAAAUCCACAAUUGACAUAGACUGCCUACAGGUAUCUUUGAAGUUUUGGAUGAACCGGGCUUUUAGCUCAGCCCAAGACCCAAUGGAAUUCGGUGGUAGCCCUUUCAACCACGUGCGGGCAGUUCCAUCUAACAUCAUGGUGAAAUACUUGGCCAUGGCCGCCUCGCUGACCUCCAGCAAUUCCAUAGCGAUCUCAUAACUCUCAAUCCAGGCCGCAGGCUGUAAGUCCGCUGUGUAGUUAGGCACCUUCCUAGGGCCUUUGAAGUCUUUAGGUAGACGUUCAUUACGGAUAGCUGGCACCAAACAAGGGACACCCCCGGUCCUGGUAGGGAUACCCACAUCAACGGAAGUUGUUGGAUAAGCCGGGGGGGUCUGGUAAGCCGUCAACUGAGGUACUUGCUCCGCCUCUUGCCGUGCUUGGUCUGCCGCGUAAAAGGCUCCAUUAUGAGCCGGGCCAUGGCUCGGGGGCGGGUCAUGGCGUCGGACAUUACUUGAGCCGGUUGCUGAGACCAUGUGCCGGCUGUAACUCGGGCCCUGGCCUGGACAAGGGGUCGAGUGGAUCCUAUCCCGGCUGUAGGAGUACGCCUCUUGCUGCGCCAGUGCUGUCUGAAGGAGUUCCAUGACCCGGCGGGUCUCAAUAGCCAUCGGAGAGUCGCCGUCAACGGGUAGAGCCGCUAGCCGUGCUGCCGCAGCGACCAUGUUCUCCAGCGGGUUAUUAUAAUGACCUGGGGGUAUUGGCACGUACUGAGGCGGGGCAGGGGGCACCUGGGGAGGCCCCAUCAUUCGUGGCUGAAUAAGGGGUCCAGACCCGGGUGCUAUGACCCCUGGCGGGUUACUAGACCCUGCACCUGGCGUAUUGAAGAGGUUGCGUGGAUCGUAAACCGGUGGGAGUCGAGACUGGGCCUUUUGAUGCCUCCUUCUCAUGACCUCAUUGGCCGCGUUCUGAUCCAUCGUGAGUUGGAAGGACUGCGCCUGAAUCAGCUGAGUCUGGGCCUCGAGAGCCGCCCGCUCCGCAGCCAGCCUGAUCCCUUCCGCUGCAAGAUCCUCUUUAGCUUUUAUCAGAUCCAAUUUUAACUGUGCCACCUCCGCAUCAUGCUGAGCUUGAUCCGCCGGGUCAACCGUGGCGGUUAACAGGGCCGUCAUCUUGUCCGUGAGAUCCAUCAGCACCUGAGCCGGAGAAGGCACCGGGUUUCCCGAUCCGGCAGCGGGGCUCUGAACAGGCUGUGCACCAGCCAUAAAAACUCCAACCUGACUUGGCGGCUCAAAAAGGUCCGGAAUACUGUCGCCAUCGGAACAACCCAUGAGCCUGCCAUCUUGAAGUUGGUACAACGAGUUUGACUCAUCGGUGGCCGACUCGCCGUCAGAGCCGGCGGCCGCCUCAUCACCGGACCCAGAUGGAUCAGAGGGCCCUCCAUGGAUGCAUCCCACAAAAGCGCGCCUUAAGGCAGGCCGGGCCCGGGCGGGUCGUGCGUGCUGAGCCGUUUCGAUGAGAUCGGCGCAGAGAUCCGGCUCGGGGCCCGGCUCACCAAUCUUGCCAAUGAAAACAUGAAUUCCGCCGAAGGGGACCCGGUACCCGUACUCAAUUGAGCCGGCGUCGGGGCCCCAGUUUGUAUCGUCGAUGUAGAGCCUGCCGCGACGACUCUUGGUCAUCCGGCCCACAGUGUAUCCCUUGAGCCCUUCGAAGCUGCCCUUCAAGAACUCAAAUCCACCGUGCGCUGGCCCCACGGUGGGCGCCAACUGUCGUGGAAUUGUCACGGCAGAUGUCCUUGAGCUAGGACUUAGUCGUGGAGCCAUCGCAACUAGGAAGCUUGAAGGGGUUAUGCGGGACAAGGAACACGAGGGUUUAUACUGGUUCGGCCCCUUACGGUGAAGGUAAAAGCCUACGUCCAGUUUGAGGUGAUCUUGAUUAUGGUUACGAUCGCUAGGAGCUAAAUAGCUAUCCCGGCUCUCGAUGAGAUUGUCGUCCUCAAACCGCUGCCGGGUCGUCCCUUUAUAUAGCGAGGCCGACGCCCAGCAGCCCUUAGAGUCCCGGCCGGCUCAUAAGAGUGUCCGGCUCGGACUCUCAACUAUACUUGCCUUACGCUACAAGUUCUACCAUAAUACUGAUUGUAUCUACGGGCUUUAAGCCAUAUCCGGGUCUUAGCCCAUCUCUGACCCAUCAUCUUUAAGCUUGGCUCCGGGCUUCUGGCAAUGACCAUACGAGUAACCCGGCCCCUCCUGGCGGGUGACUCUAGGGUCUAUAUCCUCAACAUAUACCAAAAAAUUUCGCAUUUGGACGUACGGUUAAAAAAAUAGAUGGAAAAUACGAACUCGGUGGAACUUGUACCAUUUUCUAAAUUACUCUUAAACCGUUCAAAAUUAGAAAAAACUUUCUACAUGAAAAAGUAGUGCAUUUUCAUAAGCUUUCCAACUCCAUAUCAUUUUCCUCAAUUGGAUUAGCUGUUUAGAAAUUACAUCGAAAAUACGAACUCGGUUGUUCAGUUUGCGAUAUUUUACGAUUUUCCAAAUUACUCUUUAACCGUAUGGAAUUAGAGAAACUUUCAACAUGUGGAAGGAGCGGUUUUGUAGCAGCUUAACAACGCCAUAUUAUUUGCCUCAUUCCGAUAAACGGUUUAGAAAUGCGAUCGAAAAUACGAUUCACGUUUUUUGUAUGAAGAAAAAACGGUUUUCAAAACUGCUCUUAAACCGCUUAAAUUUCGCCAAAAAUUUAACUUGGGUCAUGAUACUGGUGUCCAUAGCUUUCCAAUGGUAUAUCGCAAGCCCCAUUUGGGCAAUGUUGGCGGAAGUUCAACCUAGCACUGGGAGAAGUUCAGGUCGAACAACUCAGGCAGUAAAAUUGCAAAAAACGCAAUUUCAUCACGACUCGAGAGCAAAAUCCGCCAAUGAGCGAGAUUCCUACUUAAAACUGGUAUUUAGUUGCUAAAAAACGUUUCUAGAUUAGACUAACAUCAUAUAGAACACGACUAACAAGAAUAAUUCACGGGGGAAGCCACGGUUGCGAAGAUAGCCCGAAGGUCGGGUUUGUACAGAGGGAAGUUCAGGCGCGUUACUUAGGCAGUUCACGUUGUGAUCAGAAUAUUAUUCUGAUCCCGUGAUCAGAAUAAUGUUUAUGUAUAUAUAUAUAUAUAUAUGUAUAUGUGUGUGUGUGUUGCUGUUACAAAAAUGAUCAUGAUGCCUUCAUGUCCGUAUUUUAUUUUACCGACACCUCUAUCUCUAAACAUGUGGACAUAUUUUUCGUUAUCGGCUUCCGCUUGAGGACAAGCGAGGUCUAAGCUUGGGGGGAGUUGAUACGUCCAUUUUGCAUCAUGUUUUUAUAUCGAUAUUUAUUGCAUUAUGGGCUGUUAUUACACAUUAUGUCACAAUACUUAUGCCUAUUCUCUCUUAUUUUACAAGGUUUACAUGAAGAGGGAGAAUGCCGGCAGUUGGAAUUCUGGGCUGGAAAAGGAGCAAAUAUUAGAGACCUAUUCUGCACAACUCCAAAAGUCCUGAAACUUCACGGAGGCACGUUUGGGAAUAUAUAAAAAAUAUUGGGCGAAGAAAGAACCAGAGGGGGCCACCCACCACCCAUGAGGGUGGGGGCGCGCCCUACCCCCUGGGCGCGCCCCCUGCCUCGUGGGCCCCCUGGCAGGCCUCCGGUGCCCAUCUUUUUCUAUAUGAAGUCUUUCGCCCUGGAAAAAAUCAGGAAGAAGCUUUCGGGACGAAGCGCCGCCGUCUCGAGGCGGAACCUGGGCAGAACCAAUCUAGGGCUCUAGCGGAGCUGUUCUGCCGGGGAAACAUCCCUUCGGGAGGGAGAAAUCGUCAUCAUCAUCAUCACCAUCGAUCCUCUCGUCGGGAGGGGGUCAAUCUCCAUCAACAUCUUCACCAGCACCAUCUCCUCUCAAACCCUAGUUCAUCUGUUGUAUCCAAUCUUUGUCUCAAAACCUCGGAUUGGUACCUGUGGGUUGCUAGUAGUGUUGAUUACUCCUUGUAGUUGAUGCUAGUUGGUUUAUUUGGUGGAAGAUCAUAUGUUAAGAUUCUUUAUGCAUAUUAAUAACCCUCUGAUUAUGAACAUGAAUAUGAUUUGUGAGUAGUUACGUUUGUUCCUGAGGACAUGGGAGAAGUCUUGCUAUAAGUAGUCAUGUGAAUUUGGUAUUCGUUCGAUAUUUUGAUGAGAUGUAUGUUGCCUCUCCUCUAGUGGCGUUAUGUGAACAUCGACUACAUGACACUUCACCAUUAUUUGGGCCUAGAGGAAGGCAUUGGGAAGUAAUAAGUAGAUGAUGGGUUGCUAGAGUGACAGAAGCUUAAACCCUAGUUUAUGCGUUGCUUCGUAAGGGGCUGAUUUGGAUCCAUAUGUUUCAUGCUAUGGUUAGGUUUACCUUAAUACUUAUUUUGUAGUUGCAGAUGCUUGCAAGAGGGAUUAAUCAUAAGUGGGAUGCUUGUCCAAGGAAGGGCAGUACCCAAGCACCUGUCCACCCACAUAUCAAAUUAUCAAAGUAACGAACGCGAAUCAUAUGAGCGUGAUGAAAACUAGCUUGACGAUAAUUCCCAUGUGUCCUCGGGAGCGUUUUCCUUUAUAUAAGAGUUUGUCCAGCCUUGUACUUUGCUACAAAAAGGAUUGGGCCACCUUGCUGCACCUUGUUUACUUUUAUUACUUGUUACCCGUUACAAAUUACCUUAUCACAAAACUAUCUGUUACCGAUAAUUUCAGUGCUUGCAGAGAAUACCUUACUGAAAACCGCUUGUCAUUUCCUUCUGCUCCUCGUUGGGUUUGGCAUUCUUACUUAUCGAAAGGACUACGAUAGAUCCCCUAUACUUGUGGGUCAUCAAGGUGCCGUACUUUCAGUACUAGGAUCGGUCGGAUCGUGAAGACGUACGACUACAUCAACUGUGUUGUCACAACGCUUCCACUUUCGAUCUACGAGGGUACGUAGACAACACUCUCCCCUCUCGUUGCUAUGCAUCACCUAGAUGGAUCUUGCGUGUGCGUAUGAUUUUUUUUGAAAUUACUACAUUCCCAACAGUGGCAUUCGAGCCAAGUCUAUGCGUAGAUGUUAUAUGCGCGAGUAGAACACAAAGAGUUGUGGGCGAUAAUAGUCAUACUGCUUACCAGCAUGUCAUACUUUGAUUCGACGGUAUUGUUGGAUGAAGCGGCCUAGACCGACAUUACAUGACCGCGUUCAUGAGACUGGUUCUAUCGUCGUGCUUCGCACACAGGUGGCUAGUGGGUGUCUAUUUCUCCAACUUUAUUUGAAUCAAGUGUGAGUACGCCCGGUCCUUGUUGAAGGUUAAAACAGCACACUUGACGAAAAAUCGUAGUGGUUUUGAUGCAUAGGUAAGAACGGUUCUUGCUAAGCCCGUAGCAGCCAUGUAAAACUUGCAACAACAAAGUAGAGGACGUCUAACUUGUUUUUGCAGGGAUUGUUGUGAUGCGAUAUGGUCAAGACGUGAUGAUAUAUAAAUUGUUGUAUAAGAUGAUCAUGUUUUGUUAAAGUUAUCGGCAACUGGCAGGAGCCUUAUGGUUGUCUCUUUAUUGCAUAAGAUGCAAGCGCCAUAUAAUUGCUUUACUUUAUCGAUGUGCGAUAGCAAUAGUUGGUGAGACAACCAUGUGACAACACGUUGAUAGAGAUCAGGAUGAUGGAGAUCAUGGUGUCAUGCCGGUGACGAUGGAGAUCAUGACGGUCCUUUGGAGAUGGAGAUCAAAGGCACAAGAUGAUGAUGGCCAUAUCAUGUCACAUAUUUUGAUUGCAUGUGAUGUUUAUCUUUUAUGCAUCUUAUUUUGCUUAGUACGGCGGUAGCUUUAUAAUAUGAUCCCUUACUAAAAUUUCAAGGUAUAAGUGUUCUGCCUGAGUAUGCACCGUUGCGACAGUUCUUCGUGCUGAGACACCACGUGAUGAUCGGGGUGAUAAGCUCUACGUUCACAUACAACGGGUGCAAGCCAAUUUUGCACACGCAGAAUACUCGGGUUAGACUUUACGAGCCUAGCAUAUGCAGAUAUGGCCUCAGAACACUAAGACCGAAAGGUCGAGCAUGAAUCAUAUAGUAGAUAUGAUCAACAUGGUGAUGUUCACCAUUGAAAGCUACUAGAUAUCACGUGAUGAUCGGACAUGGUUUAGUUGAUAUGGAUCACGUGGUCAUUUAGAUGACUAGAGGGAUGUCUAUCUAAGUGGGAGUUCUUAAGUAAUAUGAUUGAUUGAACUUUAAUUUAUCCUGAACUUAGUCCUGAUAGUAUUUGCAAAUCUGUGUUGUAGAUCAAUAGCUCGCGAUGUAGCUCCCCGUUUAUUUUUGAUAUGUUCCUAGAGAAAACUAAGUUGAAAGAUGUUAGUAGCAAUGAUGCGGACUUGGUCCGUGAUCUGAGGAUUAUCCUCAUUGCUGCACAGAAAAAUUAUGUCCAUGAUGCGCCGCUAGGUGACAGUACUAUUGCAGGAGCAGAUGCAGACGUUAUGAACGUUUGACAAGCUCGGUAUGAUGACUACUUGAUAGUUUAGUGCACCAUGCUUUACAACUUAGAACCGGGACUUCAAAAAAAAUUUGAACGCCACGGACCAUAUAAGAUGUUCCAAGAGUUGAAAUUGAUAUCUCAUACUCAUGCCCUUGUCAAGAGGUAUGAGACCUCUGACAGUACUUUGCCUACAAGAUGGAGGAGAAUAGCUCAGUGAGUGAGCAUGUGCUCAGAAUGUCUGAGUACUACAAUCACUUGAAUCAAGUGGGAGUUAAUCUUCCCGAUAAGAUAGUGAUUGAUAGAGUUCUCUAGUCACUAUCACGAAGUUACUAGAACUUCAUGAUGAACUAUAAUAUGCAAGGGAUAACGGAAACGAUUCCCAAGCUCUUCGCGAUGCUGAAAUCGGCGAAGGUGGAAAUCAAGAAAAAGCAUCAAGUGUUGAUGGUUGACAAGACCACUAGUUUCAAGUAAAAGGGCAAGGGAAAGAAAGGGAACUUCAAGAAGAAUGGCAAGCAAGUUGCCACUCCCAUGAAGAAACCCAAAGCUAGACCCAAGCCUGAAACUGAGUGCUUCUACUGCAAAGGAAAUGAUCACUGGAAGUGGAACUGCACUAGAUGCUUGGCGGAUAGGAAGGAUGGCAUAGUGAACAAAAGUAUAUUGGAUAUACAUGUUAUUGAUGUGUACUUUACUAGUGUUUAUAGCAACACCUCGGUAUUUGUUACUGGUUCAAUUGCGAGUAGUAACUCGAAACGGGAGUUGCAAAAUAAACAGAGACUAGUUAAGGGCGAGGUGAUGAUGUGUGUUGGAAGUGAUGCCAAGGUUGAUAAGAUCACCAUCGCACACUCCCUUUACCUUCGGGAUUAGUGUUGAAGCUAAAAUAAAUGUUAUUUGGUGUUUGCGUUGAGCAUGAAUAUGAUUGGAUCAUGUUUAUUGCAAUACGGUUAUUCAUUUAAGUCAAACAAUAAUUGUUGUUCUAUUUACAUGAAUAAAACCUUCUAUGGUCAUACACUCAAUGUAAAUGGUUUAUUGAAUCUCGAUCGUAGUGAUACACAUAUUCAUAAUACUGAAGCCAAAAGAUGCAAAGUUAAUAAUGAUAGUGCAACUUAUUUGUGGCACUGGUGUAAAGCGCAUGAAGAAACUCCAUGCUGAUGGGCUUUUGGAAUCACUUGAUGGUCGCGAACCAUGCCUCAUGGGCAAGAUGACUAAGACUCCGUUCUCCAGAACAAUGGAGCGAGCAACUGACUUAUUGGAAAUAAUACAUACUGAUGUAUGCGGUCCGAUGAGCGUUGAGGCUCGCGGCGGGUAUCAUUAUUUUCUGACCUUCACAGAUGAUUUGGGCAGAUAUGGGUAUAUCUACUUGAUGAAACAUAAGUCUGAAACAUUUGAAAAGUUCAAAGAAUUUCAGUGUGAAGUGGAAAAUCAUCGUAAUAAGAAAAUAAAGUUUCUACAAUCUGAUCGCGGAGGCAAAUAUUUGAGUUACGAGUUUGGUCUUCAUUUGAAAUAAUGUGGAAUAGUUUCGCAACUCACGCCACCUGGAACACCACAGCGUAAUGGUGUGUCCGAACGUCAUAACCGUACUUUGUUAGAUAUGGUGCGAUCUAUGAUGUCUCUUACCGAUUUACCACUAUCGUUUUUGGGGUUAUGCAUUAGAGACAACUGCAUUCACAUUAAAUAGGGCACCAUCUAAACCCGUUGAGACGACACCGUAUGAACUAUGGUUUGGCAAGAAACCAAAGCUGUCGUUUCUUAAAGUUUGGGGCUGCGAUGCUUAUGUGAAAUAAGUUUCAAACUGAUAAGCUCGAACCCAAAUCGGAGAAGUGCGUCUUCAUAGGAUACCCAAAAAGAAAUUGUUGGGUACACCUUCUAUCACAGAUCCGAAGGCAAGAUAUUCGUUGCUAAGAAUGGAUCCUUUCUAGAGAAGGAGUUUGUCUCGAAAGAAGUGACUGGGAGGAAAGUAGAACUUGAUGAGGUAAUUGUACCUGCUCCCUAAUUGGAGAGAAGUUCAUCACAGAAAUCAGUUCUAGUGAUGCCUACACCAAUUAGUGAGGAAGCUAAUGAUGAUGGUCAUGAAACUUCAGAUCAAAUUACUACUGAACUUCGUAGGUCAGCCAGAGUAAGGUCCGCAUCAGAGUGGUACGGUAAUCCUAUUCUGGAGGUCAUGUUACUUGACCAUGACGAACCUACGAACUAUGAGGAAGCGAUGAUGAGCCCAAAUUCCACGAAAUGGCUUGAGGCCAUGAAAUCUGAGAUGGGAUCCAUGUAUGAGAACAAAAUGUGGACUUUGGUUGACUUGCCCGAUGAUCGGCAAGCCAUAGAGAAUAAAUGGAUCUUCAAGAGGAAGACGGACGGUGAUGGUAGUGUUACUAUCUACAAAGCUCGACUUGUCGCAAAAGGUUUCUGACAAGUUCAAGGUGUUCACUAUGAUGAGAUUUUCUCACUGAUAGCGAUGCUUAAGUCUGUCCGAAUCAUAUUAGCAAUUGCCACAUUUUACGAAAUCUGGCAAAUGGAUGUCAAAACUGCAUUCCUUAAUGGAUUUCUUAAAAUAAGAAUUGUAUAUGAUGCAACCAUAAGGUUUUGUCGAUCCUAAAGGUGCUAACAAAGUGUACAAAGCUCCAGCGUUCCAUCUAUGGACUGGUGCAAACAUCUCGGAGUUGGAAUAUACGCUUUGAUUAGUUGAUCAAAGCAUAUAGUUUUAUACAAACUUGCGGUGAAGCCUGUAUUUACAAGAAAGUGAGUGGGAGCACUACAACAUUUCUGAUAAGUAUAUGUGAAUGACAUAUUGUUGAUCGGAAAUAAUGUAGAAUUUUCCGGAAAGCAAAAAGGAGUGUUUGAAAGGAGUUUUUCAAAAAAGACCUUGGUGAAGCUGCUUACAUAUUGAGCAUCAAGAUCUAUAAGAUAGGUCAAGACGCUUGAUAAAAAAUUUCAAUGAGUACAUACCUUGACAAGUUUUUGAAGUAGUUCAAAAUGGAACAGUCAAAGAAGGAGUUCUUGCCUGUGUUGCAAGGUGUGAAGUUGAGUAAAGACUCAAAACCCAACCACGGCAGAAAAUAGAAAGAGAAUGAAAAAUCAUUCCCUAUGCCUCAGUCAUAGGUUCUAUAAAGUAUGCUAUGCUGUGUACCAGACCUAUUGUGUACCUCACCAUGAGUUUGGCAAGAGGGUACAAUAGUGAUCCAGGAGUCGAUCACUGAACAACGGUCAAAAUUAUCCUUAGUGGAAUAAGGAAAUGUUUAUCGGUUAUGGAGGUGACAAAGAGUUCAUCGUAAAGAGUUACGUCGAUGCAAGCUUUGACACCGAUCUGGAUGACUCUAAGUCUCGAUCUAGAUACAUAUUGAAAGUGGGAGCGAUUAGCUAGAGUAGCUCUGUGCAGAGCAUUGUAGACAUAGAAAAUUUGCAAAACACAUACGGCUCUGAAUGUGGCAGACCCGUUGACUAAACUUCUCUCACAAGCAAAACAUGAUCACUCUUUGGGUGUUAAUCACAUAGCGAUGUGAACUAGAUUAUUGACUCUAGUAAACCCUUUGGGUAUUACUCACAUGGAGAUGUGAACUAAUCACAUAAAGAUGUGAACUAUUGGUGUUAAAUCACAUGGCGAUGUGAACUAGAUUAUUGACUCUAGUGCAAGUGGGAGACUGAAGGAAAUAUGCCCUAGAUGCAAUAAUAAAGCUGUUAUUUAUAUUUCCUUAUAUUAUGAUAAAUGUUUAUUAUUCAUGCUAGAAUUGUAUUAACCGGAAACUUAGUACAUGUGUGAAUACAUAGACAAACAGAGUGUCACUAGUAUGCCUCUACUUGACUAGCUCGUUGAAUCAAAGAUGGUUAAGUUUGCUAGCCAUAGACAUGAGUUGUCAUUUGAUUAACGGGAUCACAUCAUUAGAGAAUGAUGCGAUUGACUUGACCCAUUCCGUUAGCCUAGCACUUGAUCGUUUAGUUUAUUUGCUAUUGCUUUCUUCAUGACUUAUACAUGUUCCUAUGACUAUGAGAUUAUGCAACUCCCGAAUACUGGAGGAACACUUAGUGUGCUUCCAAAUGUCACAACGUAACUGGGUGAUUAUAAAGGUGCUCUACAGGUGUCUUCGAUGGUGUUUGUUGAGUUGGCAUAGAUCGAGAUUAGGAUUUGUCACUCCGAUUGUCGGAGAGGUAUCUCUGGGCCCUCUCGGUAAUGCACAUCACUACAAGCCUUGCAAGCAAUGUGACUAAUGAGUUAGUUGCGGGAUGAUGCAUUACGGAACGAGUAAAGAGACUUGCCGGUAACGAGAUUGAACUAGGUAUUGAGAUACCGACGAUCGAAUCUCGGGCAAGUAACAUACUGAUGACAAAGGGAACAACGUAUGUUGUUAUGCGGUUUGACCAAUAAAGAUCUUCGUAGAAUAGGUGGGAGCCAAUAUGAACAUCCAGGUUCCGCUAUUGGUUAUUGACCGGAGACGUGUCUCGGUCAUGUCUACAUUGUUCUCGAACCUGUAGGGUCCGCACGCUUAACGUUCGGUGACGAUCGGUAUUAUGAGUUUAUGUCUUUUGAUGUACCGAAGUUAGUUCGGAGUCCCGGAUAUGAUCACGGACAUGACGAGGAGUCUCGAAAUGGUUGAGACAUAAAGAUUGAUAUAUUGGACGGCUAUAUUCGGACACCAGAAAUGUUCCGGGUGAUUUCGGAGAAAACCGGAGUGCCGGAGGGUUACCGGACCCCCCCCCCCCGGAACUAGUGGGCCUAGAUGGGCCUUAGUUGAGAGAGAGGGGCUGCCAGGGCAGGCCGCGCACGCCCCUCCCCUUGAGUCCAAAUUGGACUAUGAGGGGGGUGGCGCGCCCCUUUCCUUCGCCUCUCCCACUCCUUCCUUCCUCCUCCUAGUAGGACUAGGAAAGGAGGAAUCCUACUUCUACUAGGAGGAGGAUUCCUCCCCUCCUUGGCGCGCCCUAGGGCCGGCCGGCCUCCCCCUUGCUCCUUUAUAUACGGGGGCAGGGGGCACCCUAGAACACACAACAGACAACUGUCUUAGCCGUGUGCGGUGCCCCCCUCCACCAUAAUCCACCUCGGUCAUAUCGUCGUAGUGCUUAGGCGAAGCCCUGCGCCGGUAACUUCAUCAUCAUCGUCAUCACACCGUCGUGCUGACGAAGCUCUCCCUCGACACUCAGCUGGAUCAAGAGUUCGUGGGACGUCACCGAGCUGAACGUGUGCAGAUCGCGGAGGUGCCGUACUUUCGGUACUAGGAUCGGUCGGAUCGUGAAGACGUAUGACUACAUCAAUCGCGUUGUCAUAACACUUCUGCUUUCGGUCUACGAGGGUACGUAGACAACACUCUCCCCUCUCGUUGCUAUGCAUCACCUAGAUGGAUCUUGCGUGUGCGUAGGAUUUUUUUUAAAAUUACUGUGUUCCCAACACUCAGCUGGAUCAAGAGUUCAAGGGACGUCACCGAGCUGAACGUGUGCAGAUCGCGGAGGUGCCGUGCGUUCGGUACUUGAUUGGUUGGAUCGCGAAGACGUACAUCAACUGCGUUACUUAACGCUUCCGCUUUCGGUCUACGAGGGUACGUGGACACACUCUCCCGCUCGUUGCUAUGCAUCACAUAGAUAGAUCUUGCGUGAUCGUAGGUAAAAAUUUUGAAAUACUGCGUUCCCCAACAUAUUUAACUUUUUACUCCACUGACCAGCACCUAGCCGAUCCCCUAUCCGGCCUAACGGAGUAAAAUUUUACUCCUCUCCAUAAAUUUUUUCUUAUUUUUACCCCCUCUUUGCUCCACCGAGUAAAACAGCGCGGCUCACCUCUGCUCCACCGCAUCUUCGCCCCCGUCGCCCCUCCUACCCCUCCCCACUCCCUGCCGGCAUCGGCCAGCCGCCGGGGAAGCCUGGUAGGCCUCCGCCGCUGUACCCCACCACCUCCUCGUCCCUCCGUCGGCCGAAAAUCGAGGGGAUCUGUGGCUGAUGUCGCCGCCGCCGGAUUUGGCGUUUUCGGCCAUCGGCGGCUACACCUUGCCAUGGAUUGGCCGGGAAGCGGCCCACACAGCCCCGGCAAAAUCCUCUGCGCCGCAUGUAGGUACCGGUUCUUCCUCUAGCCACUCUAAUCGCUCCCGCCGUCGGUUCUCCGGCAAAUAUUGUUAGACUCAUUAUGAAAUGUAGUUUCAUAGUAUAUACACUUCGUAUUGUAGAUGUUGAUAUUUUUUAAAUAUAAUUUUAGUCAAACUUUGUAAAAACCGAUUGGACACAAAUCUAAUACGCAGAGUAAAAAAAUCGGAGGGGGUAUAACAAGAAACAAUACAUCACAUCAUGGUAUUACCUAUUAUUCAAAGUCUGCUGGAUUCUGACCAAUGAGGAGUCAUUAGAUUCAAAAAUGUGUGCCGGAAGAGAAGAAACCAGGUGCUUCACGAAGACAAAGUGUAGAGCCAACUUCAGUACCCACUUAUCUGUACUAGACUCUCCACAUAAUUAACGGUUUCGAAACCAUUUCCUUACCCGAAUACGGCAAGUAGUUGUUCCUAUCAGGUUGAUAGUACCACAAGUCCUUGAUUGCCACAGGAACCUUCUUCAUCGUGGCAUUUCCAAUGUCAUACCGGAACAGCUCGCGGUCAGCAAUAACAAACAGCAAAUCCGGCCUUGCCGUGAAAGGCAACUUUGGGGCAUCUGAAAAGCCCGCCAGGGACGGGCACAACAAUCUCUCGCGGAAGCGGGACGACGAGGCGUCGAGUCCAUGUCGGCGCAUCCGUGUUAUCACAAGCCCAGAUCUCCACCACCUCACACGGCUUUGCGAAGCAAGCACAGCACAGCUCGCCCUCCAAUUCUAUGAAACCAACAGGCUGCGCGUCACACGGAGGAUACGGGAUCAGGCUGAAAGUCUCGUCAGCUAAGCUGAAGCGGAUGAACACCUCGGGGUUGCUUUCAUCUGGCAAAUCAGCAGAUCUCCAGUAAAUGAAGCCUCGGACGUGGGCCGGGGUUACCGCGCGAGUCGGGUACGGGGGAUCGACGGUUCGCCUCCAGACGGUGUUGGUUCCCAGGGUGAGCACCUCGAACCUGCAGACGCUCUCAGAGGCAACGCCAUGUUGCCUCUGAUAGAAAUAGCUCGCUGCUUUGUACUUUCUGCUGCGUGGGUCGAAACCAAACCCAACCCGGUGCUGCUGGGAAAAAAUCCUAUGCGACCGGGUCGCAUACAGCUGCUCGUGAGACCUUCUCCCGCGUGCGACACCUGGCAUUACGAAUCCUAAAGCAGCAGCAUCUCGUUCCCCACUUCCCCGUUUCCAAAUCUCUCCAACGAGUCAACGACCCAAGCUGCAGCCUGCUCGUCACAUCGCCGCCGGUGUGCUCCUCGACGCCAGGUACACCACCCCAGCACGGCGCGUUCCAUCCCCGCCGGCAGUACUCACGGCACCGUCGUAACUGCUCUCCACAUUUGGCCACGGGGAUGCCCCUCGAUGCCGGCCGGGCGUGACUCCUUGCUGGUGGUGCUCCACUCCCGUCAGAAGUAGCCAACUGCUAGUCCCCGACGGCCACGACCAUGCUCGUGGGCGCCUGCACUUGCGGCACCGCCGACUCAAUAAGAAUUUUCCCUGUAUAUUGUUGGUGCUUGAUUUGAGCUGUACAAUACUGAACAAAGGCAGUUUUUUUUCCCUGUAUAUUGUUGGUGCUUGAUUUGAGCUGUACAAUACUGAACAAAGGCAGUUUUUUUUCCCUGUAUAUUGUUGGUGCUUGAUUAGAGCUGUAAAUCUGGGAUGUUUUGUUCAGUUGAUCACAAAUAUAACAAGUAGGACAAUAAAUCUGCAAAUACCAGGAACUUUUAUUCACAAUGUACUCCCUCCGUCCCAAAAUUCUUGUCUAGAGGGAGUACAUAAAUUCAUUUAUACAGAAAAGCUCCAUGAUCUCAUCAGCCAUCCUAUAUUACUUGACUUCAGAAUAAAAUUCUGAAGAAAAAUGAACAAAACAUCAGCUAUCCUAAACAACUUGACUUGACUUCCUGAUUUUGUUGUUUUGCUGACUGAAACAACAUCUCACAUACAUUUGUAGAAAGCACUGAAUCAUGAUCCACACAGGCAUGCACAACAGUAAAUCGAGCCGGAGAUCUGCCGAUCGUUUUGCUGUUUCUUCUAUCUUCCUUUUGCCAUCAUGCAUGUUGCCCGUCUUUCGUCAGUGUCGACAGAACAUCAAGCUCUGCAUUUUCGUCAGUGUCCAGCACCAUGUGUCAAGAUGCAGCCAGCAGCAGCAGGUAACAACUCCAACGCCGAGUUGCCAGGCCACAGCCGGCGGAGUAAAGCAGUAGGUGGUGCCGUGAGCGGGGCGGAUGAGGAGCAUGGCCGUGGAAGGAGCACCAGUGGCUAGCGACGCAGCGAGCAGAGGAGUUGCGCCUCCAUGGGCGAGCUGCCGGGGCGUCGAUGAGCAUGGUUGUGGACGGCGUGGGAGAGCAGCGGAGACGGGCUCGGUACUUCCGCGACAGAGUGAGCAGAAAAGUUGCGGCGGCGGCGACGGCGGCGAGCGAGCGUAGGGCGGCGGCGAAGGAAAAGGGAUUAGGGAUUUGGAAAACGGGGCGGCUGCAAGUCGGGAAUGGAAACGGGAUUCAUGUUGCUUUGAGAUUCGUUUCUCCAGGUGUCAGGCGCUAGACAGGUUCUCACGUUCGGCAGCGUACGACCCAGGUCGUAUAAGAUUUUCUUCCGGUGCUGCUGCCCUUCGGCAGGAAGACAAACUCUCUGGUCAGAAGAUUGCGGACCAUUAUCUCGUGGUCACCGGUGGAGGUGAGGAUCAGGCCGUCGCAAUGCAGAGGCUGGGUCCAUCGACCAAUGCCCAUUGGAAAUUCCUCACUGUGCACCAGCUUUGACGCAAGGCCGCCAUUGUACUCGUAGAAUCUCAUCGAGAACGCAGCCUUCUUCCCUGGGGAGUACUCGCAAGGCAGUAUGAGCAUCCUUGGCCGAGACCUUGAGAGCUCUAGGUGCGCGUCGGCGAAGCACCGGCUGGAUACCACGGAGAGCCACCCCUUGCAGACGCACUUGAGCCUCGCCGCGGACCUGGCGGGGAGCCGUGAUAGGAUCUCCGAGGUCAGGUCGUCUGGGAGGCUGGCAAGAGACGGCCGUGAGCACGGCGUGCCGACGAACGCGGUCUUCUUGCGAGGCGGAUGAGGAGACGCGGGGAGAUCUGCGCGUCUCUUCCCCGCCAUAGCAGAAACCUUUCGAUCUGCAGGAGAUGAGACAUGAGAGCGUAGGAAUCAGCUGUGGCUUUGAGCGAAACUUAAACAGCGGGCGUCAGAUUAUAUAAGGAAGGACGCGGUUUUGGUUACCGAUUCGAUUUAAUCAGGCAUAAAAUUAUAUAAGGAAUUCUCAGUUUGAUCAGGCAAGUUCGAGCCGGAGUUGUAUAGCACACCCUAACCUUAACCUUUGGAAAAACAGAGUCGGUGCGCCGCCAACGUCGAGGAUGGUAGAUGGCUACGGAUGAUCCUUCUGCAUCACCCGGCGCCGGCAAUCCUCAGCCGGCCGAGCGACUGCGGCAGGGCCGAGGGGAUCCGCGCGAGCGACUUUGACAUCGUCAAGGAAAGACCAUUCAUUGAUGCGCAUUUGAUGCAACUUUUUUUUAGUUUAUUUUUCUUUUUUUCGAAUUUGCCGUUCAUGGGAGCAUAUGAGCUCAGGAUAGCUGUGAAUUACCCUUUCUUUACUUCACUAGGUCUAGCACAAAGGAACUAAACAUCCGUGGAUAUAACUAUAAGGAAAUGGCAGAGACUGAUCAGGCUCCCGAGCCUGUGACGCCCUGAAUAUAUGGUGGCAGAUCUUCACUAGCUGUGUUACUGCAACUCAGAUGAUGAAUGACAUGUCAUCUUGCAGUGUGCUUGGUUCCAAAUAACCCCCUCUAUUCCUUCUGCAAUCCUCGGUGGUAUCGAUCAUCUGGUGGAUGUGCUGUUUCAUUGACAGAAUGCAUCUGCUCUUGCUCCACAUUGUAUACCCAUUCAACACCAAGCACACUGCUUCAGCCACGACACUAGCUAUGUGUUUUAUCAACUUUAUUCGCAAGACACCAUGCAAAUAUAGUACAACUACUUGGUGCCAAUAAGAAUCCAUAGUUCAGGCAACAGUAAGCUAAACCGAACAACUAGCAGAAUAAGUUCUCUCCACAAAGUAGUGUCACUAAAUCGCGGCGCAAUGCCCAUACACAUCACAGUAAUUCAUCGAACAAACCAUGCCAUGGAUCUUUAGAGGUAGUAGUAAGAAAGCAGAGGCGCCAACACUGCGGCUACGGAUGAUCUUUCUGCAUCACCAGGCCUAGCGACUGCGGCAAGCCGGCAAGUGAGGUUCCUAUAACGCUCCGCUACUCAAUUUCACUUAGCAGAAAAGGGGGGUAUUUUUUUUUGCAGAAAAAAAAAUACACUUCGCUAUGAGCUGGACAAAAAAAAUCAUGUAUUUCUAGCACAUGCACUAUUCACUACUAGGAAAUAUGUUCGUGCGUUGCAACGGGAGAACAAACCACGUAAAACUUGUGUGGACAUGGUAGCGAUCUCAAGGAAUGAGAGACCCUGCUUUACCUAUAUUGAUGAAUCAUACACCUCGCCUUUAUCCAUCCCAAUAGAAAAAGUCCAUUUUACUACUCUGAAUAAAGUGGGUGGUUUACUUUACCCCUGAUCUAUUUUUUGGGUUCCUAUACCCCCCCUAAAAUAUCUCAUACCGGACAAAAAAACACCCUAGAUGGUUUACCCAGACCAGAUGGUGAUGCGGACACAGUCAAAGAUGGUAUUUGACCUGCGGGUGGGUCCCACUUGUUAGCUUAAAAAACAAAUAGAAAAAGAAAAAACGGGCGGCCCCCUACUGCAAUAGCAGCCGGCCACAGCGGCGGCGGCCGGUGCACGCCGAGCCGGCAGGCGGCCGGGGCGGGCGAAGCCGUCACGCGCCGAGNNNNNNNNNNNNNNNNNNNNNNNNNNNNNNNNNNNNNNNNNNNNNNNNNNNNNNNNNNNNNNNNNNNNNNNNNNNNNNNNNNNNNNNNNNNNNNNNNNNNNNNNNNNNNNNNNNNNNNNNNNNNNNNNNNNNNNNNNNNNNNNNNNNNNNNNNNNNNNNNNNNNNNNNNNNNNNNNNNNNNNNNNNNNNNNNNNNNNNNNNNNNNNNNNNNNNNNNNNNNNNNNNNNNNNNNNNNNNNNNNNNNNNNNNNNNNNNNNNNNNNNNNNNNNNNNNNNNNNNNNNNNNNNNNNNNNNNNNNNNNNNNNNNNNNNNNNNNNNNNNNNNNNNNNNNNNNNNNNNNNNNNNNNNNNNNNNNNNNNNNNNNNNNNNNNNNNNNNNNNNNNNNNNNNNNNNNNNNNNNNNNNNNNNNNNNNNNNNNNNNNNNNNNNNNNNNNNNNNNNNNNNNNNNNNNNNNNNNNNNNNNNNNNNNNNNNNNNNNNNNNNNNNNNNNNNNNNNNNNNNNNNNNNNNNNNNNNNNNNNNNNNNNNNNNNNNNNNNNNNNNNNNNNNNNNNNNNNNNNNNNNNNNNNNNNNNNNNNNNNNNNNNNNNNNNNNNNNNNNNNNNNNNNNNNNNNNNNNNNNNNNNNNNNNNNNNNNNNNNNNNNNNNNNNNNNNNNNNNNNNNNNNNNNNNNNNNNNNNNNNNNNNNNNNGCGAGAGGGCGGAGCGGGGGCGGUCGGAGCCGGCGGGCAGCCGGGGACGACGGCGCGAGCAGCGCGCGAGGGCGGCCGGGGUCGACGGCGCAAACUCGGGGAGGAGGAGGGGCGAAGCAGGCGCGCGGCCGAAGCAGCGACGGGGUGGACGGCGGCGGAGCCAACGCCACAGAGGAGCGUGGCGUGGCCGAGCGGGGUGCUCACCAAGAUCGCCACGGCGAACGGCGGGGCGGCGUAGCCGCGGGAGGAGGCAGGCCAGCGCGAGGAUGGAUCAGGUGGCGACGCGGCUCGUCGGCGGGGUCGCACUGGAGCUGGAAUGAAGCGCGAGGGGGAGCGACGGGGAUGCCCAUGCCCGACCUGACAAGGAGGGCCCACCGAGGUCAAAACCGCUCUUGACUAGUGCCACAUCAGCAGCGAGUGAAGACAAACCAGCCAGGGGUGUUUUGUCCGGUUCUGGUUUGUUUGGGGGGUAGAAGGAGCCGAAAAAUAGAUCAGGGGUAAAGUGAACCACCCACUUUAUUCAGGGUAGUAAAAUGGACUUUUUACAUCCUAAUACAUGGUUUGUUUCAUGAUCUUAAAUGGUGAAACCAGACCAGAUAAAACUGUGCAUCGUUAUGAAUUAAAUAAUACUUCACUCAAGCAACAUGAACUCGGUCGGUCUUAACAGGGAUCCAACAUUAUUGGAGGAGCAUCGAGAACAAUGCCCUACUUUACAAUAGACUUCGAUUCCUCCUCAUGAGUCCAUGACGGGUGCUAAAGUGGGGCUUAUCCAUGUUAGCACGGCACGUUGCCUGCCUAUGAUUCUACCUUGUUUUAUUUUUGAUCUUUUAAUCGAUAAAUACUAUACUUUCCACUAACUUGCAUAGUUUAUAAUGUUUGUCAUAUUUUUUUGCAUUUGCAUUACAUCAUGCCAUUAAAUAAUUCACACAAAAUUUAAAACUGUGAACAUUUACGAAAAAUCAUUUUAGCCUUCCUUCUAUUUUAUACAAUUGCUCUUCCAUAUUUCUAUUGAGCCAAAAUACCAUUCAUAUACCUCUAUAACAUUUACUCUUUCUCUAUUUAUAUUUAAUAAAAAAAAAAGAGGAGAAUUAGGAGAUGGAGAGAGAGAGCAGCCUAGCAACUAACCCGGCCGGCCUAUUUGGCCGAAAGCCCAGCCCAGCCGCAACCUAACCUAGCCCGAUCGAACCUCGCUCCUCUCUCCCGAUCCCUUCUCCCACCUUGCGCCGCGAGGGGAGGCACGGCAGGCGCGCGCUAGACUCGCCGCCGCUCGCUACCCCUGCCCUCCCGCGCGUCGCGCCGCCCCCGCUGCCGCUGUGGCCUAAGUCCACGGCCGCGUCCGCGCCUCGCCCNNNNNNNNNNNNNNNNNNNNNNNNNNNNNNNNNNNNNNNNNNNNNNNNNNNNNNNNNNNNNNNNNNNNNNNNNNNNNNNNNNNNNNNNNNNNNNNNNNNNNNNNNNNNNNNNNNNNNNNNNNNNNNNNNNNNNNNNNNNNNNNNNNNNNNNNNNNNNNNNNNNNNNNNNNNNNNNNNNNNNNNNNNNNNNNNNNNNNNNNNNNNNNNNNNNNNNNNNNNNNNNNNNNNNNNNNNNNNNNNNNNNNNNNNNNNNNNNNNNNNNNNNNNNNNNNNNNNNNNNNNNNNNNNNNNNNNNNNNNNNNNNNNNNNNNNNNNNNNNNNNNNNNNNNNNNNNNNNNNNNNNNNNNNNNNNNNNNNNNNNNNNNNNNNNNNNNNNNNNNNNNNNNNNNNNNNNNNNNNNNNNNNNNNNNNNNNNNNNNNNNNNNNNNNNNNNNNNNNNNNNNNNNNNNNNNNNNNNNNNNNNNNNNNNNNNNNNNNNNNNNNNNNNNNNNNNNNNNNNCCUUCCGUGCCCACUGUCGCGCAUCUACGCGCGCGGCCUGGGAGGCCGGCUGGCUCCGCCCGAGGCCGGUGAGGCUGCAUCGCCGUUGGCCUCGCUCUUCCUCGCCUCACCGCUGUGCUCCUCCUCUCCUGCUGCAUCGCGCCUCCCUGCCCGAGCCGCUCUGCCUCCGUCGCCAUGACGCUGUGCCCACUACCGCCGCGACGGCCCCUGCACCGCGCCGCCGCACCUCCUGGUCGCGCUGUUGUCUGCUGCAGCAAGCUGCCUCCUCGUCUGAACCGCAACGCCCCUCCUUUCUUCCUUCUUCUCUCCCUCACCUCCCUGUCUCCUUUCUGCCCAGGAGUCAUGGAUGAAUUUUUGCUCUGGCCUUCCUCAUCGUCACCGGCGACCACCGCCUCGCCGCCCACAUCUGGAUCUGCCCCCCCCUCCCCCUGCUGCGCACGAAUCAGGCCUUGCAAGCUCCAGCCCCUGUCGUUCUUCUCCAUCGUGGCCGCGUGGGUUCAUCACUUGAAAAAUGAAGGGUCUUUUUUGCAACAAUGAAACGUUUUUAGCCACUUGCAAUAGGACUGCGGGUUGAAUUCUUAGAAUAGAGGGACUUUUAUGUAAAAAUGACAAUAACGUACGACCAGAAGCAAUCGCUGGUUUAUUAUUACUAGGAAAUAGGAAAUAUGCCCGUGCAUUGCAACGGGAGACCAAACCACGUAAAACUUGUGUGGACAUGGUAGCGAUCUCAAGGAAUGAGAGACCCUGCUUUACCUAUAUUGAUGAAUCACACACCUCGCCUUUAUCCAUCCCAAUACAUGGUUUGUUCCAUGAUCUUAAAUGGUGAAACCAGACCAGAUAAAACGGUGCAUCGUUAUGAAUUAAAUAAUACUUCACUCAAGCAACAUGAACUCGGUCUUAACAGGGAUCCAACAUUAUUGGAGGAGCAUCGAGGACAAUGCCCUACUUUACACCAGACUUCGGUUCCUCCUCAUGAGUUCGUGACGGGUGCUAAAGAUGGGCUUCUCCAUGUUAGCACGGCACGUUGCCUGCCUAUGAUUCUACCUUGUUUUAUUUUUGAUCUUUUAAUCGAUAAAUUCCAUACUUUCCACUAACUUGCAUAUUUUAUAAUGUUUGUCUUAUUUUUUGCAUUUGCAUUACAUCAUGCCAUUAAAUAAUUCACACAAAAUUUAAAACUGUGCACAUUUACAAAAAAUCAUUUCAGCCUUCCUUCUAUUUUAUACAAUUGCUCUUCCAAAUUCCUUUUGAGCCAUUCCAAAAAUCCCAUGCUUUUUUUACUUCAAGGUUAGUCCCCAAACUGUACCAAUAAUUCUUUUAUCACUUUGCCAAGCUCCACAAGAUUAUCAUAAUUUUUGGACACGUCUAAAACCUAGUCCUAGUUCAAACCCAUUUGAACAUAAAUUCAAAUGAGUUUGAAUUUAAACCUUGCAUUGACCACUUCUACAUUUCUUGAAACAAGUAAUUUUUUGCAAGUCCAGAAAAAAUAACAUCUUCCCAGAAUACCAUUCAUAUACCUCUAUAACAUUUACUCUUUCUCUAUUUAAUUAAUAAACAAAAAAAGAGAGGAGAAUUAGGAGAGAGAGAGAGAGAGAGAGAGAAAGAGAGCAGCCUAGCAACUAACCCGGCCGGCCUAUUUGGCCUAAAGCCCAGCCCAGCCGCAACCUAACCUAGCCCGAUCGAACCUCGCUCCUCUCUCCCGAUCCCUUCUCCCACCUUGCGCCGCCAGGGGAGGCGCGGCAGGCGCGCGCUAGACUCACCGCCGCUCGCGCCCCCUACCCUCCCGCGCGCCGCGCCGCCCCCGCUGCCGCUGUGGCCUUAGUCCACGGCCAUGUCUGCGCCUCGCCCGUGCCGCUCCGCCCAGCUGAGCCCACGGCCGCCCCUCCACCCGCGCGUCGUCUCCGGCCGCUGCGGCCUGCGCCUCCCCUGGCCGGUGCCCUUCCAUGCCCACUGUCGCGCCUCUGUGCGCGCCGCCUGGGAGGCCGGCUGGCUCCGCCCGAGCCCGGUGAGGCUGCAUCGCCGUUGGCCUCGCUCUUCCUCACCUCACCGCUGUGCUCCUCCUCUCCUGCUGCAUCGCGCCUCCCUGCCCGAGCCGCUCUGCCUCUGUCGCCAUGACGUUGUGCCCACCACCGCCGCGACGGCCCCUGCACCGCACCGCCGCACCUCCUGGUCGCGCUGUUGUCUGCUGCAGCAAGCCGCCUCCUCGUCUGAACUGCAACGCCCCUCCUUUCUUCCUUCUUCUCUCCCUCACCUCCCUGUCUCCUUUCUGCCCAGGAGUCAUGGAUGAAUUUUUGCUUUGGCCUUCCUCAUCGUCACCGGCGACCGCCGCCUCGCCGCCCGCAUCUGGAUACGCCCCCCUCCCCCUGCCGCGCACGAAUCGGGCCUUGCAAGCUCCAGCCCCUGUCGUUCUUCUCCAUUGUGGCCGCGUGGGUUCAUCACUCGAAAAACGCAGGAUCUUUUUUGCAAGAAUGAAACGUUUUUAGCCACUUGCAAUAGGACUGCGGGUUGAAUUCUUAGAACAGAGGGACUUUUCUGUAAAAAUGACAACGACGUACGACCAGAAGCAAUCGCUGGUUUAUUAUUACUAGGAAAUAGGAAAUAUGCCCGUGCGUUGCAACGGGAGAACAAACCACGUAAAACUUGUGUGGACAUGGUAGCAAUCUCAAGGAAUGAGAGACCCUGCUUUACCUAUAUUGAUGAAUCUUACACCUCGCCUUUAUCCAUCCCAAUACAUGGUUUGUUCCAUGAUCUUAAAUGGUGAAACCAGACCAGAUAAAAUUGUGCAUCGUUAUGAAUUAAAUAAUACUUCACUCAAGCAACAUGAACUCAGUCUUAACAGGGAUCCAACAUUAUUGGAGGAGCAUCGAGGACAAUGCCCUACUUUACACCAGACUUCGAUUCCUCCUCAUGAGUCCGUGACGGGUGCUAAAGAUGGGCUUCUCCAUGUUAGCACGGCACAUUGCCUGCCUAUGAUUCUACCUUGUUUUAUUUUUGAUCUUUUAAUCGAUAAAUUCCAUACUUUCCACUAACUUGCAUAGUUUAUAAUGUUUGUCUUAUUUUUUGCAUUUGCAUUACAUCAUGCCAUUAAAUAAUUCACACAAAAUUUAAAACUGUGAACAUUUAAAAAAAAUCAUUUGAGCCUUCCUUCUAUUUUAUACAAUUGCUCUUCCAAAUUCCUUUUGUGCCAUUCCAAAAAUCCCAUGCUUUUUUCUACUUCAAGGUUAGUCCCCAAACUAUACCGAUAAUUCUUUUAUCACUUUGCCAAGCUCCACAAGAUUUUCAUAAUUUUUGGACACAUCUAAAACCUAGUCCUAGUUCAAACCCAUUUGAAUUGAAUUCAAAUGAGUUUGAAUUUAAACCUUGCAUUGACCACUUCUACAUUUCUUGGAACAAGUACAUUUUUGCAAGUCCAGAAAAAAUAACAUCUUCCGAGAAUACCAUUCAUAUACCUCUAUAACAUUUACUCUUUCUCUAUUUAUAUUUAAUAAACAAAAAAAGAGAGGAGAAUUAGGAGAUGGAGAGAGAGAGAGAGCGAGCAGCCUAGCAACUAACCCGGCCGGCCUAUUUGGCCUAAAGCCCAGCCCAGCCGCAACCUAACCUAGCCCGAUCGAACCUCGCUCCUCUCUCCUGAUCCCGUCUCCCACCUUGCGCCGCCAGGGGAGGCGCGGCAGGCGCGCGCUAGACUCGCCGCCGCUCGCUCCCCCUGCCCUCCCGCGCGUCGCGCCGCCCCCGCUGCCGCUGUGGCCUAAGUCCACGGCCGUGUCUGCGCCUCGCCCGUGCCGCUCCGCCCAGCCGAGCCUGCGGCCGCCCCUCCACCCGCGCGCCGUCUCCUGCCGCCGCGGCCUGCGCCUCCCCUGGCCGACGCCAGGGCCGCCAGCGCCCCCACUGCCGCGCCUCUGCGCGCGCGGCCUGGAGGCCGGCUGGCUCCGCCCGAGCCCGGUGAGGCUGCAUCGCCGUUGGCCUCGCUCUUCCUCGCCUCACCGAUGUGCUCCUCCUCUCCUGCUGCAUCGCGCCUCCCUGCCCGAGCCGCUCUGCCUCUGUCGUGGUUUUGUCACGGCAGAUGUCCUAGAGAAAGGACUUAGUCGUGGAGCCAUCGCUACGGGCUAGCUUAAAAGGGUUAAAGCGGACAAGGGACGCAAGAGAGUUUAUACUAGUUCGGCCCCUUAUGAUGAAGGUAAAAACCUACGUCUAGUUGUGAUGGAAUUGCUAGGGUUUCGAUGACCAGGGAGCGAAUACGCUUUGCCUGAGUCUCGAGUUUUUGUCUACUGUCCUUGAACCGCCGUCGGGUCGUCCCCUUAUAUACAUGGGUUGACGCCCGUCGGUUUACAGAAUCCUGAGGCCGGCUCAUAAUCGUGUUCGGCUCGGUCUCUGCUACUUCUAUCUUACAACACAAGUUUACAUAUCAAUGCCGGUUUAUGUCUAUAGGCCUUAAACCGGCUUUGGGCCCUGGACCUUCAUAAAGCGUCACCGUCUGUCUUCAUGGACUUCAGAUACAGAUGAACUACUUAUGGGGUUAACCCGGCCUCUCCUGGCCAGUUUACGCCCAGUGGUAAUAUCCCCAACAUUAGGCUCCAGAUUGAUUUGAACUGGUUCAUGUCAAUCCUCAAUACUUAAGAAAAUUUCUUCUUCAACAUCUUCACAUAAUCUUGUAAACCGCCGUGACCUCAUCUUCUAGGAUCAUGGUAAACCGCCGUGACGUCACCUGUUAUUUAAAACUGUGUAUAAUCCACCUUCAUUAAUGAGCCUCCGACAAUCGAGGCGACAGCUCUGCCUCAUAUCCAAAAUUUAGGCUCCUCGAUUUUCGCGCCUGGUGCUUAUCUUUCUGCCCUUAUAAAUAGAGCCAUGGGGUCUUUUCAUUCCCCCCCCCCGUAUCUCUUCACCUCAUCUUCUUCCUUGCACUGCCCAUCGUUUGGAGCUCCGCCGCCACCGUCGACCUUCGUUUCUUCCUCCGCGACGGCCGCUGCAUCAACCUGAUCGGACCAGAAAAACGCGGCAAUCCUCCGCUGCUUCCUCAGCACCAGUACGUUCCUCCUUUCUUACUCCAGAUCGACCAUUAGGGUUCGUCGUUCUUCGUAGUUCUUCGAAGUUCUUGAAUCUGUUUGUUUCUCUUUAGCAGUACCAAUGGCUAGUUUAGAUCUGCUUUUUCCAAAGCCUUUGUACUUUAAACUCAUGCUUCCUUGUUAGAACAUCUGCCUUGUAUAAAACUCAUCUCAACUUGGUGAACCUUUAACACGCUGGAAAUUAGGUCAGAAUAUAUUUUGUUAUUCCAACGUGCGGUAGAUCUGAAAUUACCAUGGCAAGAUGUGAAACUUGUUUCUUCCUUCACUUAUACACUUUUAAUACUAGAUUGGGCGGUUUAACUUCAUAUACAAAAUGAUGACCCAGUAGAUACCAUUAGUCCCCUGUUGAACCGCCAAUGCAUUCAUCAUUGUACUGUUUCCAUUGUCAGACUCCGGUUUACGAAUAACCAAUCCUGGUUUAACAAUAUGCUUACAUCCUUAUACCGCUAUAUAGUUGUCCAUUGUAAAUCUUAAACUGACAAUAAUCAUGUUUCAGAUCUUUCAUUGCCAUGGCCAAGCAAGUCUAUGAAUGCAAUUGGGCUCCUUCUCAAGUAACCGAAGAACAGUUAAACAAUCUUGUUAAAACGGGCGCUUUAGCCAAGAAAGAUGUCAUCCACUGGAGAGUCCCUGGCCCGGAAAAUCCUCCUACACCCAAGGACGGAGAGGUAGUCGUGUUUGCUGACCAUCUGAGUCGAGGUUUUAGCCCUCCCGGUUCGAAAUUUUUCCGAGAUGUACUAGCCAAUUUUCAGCUGCGCCCUCAAGACAUCGGUCCCAAUUCUGUGACCAACAUCUGCCACUUCCAAGUCUUCUGUGAGGUUUAUCUGCAAGAGGAACCUACAGUCGAACUAUUUAGGGAUUUCUUUCACUUAAACCAUCGCACAGAGUUCUCGGAUGGACCCAAUACGGAACUGGGCGGAAUGGCGGUUCAGAAAAGGAAGGAAACCACUUUCCCUCACCCCAAGCUCCACAGUCACCCCAAAGAGUGGAACCAGACCUGGUUUUAUUGCAAGGAUACAUCUCCACCUGAUGAAAACCCCCUGCCGGGUUACCGCCCUGAAUGCCUGAGCAACACACAUCCUUUUCCUCAGAGGUUGACUGCAAAAGAAAGGGCCAACUAUGCUCCUCAACUAUCAAAGCUUAGAGCCUUCAUGGCAAAUGGUUUGACAGGAGUUGAUCUUGCUCGUUGUUGGAUAAGCUGGAGUAUUCUGCCCUUAAGUCGGCGCUCCGGUUUGAUGUGUGAGUAUACGGGGAGUUUGAAGGAUGCUCAGCGGCACAUUGACAUUCAGCUUACAGAUGCAGAAGUCACUGAGGCUGUAAAGAAAAUGCUGAACGAACCGGAGGCUGUCUGCGCCCAAACCGGAUUACUCCCUUUCUGCGCUUUCAACAAACCGCCAACUGUAAGAAUCAUAUAAUAUUUUUAUCUGAAGUUGCUUUUGUCCAAAUAUUCUCUGAAAGUGUGAUUAUUUUCUGACAGGGUAAUGAUCCAUUCUGGAACAAGAAACCACCACAAGACAAACUGGUCAAGCCGCAAGAUAAACCGGUCAAGCCAGUUCGUCCAAAGACCAAGGUUAUCAAAAAACCUGCCAAGAAAAGGACCACUGCAUCCUCCGAUCUACCAGCUGAUGACGAUGUGGGUAAUCCGGAAUCAGAGGUAGAACUUGACUCUCUUGGUUCAUUUUUCGUACACCUCAUUGACAAUGAUUAUUGUCAGGACGACGCUGAAGGCAGUCAUGCUGAUGAUGUAGAGGUAAUCAUUCUUUCCUCCGAUUCAGAUCCUUUGCCGACAUCAAAAAUCCGUCGAGCAAACCGGAAAGUAAAAUUUUCUCACCCCCUUGCUUGCUUGGACCCAAACUUUCUUUUGAAGACACAACAGCACGAGGCUUGCCGCACAACCCGACACAGCGGCCAGGUAGUUACCUCCGCUGGUUUACCGAACACUCCGGUUCGGAAACGCCGAUCAGAGGUCUCUUAUCCCCUUGACACUUCAUGCCCCAAAGCGGGUUGUUUCCACCAGCCUCUUAACCCGUCUGAUUCAAAUUAUCAGGGUACUUCUCACUCAUCUUCUAGCGAAUUGUCGGCCACAAAGCUUCCACCCCUCAAAACAUUUCUUGGGUGAGUCAUACGCUUACUUUUAUCCUUGAUAUGUUAUUUUAAUAUAUACUGCACUGAUCCUCUUGUUUAUUCUUUUCAGCGCCAAGCCCAGACCCAGCAAGAAAGCUCGGUUGAAUAAACCGGCUGAUGAAGACGUGGCUGUUGAACCGGAGAAAACUCCGGAUCCUGAAGAGACCAACAUUGAUGCCAUACUGAAUGACCCAUUGCCUCAAGGUCAUGACUUCGUUGCUGAGCAGGCAGAAGUUGACACCACAAGCCAUGCUGACCAGCCAACCAGCCCUGUUCGAACUGACAAUAAACUGGGAAGUCCAGUUAAAAAUACUGACAAACCGCCAACCCCAGUAACGGCUGCUGAUGACAUUAUGAUUACUGGCACUGGCCAUACCGCUCCGGGCAAUCCUGUCGCUUUGUCAAAGCAUACUGCCAAAGAUGAGCUCUCUGCAAUUGGCAAAAGCAAAUGGAACGCCAAUUUGUCAAAUUAUGCCCAUCUGAAUGCUCAAGACCUUCACUCUCGCUUCCUGAACCGUCUGUACACCAGCCGUGACUAUGAAGCCGGUUUGGUAAAUAUGAUGAAGGAGCGAUAUGAGGUAACUUCAUAAGUGUUUCUCUCUUAUAUUUAAUUGCAGCUUAUCAACUCCAGUAGCCCCCAAGUGACGGUUUAAGAUACCAAUUUAAACCGGGACUUAGUAACAAUUUCAUGUUUGCAACAAUGCAUCUUAACUUCACUGAUGUAGCCCCCAAGGGCGGGUUUAACUUUAUAAAGAUGAACUGGGACUUUGUAGAAGAAUUCCCAUAUCAGCAUUUUAUGAGCAAAUACACAUUAGCCCCCAAGUGCCAAGCUUAAUACUUGUAUUGUGCUUGGGACUUGUAAAAAUUUCUGAUAAAGAGCAAAUAUGCAUUAGCCCCCAAGUACUAAGGGCAUAACUUGUUAUGUGCUUGGUACUUCAAAUAUGUACUGUCAAUUCAUUAUAUAUCUGUCUCUUUAUAGGCUGAUCUGAGCAAGAAGGAAAGCCAAACCGCUGAUCUGCAAGAGAACCUCAAGUCCCAACAAGCUGAAACCUCCAAAGCGAAGGAAGAAUUGGCCAGCGCCCUAGGCGCUAUGAAGAAACUGAAAGAGGGCUUCAACAAAGAGUGGGCGGAUUGGGAGACUGAAAAAUCUGCUUUGAUAAAAAGGGCUGAAAACGCAGAAGCCGCUCUUAAACCGGUGGUUGAUGAACUGACCGGCGUAAAGCGGCAGAUUCAUGCCAUGACUGCUGCUGUGUUCGGUAAACAUCUUUUCCUUAAUACUUUCAACAUAUCUUUCCCAUGUGUUGUCAGUUUACUGAUGUGUACGAUGGUACAGGAACUUGCAUUAGCCAUCUGGGCUCUGAUGUACAGAAGAAGUUGAAAGCUGCCUACACUCUGAUAGAGCAACUGUAUACCGGUGCGCAACGGAUCAUCUAUACUGCUUCACACAAUAAUCCUCCUCCCACUCUGAUCAAGGAUACCUUAGAAAGGUUAUCUAUGCUUCCUGCCCGGGUAGACGAGCUAAAGAAGUCUGCCGCUAGAACGGAUGCUUUGGCCGCACUAACCCGGGCAAAAGCGUGGGUACCUGACUUUGAUCCAGUGGAGGCGGCCCAAGGCUAUCCCAGUUUAAAGGAAGACGGAACAGAAUUUGGCAAUGAUGAUCUCCAAACCAUAAACCGGGAAGUACGCCCAUUGGCUUGUCAACUAGUUGAAGAGGCAGAUCUUUCGUACUAUCAGGCGAGUUAUGAUGAUAAGAACAGACGGGUUGCGGCAUCAAUUCCAGAAGCGCAAAAUCUUAUGCCACCAAUCCGUAAGCACACUUAUGCCCCUAACAUUGAACCGUCCAUGCUGAUAAGCGAUGAAGCUGUAUUCCAAGCCCUAACUGGGAUCGACUGGGCAACUGUUGAUUUCCAGCCACUGGGUAGAGAGGAGGGAGUUGAACCGGUGCGAGAUGAUCCGCAGUCGUCAGGCCAAGCUGGUGACCAACCAUGAACCGGAGGCCGGUUUAGUCUUCUACAUGCUGCAACAUGUAUUUGAGAAAACAAUUAUCCUUUUGGGCACUGAAACGCCUUGCAAUAUGCUAGUUAAAAUACUUGGUCUGGUAUGCCUUCGUGCAUAUUUAUCUACGACUGAUGCUUGCUUAAUCCGACAUGCUUAAGAUAUGAUAUUCAUAAUCCAUAGCCAUUUAUUCAAGCUGUUCCUGCAGAUAAGAAGCUUAAAGCGCCCUGGCGGUUUACCCCCGGGCGGGUGAUGAUACCCAAAUAUAUAUAUAUGAUCAAGGUCUGUAACCAAGGUUGUAAAAGAUAACCAAAUAUGGAAAUAUAUAAUACCUGCGACCUUUAGGCAUGAUGUUGGCUGACCAACUUUGUAGUGAGGGCCAUAACCCUACUCUGGAGGAUAAGUAAUUCCUGGUAUAUGAUGCCGGUUUACAAUAAAACCGUUCCGGGUUGUGAGAAACACCGGUUUAUUCCAUACUGGUGCCUUUGAGUCAAAACCAGACCGGGCUGAUAGUCUCCGGAUUAUAAUUUGAUCAUCUACUGACAACUUGUAGUUGACAGCCUAACAGGGUUGAUAAACACCGGUUUUAAAAAUGUCACAAAUCUUAUGAAACAAAGAAGACUUAGCAAAAGGCAAAUAAAAACCGUUGUAGUCGAGGGUUUUCACGGGCUGCCGGGCCCCAAAUUCGAGGCUUUUCAUGGGCUGCCAGGCCACUGAGUUAAACCAUUUUUGCAAAGCCUUUUAAGAUGGUCCUCAAUCCUUAACCAAUCAUCGUUUUAACUUGACAAGUUUAGGGUCUUCAUUUUAGAGUAACUUGUCAAAGUUCGAAGGGUCAUACCAGGUUUACCUGGGCGGAGUGACUUACUUAAAUAGGCAGGUUAACCCGGGGUUUUAGGUGUAUACACCAGGCUUUCAAGCCAUGGCUUGAUAGCCUGUUACAAGUGUAGAUUCUUAGUUCAUUUCGACAGCAAAGAAUCCCCAAGCAACAUUGUGAGCUGUGCUCAAUGGGUGCCUAUGUUUGAGCUGUUGUUUUACAACACUCCCUUUGGCCCCGGAUUGAUGUGGCUUUGAGCCGAUCAAGAGGUGUGACUGUGGUUCGGAUACGACCAAGCCCCCAAGUGAUGUUGUGGCAUUGUGCCGAUCAAGAGGUGUAGCUAUGGUUCAGAUACGACCAAGCCCCCAAGUGAUGUAAUAUAAAGCUUUGAGAAGCUAAAUCAAGGGGUAAACCGGAUGCCACUUUGUAAGCUCCAUGUAACCACACAUGAUGUAAGAAAAACAACAGAUACCCCGCUUUAGCUGAGGUUCCGGUUUAUUAUAUUGACCAUAAUAUAUACAAUGUCAUAAUAUGUACAUAAGCAGAGCCUAUAGCUCAAGUAUAGUAGGGCCGAAGAUGAGCAAUAUUCCACGGCCGGUUGGUCUCCUCCUUCGAUUUACGUGAGUCUUUGCGCUCUCGAACAUCGAUUAGGUAGUAUGACCCGUUGUGCAGAUUCUUGCUGACCACAAAGGGUCCUUCCCAAGGGGGGGAUAGCUUAUGCAUAUCCGUCUGAUCCUGGAUGAGCCGAAGCACCAAAUCACCUUCUUGAAAGGUUCCGGUUCUAACCCGACGGCUAUGAUAACGACGCAGAUCUUGCUGAUAAAUCGCCAAACGGGCUGCCGCCAUGUCACUUCCUCAUCUAACAGGUGAAGAGCUUCCUGUCGUGCCUUCUCGUUGUCAGCUUCAACAUAUGCCACUACACGAGGCGAGUCAUGACGGAUGUCACUAGGAAGAACUGCUUCCGCUCCAUAAACCAUGAAGAAUGGUGUGUAUCAUGUCGAUCUGUUGGGUGCGGUAUUGAUGCUCCACAACACAGAAGGUAACUCCUCAACCCAACAACCCGGCGUCCGUUGCAAAGGAACCAUAAGCCGGGGUUUGAUGCCUCUCAAGAUCUCUUGAUUGGCCCUCUCCGCUUGACCAUUGGACUGGGGGUGAGCCACUGAUGACACGUCAAGCCGGAUGUGCUCACGUUGACAGAACUCCUUCAUGGCACCCUUCGACAGAUUGGUACCAUUGUCUGUUAUAAUGCUGUGUGGAAAGCCAAACUAGAAGAUCACCUUUUUGAUGAAUUGAACCGCCGUGGCUGCGUCACACUUGCUAACUGGCUCUGCCUCCACCCACUUCGUGAAUUUAUCAACCGCCACCAAAAGGUGGGUCUUCUUGUCCUUGGACCUCUUGAAAGGCCGAACCAUAUCCAGCCCCCAAGUUGCAAAUGGCCAGGUGAUUGGAAUCAUCCUCAAUUCUUGAGCCGGUACAUGAGCGCGCCUUGAGAAUUUCUGGCAGCCAUCGCAUCUUUUGACCAAGUCCUCGGCAUCAGCAUGAGCUGUCAACCAAUAGAAACUGUGACGAAACGCCUUGGCCACCAAAGACUUUGAACCGGUUUGGUGACCACAAUCUCCUUCGUGGAUCUCACGCAAAAUUUCACGGCCUUCCUCAGGAGACACACAGCAUUGAAACGCCCCUGUCACACUGCAAUGAUGUAACUCUCCACUGAUAAUAGUCAUGGACUUGGACCGCCAGAUUAUCUGCCUGGCCAAAGUUUCGUCCUCUGGUAACUCGCCCCGGUUCAUAUACGCCAGAUGUGGAACCGUCCAAUCCGGGAUAACAUGAAGAGCCGCCACCAACUGAGCCUCCGGAUCAGGAACAGCCAAAUCCUCUUCACCAGGGAGCUUGACGGACGGAUUAUGCAAAACAUCCAUGAAGACAUUAGGUGGAACUGGUUUACGUUGGGAACCCAGGCGGCUUAAAGCGUCCGCCGCUUCAUUCUUCUGCCGGUCCACAUGAUCCACCCGAUAACCUUUAAAGUGACCUGCAACAAUAUCCACCUCACGACGAUAUGCUGCCAUUAGUGGGUCCUUGGAAUCCCAUGUGCCGGACACUUGUUGAGCCACCAGAUCCGAGUCACCGAAGCACUUAACUCAGCUUAGGUUCAUCUCCUUAGCCAUCCGAAGACCAUGGAGUAAAGCCUCAUAUUCAGCUGCAUUGUUAGUGCAAGGGAACAUUAAACGGAGAACAUAUAAAACUUAUCACCUCGUGGGGAAGUUAAUACGACUCCAGCCCCCGAGCCCUCCAAUUGCCCGGACCCAUCAAAAUGAAUAGUCCAAUAAGUAUGAUCCGGUUCUCCUCUGGCGCUUGUAAUUUUGUCCAAUCAUUGAUGAAAUCCACAAGUGCCUGAGAUUUGAUCGCCGUUCGGGGUAUGUAUUUCAACCCGUGAGGCCCGAGCUCUAUAGCCCACUUAGCAAUCCGGCCAGUUGCUUCCCUGUUCUGGAUUAUAUCUCCCAACGGAGCAAAGCUGACCACCAUGAUGGGAUGACCUUGGAAAUACUGCUUAAGCUUCCGGCUUGCCAUAAAAACCCCAUACACCAAUUUUUGCCAAUGCGGGUACCUCUGCUUGGACUCAAUAAGUACCUCACUGAUAUAGUAAACCGGCCGUUGAACCGGAUAUUCCUUUCCGGCCUCCUUGCGCUCCACCACAAUAGCCACACUAACAGCCCGGGCGUUAGCUGCCACAUAUAGCAACAAUGGCUCUUUGUCAACCGGAGCAGCGAGAACCGGCGGAUUAGCCAGCUGCCGCUUUAAGUCCUCAAAUGCUUCAUUAGCGGCGUCACUCCAGACGAAGUUAUCCGUUUUCUUCAGCAUCUGAUACAAAGGGAUGGCCUUCUCGCCAAGGCGACUGACAAACCGGCUCAACGCGGCAAUCCGGCCUGCCAGGCGUUGAACAUCAUUGAUACACUUCGGUUUAGCCAAGGAGGUGAUGGCUUUGAUCUUUUCCGGAUUAGCUUCAAUGCCCCUGUUAGACACCAAAAAGCCCAAGAGCUUGCCUGCAGGUACACCAAAGGCACACUUGGCCGGAUUAAGCAUCAUUUUAUAAACCCGCAGGUUAUCAAAGGUUUCCUUCAAGUCAUCAAUCAAUGUCUCCUUCUUCCUUGAUUUUACCACAAUAUCAUCCACAUAGGCGUGAACAUUGCGGCCGAUCUAUUUAUGAAGACAAUUCUGCACACACCGUUGAUAAGUCGCCUGGGCACUCUUGAGCCCAAAGGGCAUGGACACAUAGCAGAAGGCUCCAAAGGGAGUUAUGAAAGUUGUCUUCUCCUGGUUCUUAACUGCCAUUUUGAUCUGAUGAUAACCAGAAUAUGCAUCCAAAAAGCUUAAACGCUCGCAACCCGCCGUAGCAUCAAUAAUUUGACCAAUUAGGGGAAGGGCAAAAGGAUCUCCUGGACAAGCUUUGUUGAGAUCUGUGUAGUCCACACACAUACGCCAAGUGCUAUUCUUCUUGAGGACCAGCACCGGAUUAGCCAACCACUCAGGAUGGAAUACUUCAACGAUAAAUCCAGCCGCCAAGAGUCUGACUACUUCUUCUCCAAUAGCCUUGCGUCAUUCUUCAUUGAACCGGCGGAGAAACUGCUUGACCGGUUUAUACUUUGGAUCAAUAUUGAGAGUGUGCUCAGCGAGUUCUCUCGGUACACCUGGCAUGUCAGAAGGCUUCCAUGCAAAGAUGUCCCGAUUCUCACGGAUGAACUCGAUGAGCGCGCCUUCCUAUUUCGGAUCCAAGUUAGCGCUGAUGCUAAACUGCUUGGACGAAUCGCCAGGCACGAAGUCAACAAGCUUAGUCUCAUCAGCCGAUUUAAACUUCAGGCCGGAUCAUGCUCUGUAGUUGGUUUCUUCAACGAAGUCAUAUCUGCCGGAUCAACAUUGUCCUUGUAAAACUUCAACUCUUCUGUUGCAUAAACCGACUCAGCAUAAGCCGCAUCACCUUCUUCACACUCCAGAGCAAUCUUGCGGCUCCCAUGCACGGUUAUAGUUCCCUUGUGACCCGGCAUCUUGAGCUGCAGAUAGACAUAACAAGGCCGUGCCAUAAACUUAGCAUAAGCUGGCCGUCCAAAUAGGGCAUGAUACGGGCUUCUAAUUUUCACCACUUCAAAGGUCAAGGUUUCUGAUCUCGAGUCAUGCUCAUCUCCAAAAGCCACCUCCAGAGCUAUCUUACCAACAGGAUAUGCCGACUUACCUGGCACCACACCAUGGAACACCGUAUUGGACGGUUUAAGAUUUACAAUGUUGUUCUGACGAGGUGGAUCCACCAAACGUGCCUGAACCGGCGCCCCUGCUCCAGGUGCCUCCGCCCGGUUUACCACCGGCGGAUUACUGGUCCCUGCUCCUGGGGUGUUAAAGAGAUUUCUAGCGUCAUAAACCGGCGGCAGGCGAGAUCGGUACCUCCUCUUCAGGACUUCGUUUGACGCACUCUGAUCCAGCAUAAUCCAGUAAGCUUGUGCAUCCAAAGCGGCCCGCUCCGCGGCCAUCCUGGUAUCCUUAGCUGCUAAGUUGGCUUUGGCCUGGGUGAUCUGAUCUUUCACUUUCGCGAUUUCCGCAUUGUGUGCAUCCUGAUCCGCCGGGUUAACCUCCGCCAUCAGUGUUGCCAACACGUCAAACAAAUCAGAUAGAACCUGAGCUGGCGGUUGCACAGGGCCUCCUGCCCCGGCCGCUGUUGCCGCUGCCGAUCCGGAAAUCAUCGCCGCUGCGGUCGAAGAGUGGAGCGCCGGUUGCGUACCGGCCAUGAAGAUCGCAACCCGGUUUGGCAGAUCAAAGGGGUCCGGAAUACUGUUGCCAUCGGAACAGCCCCCAAUCCGGCCAUCUUGUAACUGAUAUAACGACUCGGUCUCUCCGGUCAAUGACAAGUCGCCGGAAUAAACGACGGUCUCACCACCAGAUUCCGAUCUAUCCUCAGAUUCCCCUCCAUGGAUAACUCCCACGAAGGCACGCUUCAUGACAGGCUUGACCCGAGCAGAUCUCGCACGCUGAGCCGUUUCGACAAGGUCGGUGCAGAUGUCCGGCUCAGGGCCCGGUUCGCCGAUGUUGCCAAUGAAAACGUGUAUGCCACCAAAGGGGACCCGGUACCCGUACUCGAUUGAGCCGGCCUUGGGGCCCCAGCCUGCAUCGUCGAUGUAGAGCUUGCCGCGACGACUCUUGGUUAUCCGGCCCACAGCGUAACCCUUGAGUCCUUCGAAGUUGCCCUCCAAGAACUUGAAACCAUCGUGUGAUAGCCCCACGGUGGGCGCCAACUGUCGUGGUUUUGUCACAGCAGAUGUCCUAGAGAAAGGACUUAGUCGUGGAGCCAUCGCUACGGGUUAGCUUAAAGGGGUUAAAGCGGACAAGGGACGCAAGAGAGUUUAUACUAGUUCGGCCCCUUACGAUGUAGGUAAAAGCCUACGUCUAGUUGUGAUGACCAGGGAGCGAAUACGCUUUGCCUGAGUCUCAAGUUGUUGUCUGUUGUCCUUGAACCGCCGCCGGGUCGCCCCUUAUAUACAUGGUUUGACGCCCGUCGGUUUACAGAAUCCCGAGGCCGGCUCAUAAUCGUGCCCGGUCGGUCUCUGCUACUUCUAUCUUACAAUACAAGUUUACAUAUCAAUGCCGGUUUAUGUCUACAAGCCUUAAACCGGCUUUGGGCCCUGGGCCUUCAUAAAGCGUCACCGUCUGUCUUCAUGGACUUCAGAUACAGAUGAACUGCUUAUGGGGUUAACCCGGCCUCUCUUGGCCGGUUUACGCCCAGUGGUAAUAUCCCCAACAGCCUCCAUCGCCAUGACGCCGUGCCCAACACCGCCACGACGGCCCCUGCACCGUGCCGCCGCACCUCCUGGUUGCGCUGUUGUCUGCUGCAGCAAGCCGCCUCCUCGUCUGAACUGCAACGCCCCUCCUUUCUUCCUUCUUCUCUCCCUGACCUCCCUGUCUCCUUUCUGCCCAGGAGUCAUGGAUGAAUUUUUGCUCUGGCCUUCCUCAUCGUCACCGGCAACCGCCGCCUCGCCGCCCGCAUCUGGAUCCGCCCCUCCCACCUGCCGCGCACGAAUUGGGCCUUGCAAGCUCCAGCCCCUGUCGUUCUUCUCCAUCAUGGCCACGUGGGUUCAUCAUUCGAAAAAUGCAGGGUCUUUUUUGCAAGAACGAAACGUUUUUAGCCACUUGCAAUAGGACUGCGGGUUGAAUUCUUAGAAUAGAGGGACUUUUCUGUAAAAAUGACAAUGACGUACGACCAGAAGCAAUCGCUGGUUUAUUAUUACUAGGAAAAUUGCUCAUGCGUUGUAACGGGAGGAGAAAAAGUUAAUGUGCUUCACUGGAAAGCAAACAUCAAUUAUCAUUAAUUAGAUUGGCCAGGUAGAGAAUAAGAAACAGAAAAAUGUUACGACGUUGUAGAUCAGAUCGUUGAUGCCUAGUGAAAAAUAUACCACAUGGACAGAUUAAUCAUUUUAUUACGAUAAAGAAAUGGUGUGCAUGUAGCACUUCCAAAGUUAUUUAAGCAUGAAUGCAAUUGUUGUUGUUCCUCCAUAGCAUCAAUAUCUAGGGCAAAAGUGUAUAUUAGGUGAUUGUCAAGUUGCUCCAUACCACGUCCAACGUGUCCAUCAUUAGGGACAUUAGAGCGUCUACAGCCGGAUGUUGCAAAUUUGGGCCCUCAAAUAUCCACCGACGCGCCUGUGGCCAGUGACCGGGCGGACCUCAAAUUCUAACAUUUGCAACCACAUACCUUAUUUCCAAAACAACAAUUACAUGCAGGGCCAUGCACGACGAUCACAGUGUCCAUCUUGGGCCGGAUGGGCUGUCCAAACACACCGGAAAUUGCACGUUAAUUAAGAUUUUCGCAUUCAUUUAGUCCAACCUUGCCGCUUGAUGAGCUAGUCGACCGCUUAAAUAGCUGGGUCGUCCAGAAGCGACAAGCUUCUAACAUCACUGCAUCCUUUGUGGAGGAAAUAGUCUGUUAGUAUGAAUCUUCUAUAAUUAAAACAUAGAAGGAUUCUUCUAUGAUUCAUGGUGAGAACUCCUUCACAAAGAAAUAUUAAUCUCAAUAUUUUUUUCAGUCACAAUGUGUCUAUAAAACUUGGUGAACAAGAUAAAAAUCAAUUCUCAUUGUAGUAGGGGUAUCAUCGUAUAUGAUCGAGGCAAACUUGCCACUCGAUGAACAAGUGCAUCAAAUGCAAUCUAGUUUCAAAUUUAUCUCGAUCAUACAUGCGAGAAUUGAUAGACCUACACAACAAUAACCAAGCUUGCCGCCAUCCGCCGGAGCAACUAUUUAAGUCGAGCGGCGCCGGACUCGCCCGACGAUUUGGGACUAAAAUUUGGGUGCACCGAUGAGAGAGGGAGGAGAUUCGGUUUGAGAGGUCAGUUUGAGGCGCUUCUGUAUCUUCAGAUCGUGUCGUGUCUCUUUCAUGUUCUUUUUGUCAGACUGUCUGGAAUCCCCAAUUCUUAGCUUCUCCUUGUUGGCCUAGAAAACUCAAAAGAGUAUAUAAACUGAGAUAAUUGGAUAUAAAUUAGCGAUGUGGGACUAUUGAAUAUUGAAUAGAUGAAUGAAUUAGUCCUUGCAUCGUGCGUGACGUGCAGGCCGUGGCUGAGACGCGCGGUGGUGAGCCCAGUCCAACAAGAGAUAAGGGCUGCGGGCAUAAUUUCUAACAAAUGUAGGGGUUUUUACGCAAAAAAUGAAACGUUUUAUCAGAGUGCCACUUAAACAGGGACUGCGGGUUUAUUUUAAAGAAACAGAGGGGCUUUUUUACAAAAACGCCGACGACGUACGACCAAAAGCAAUAACUGGUUUAUUAGUAGGCAGAGAUAGGUAGAGAUAGAGAUAGAGAGGUAGAGAUUAGGGAAAGAUAAAAGAUCAUCAUUUUUUUCCUUUUGUGCAACUCACACCACAGCGAAGUGUAUUCUGUCAUGAAAUUUUACAUAGAUGUACGUAGUACGCAGCUCUAUGUUCAUGUGUAUGAAUUUUUCUGAAACCUCGAAAUAUGAUUUUCGCACGUGAACUGUAAAACGGGUGUCAUGGAGUCUAAGCUCCAAAAAACCACACUCGUUCUAGAGUUCUUUGAUGUCCAUCCCUUCUCUUUUCCCCGAGUAGAACAUAUCCCUUCACCCGCAAAAAAAAAAGAACAUAUCCCUUAUAUAUGAUCCCGGUUACAUGUGCCCCAUCAAGCACCGUUCGGCCGACCCACAUGAUCGUCUAGUGAAAAGUAGGUCUCGUCCUCAUAAGGCCAACCAACAAGAGGACAAAGGAGAUGACAAAUGGCAUCGGCAGCGGAGAAGAGGGCGGGCGGCAAGACCAUCGUCCUAUAGAGCGUGGACGGCAAGAGGUUUGAGCUUUCCGAGGAGGCAGGGAGGAUGUCCAAGGUCAUCGUCGCCAUGAUCGGAGAAGGUCAUGCAUGCUGGCAUCCCGAUCCCGCUCCCCAUCCCCUUCAGGGAGCUCGCCAAGGUCUGCGAGUACUGCACGGAUGUCGGCACCAGCAACUCCGGCACGGCCUCCACCAUAGCUGGCUGGGGCAAGGAGUUCGUCAGCAGCAUCUGCAUUGGCUUCGUCUUCACCGCCGAGGGGAUCCGCGCAAGCGACUUCAACAUUAUGGGAGCACUCGAGCAUUUGAUGCAACUUUUUUUUAGUUUAUUUUUCUUAUUUUCGAAUUGCCGUUCAUGGGGGCAUAUGAGCUCGGGGUAGCUGUGAAUUACCCUUCUUUACUUGACUAUAACAAGGAAAUGGCUGAAACUGAUCAGGUUCCCGAGCCCGUGAAUAUAUUCGCACCCGCACCCAACUCUCUGUCGGAUCAUCAAAGAUGUGUCCUCUUGCAAUGUGCUUGGUUCCAAACAAUCCCCUCUAUUUGUUCUGCAAUUCUUAAACCAUCUGGUGGAUGUGUUGUUUCAUUGACAGAAUUUUCCCACAUGCAUCUGCCAUUCUGCCCUGCUCCACAUUAUAUACCAAUUUAACACCAAGUACACUGAUCCAGCCAGGACCGGAGCGCCCCAUGAAGAUCAAUCGGCACAACACUAGCUAUGGCUUUUAUCAGCUUUAUUCCGAGGACACCAUGCAAAUAUAGUACAACUACUUGGUGCCAAUAAGAAUCCAUAGUUCAGGCAACAGUGAGCUAAACCGAACAGCUAGCAGAAUAAGUUCUCUCCACAAAGUAGUGUCACUAAAUCGCGGCGCAAUGCCCAUACACAUCACAGUAGUUCAUGGAACAAAUCAUGUCGUGGAUCUUUAGAGGUAGUAGUAAGAAAGCAGAGGCGCCAACACCGCGGCUAGGAGGAGGGUUGCCGCCGUGACAGGAGACCUGGUCGCUGCCGAUUUCGCUGGGCUUGGGCUGACGGUUGCCGGUGUUGAUCCGGAAGUUGGUGUAGGUGCUGCAAGAUGCAUUCCGAUUUCAGUAUAGAGAAAUGGAAGUAAGAUUCAGGGGACAGAAAAGCAGAAACCAACGUUUGUUUCAAUUCAGGACUUCAGGCAAUAAAGUAAACGGGUGGUGGUUUCUCUCUAUCAGUCCCUCAUCAGCUUCACACCGAUGAACAAUCCUUGACGGUGAACUUAAUACAAACUGAUGCAUGUACGCAAAUCAUAUCUUUUAGCAUCUCACACAUUCUAUCACUAAUUGAAGGCCACAAUUGGCGCUUUCGAUCAUUUAGUGGUUGCUAUCCAUAAUGGUUUGUCAAUUCUGUUGUGUGCGUGAUCCAGUACAUCUGGCUGUCAAACCCUCAUGUAAAAUUGCGAUGACAUUGAAAGGAACCACCACUAUGACAGCAAUACUUUAUUAGUGAUGUCUUCGUCUAUAGUACAAAUUAAUAUUUUGAAGGUUUGCUAUGUGCCAAUUUCGUUCUUCUUUAUGAAUCUCAAAAUCAUUCUUUUUGUGAUGUUUUUAUUUCAAGUGGAGAGUCUCAACAACAAAAAAUUUCUGUUUUUUCACAUGCAGACCACUGAAAGAUAGUACUGCUGUACUCUACUCCCUCCGUUCCUAAAUACUUGUCUUUCUAUACAUUUCAACAAGUGACUACAUACGGAGUAAAAUGAGUGAAUCUACACUCUAAAAUAUGUCUACAUACAUCCUAUGUGAUAGUCAUUUGAAAUGCCUAGAAAGACAAGUAUUUAGGAACGGAGGGAGUAGAUGCUAGAGGAGUCCAUAAAAAUUCUCUGUAGCCCAAGAAAGCAUUGAUGUCAAUGCCCAUGGACACAUUCAUAUGUUUUCCCCUUGAUCUCAGAGUGGAAAAUGGAGGUAGAGAUAAAUCGACUCUAGCUCUUGGUAGUUCUUUAACCAUUUCAGAUUGGAGCGUGUGUUGAUUAGAUCUAAUUAACGUUUUUUUUUGCACGGAUCUACAGGAAUAAAGAGAGGGAUUCAAAAUGUACGAGCUGCAAAGGAGAGAAAGAGGGGAAUUACCUUCAGUAGGGGCGCCGUUAGGGGCUCCGCCGGGCAGUUUCACUGCAGGACAACAAAAAUAAAGUCAUACCAACAGCGCAUGUGCGUGCGUGCCCCUCCAUGAACACCCGAGGACAGAUCACAAAUCGACACGGGGAAAAGAAAAUGAGAACAAGAUGGGAAGAUGGCUCACGGCUGCAGUUGCUGAGGGCGGCCGGGUUGCCGCCGCAUGCGGCGGGGAGGCCCUUGGCGCGGGUGAGGUUCAUGGGGAUGCCGUAGUCCUUGCCGAAGGCGUCGCAGAGGCAGGCGACGCUGGCGGGGCUGGCGAGCGCGGCCUUGACGCCGGCGCAGCACUCCUUGGGCGGCUUGCCCUGCGCGGCCCCUGGCGAGAUGUAGGGGAGGCAGCCGGUGAGGCCCGUCAGCGCGGAGCCGCAGUCCCCCGCCGGCGCCGCCGGCCCCGCCGCCGGCGCCUGCGACGCCGCGCCGGACGCCAGCGCGAGGACGACGGCCAGGAGAGCCACGACGGCGUGGGUGGGGCGCGCCAUGGCGGGUGCUCGUGCUUGAGUGCGGGGGCGGCGUGGGGGACGGGGAGUGGAAGCGCGGUGUGGUGGUGGACUGGACUGGUGGGCUGUGGGCGGCUGGUCUGGCUUUAAAGGUGGCGGCUUCUCGGCGCGGCCAGCGAGUACAGUAGGGUUUCCUCCUGUGGUGGUGGUGGUGGUGGUGACUAUCGUUAUCUACCGGGCGCACCGGAAAGCGGUUGGUUGGCCGAGUGCUCGGCGGUUGGCGCGGGAGCGCGCGACUGGACUGCCACGUUGGGAACCGCCUUUUCUGCGUCCUUGGAAACGGUAAACAUCAUGGCAUAUACUCACUCCUUUNNNNNNNNNNNNNNNNNNNNNNNNNNNNNNNNNNNNNNNNNNNNNNNNNNNNNNNNNNNNNNNNNNNNNNNNNNNNNNNNNNNNNNNNNNNNNNNNNNNNNNNNNNNNNNNNNNNNNNNNNNNNNNNNNNNNNNNNNNNNNNNNNNNNNNNNNNNNNNNNNNNNNNNNNNNNNNNNNNNNNNNNNNNNNNNNNNNNNNNNNNNNNNNNNNNNNNNNNNNNNNNNNNNNNNNNNNNNNNNNNNNNNNNNNNNNNNNNNNNNNNNNNNNNNNNNNNNNNNNNNNNNNNNNNNNNNNNNNNNNNNNNNNNNNNNNNNNNNNNNNNNNNNNNNNNNNNNNNNNNNNNNNNNNNNNNNNNNNNNUUAGUUCCUGUAAAUUCAACUAAAUAUUUGGCUGCUCGAUAUGCCGUUUUGUUUCUAGUAUUUCCCCAUCCCGUGACUUUAACCGCCAAUGGCAACGCAUGUUUUUUUUUUUCUUUCUUUGAUCUGCAUGCUGACAUUCGGCGGUCCAUGUGAAGGUAUUUCCCCCUGAACACUCUGCGACAGCGAUGCACAGCUGUGGUGCGGGUGUGGCCAGCCCAAAUUCCGUCUUGCGCCUUUGCACUUGCAAAUAUGGAAUGCAAGAUGGAGAGGCAUGCAUGUGAUCUUCCAGCUGGUUUGCAUCCUCACAUGCUCUCUCUCCAGUACCUACCUGGCCCAUGGAAUUAUUGAUCAAUCCAUACUACAUUCUGGGACGGUAUCCUUAUCUCGCACAGUGCUGUCGAUCUCGCGUGAGAGCGCGGAUAACCUCACCUCACAUAUUUCGGUACAGCCAGCCUUGUCAAUGCCGUUUCCCUUUGCAAACGGAAAUGAUAAGGCAGUCUAGACUAGUUUUACAUCAUCAAGUGCCGUAAAACUUACGUGAUUGAAAAAAGAUAGACUGUGCUCCUCAAUCGAACAGAGAAAAAUGAUGUCUUUUGCAGUUCGUGGGUUUACCUCGAUAGAAAGGUCAGGUCAGUCUACUUUGCCGGCGGAAGUUCCCGUGAAAAGAAGGGAAAUGGUAGGCGUUUGUUGACGAAUCUCAUGAUCUCAUCUGGUAUCACCUUCACACACACACUUCGGUUGCACUGCACUUCGUCUGCAUGCAUACCGACGAGACGAUGCCGACCAGCGAUGAGGAUAUAGAAGAAGGAAAAAGGUGCGCUGCGUCCACAGGCAACAGUCUCUUUUCUCCCGAUAAAUCGCGUGUGCACAUGCGGCCACGCGAGGUUGUUAUCCGCACCCCUCGUCCCCAUGCGGUUGGUGCUAACUCCAAUACAACGUUGGCGUAUAAACUUCAUUGGGCAGCAUACAACAUCUUGUAUAGCGCUCGUAUUCCCACAUGCCAUCUGGUAAUGACAACGGCUAGCUGCAACAGGCGGCAGCGACCAGCGCGGAGGCAUUUACUGCGUGGUAGUGACAACGGCUAGAUGCGUGUUGGUCACCGUUCAGUCGCAACGGCUAGCCGGGCGACGCUCCUCUCUGUCUUUUUAAAUGCCAUGCUUGCUUGCUUCGGAUGGCCAUUCCAAGCUGCUCCCCUUCUCCAUUCCUCUCAGCUUAGCUGGGCUUGCAAAGCAUGUGUUCGUCCAUGUCCCGUAGUAGUGCAACACCACCUCCAUCUCAUCACACGAGCAAUCAGAUGCCUCCACUCCCGCUCAUCCGUUGCCCCGAAUGCAACACCACCUCCAUCUUCCUCCUCAAGUUCUGAAGUAUCAUCCCGUCUGCGUACGUAGUGUCAUACUCAUACAUGUCUUCAUCUUGCUGUGCUCAGUGCAGUUUGAUGUACCCACCGCACGGCCAUGGGCAUGAACAGGGCACUGUCGUAGUCAUAUAUGUAUUGUAUCCCCUCUGCGUAGGGACUGCCGUUUCUUUUUCCUACCGUAGUCAUAUAUAUAUAUAUGUUCUAGUAUCGCUAGCCGAUCUGCAUGUAUCAGCUAGUACGUCCAGCUUGCCCAUGCAGGGGCGGGAGCUUCUAUGUCCAAUAAAUUAUCUAGCACCCGUCUUAAGCGGGCGCUGAGGGAGUCCUGGAUUAGGGGGUUCUCGGACAGCCGGACUAUAUCCCUUAGCCGGACUGUUGGACUAUAAAGAUACAAAUUGAAGACUUCGUCCCGUGUCCGGAUCGGACUCUCCUUGGCGUGGAAGGCAAGCUUGGCAAUACGGAUAUGUAGAUCUCCUCCCUUGUAACCGACUCUGUGUAACCCUAGCCCCCUCCGGUGUCUAUAUAAACCAGAGGGUUUAGUCUGUAGGACAACAACAAUCAUACCAUAGGCUAGCUUCUAGGGUUUAGCCUCUACGAUCUCGUGGUAGAUCAACUCUUGUAAUACUCAUAUCAUCAAGAUCAAUCAAGCAGGAAGUAGGGUAUUACCUCCAUCGAGAGGGCCCGAACCUGGGUAAACAUCGUGUCCCCCGCCUCCUGUUACCAUCCGCCUUAGACGCACAGUUUGGGACCCCCUACCCGAGAUCCGCCGGUUUUGACACCGAUAUUUGUGCUUUCAUUGGGAGUUCCACUGUGCCGUCACAACAAGGUUUGAUGGCCCCUUCGAUCAUCGGCAACGAUGCGAUCCAGGGUGAGGUUUUCCUCCCCGGACAGAUCUUCGUAUUCGGCGGCUUCGUACUGCGGGCCAACUCGCUUCGCCAUCUGGAGCAGAUCGAGAGCUACGCCCCUGGCCAUCGGGUCAGGUUUGGAAACUUGAACUACACUGCCGACAUCUGCGGAGACUUGAUCUUCGACGGAUUCGAGCCCAUGUCAAGUGCGCCGCACAAUCACGACGAGCAUGACUUAGCUCUGCCGUCGGACAGUGUUCAGGAGAUCACACCUGCAACUACUCCGGUCCUCAAUCCGGAACAAAUUGCGCCAUCUAAGGACGGGUGGAUAGACCCCGCCAUGGAGGCCGCACUCUCAGUGGCGAUAGAGCCGAAUACUGACUUCACCUCCUAUGAGAGCCGUGUUGCCGAACCGUAGGAUUCGUCCCCGGACACGGGCUCCAAGCCACUUGCGUCCGUGCCUAUCGAAUCUGAUUGGGCACCGAUCAUGGAGUUUACCUCCGCGAAUAUCUUUCAGCACUCGCCCUUUGGCGACGUACUAAACUCGUUGAGGUCUCUCUCCCUGUCAGGAGACCCUUGGCCGAACUAUGUUCGGCUAGAAUGGGAUGCGGACGACGAAGAAAUUCGCUCCCCACCCACCACCCACUUAGUAGCCACAGUCGACGAUUUAACCGACAUGCUAGACUUCGGCUCCGAAGACAUCGACGGUAUGGACGACGAUGCAGGAGACGAACAGGAACCACCGCCCACAGGGCGCUGGACUGCCACCUUAUCAUAUGAUAUAUACAUGGUGGAUACCCCCAAAGAAGGUGAUGGCGAUAAGACAACGGAGGAUAAUCCCUCCAAGAAGCAAUCCAAGCACCGACGUCAGCGGCGCCGCUCUAAGUCCCGCCAUAGCAAGAGCAGCGAUACCGGCACAAGAGACAAUAACACUCCGGAUAGUGCCGAAGACGAUGACAAUCCCCUCCAGCCAGAUUUAGAGCGGGAGGAUGAACAAGCUAGCCCUCCAGAACAGGCAGCAGACGGAGAAAUGGAGGAUGACAAUUACAUGUCUCUCUCCGAAGACGAGGUGAGCCUCGGCGAUGAAGAUUUUAUCGUGCCUGAGGAUCCCGUCGAGCAGGAGCGCUUCAAGCGCCGGCUUAUAGCCACAGCAAACAGCCUGAAGAAAAAGCAACAACAGCUUCGAGCUGAUCAAGAUCGGCUAGCGGACAGAUGGACUGAAGUCCUAGCGGCCGAGGAAUACGAACUUGAACGCCCAACCAAGAGUUACCCAAAACGCAGGUUGCUACCCCAACUCGAGGAGGAAGCAUUAAAACCUACAUCACCAGCGUAUGAUGCGGCGGAUCGGCCACCUCGUGGCCGAGACAGAGGGGCAUAUCAGCCCGAAGUCCAGCCCGCACCCCGUCACCAGACAACCAAAAACACCAAGGCCCGGGGCAACACGCGGGACCUGCGAGACGUAUUGGAAAACAAAGCAGGGCAUACAAGAUCAAUCUACGGAUCACGGGGUCGCGCCCCAACGCGGGACGAUGAUCGUCACGCCGGAUACACUAAACGCAAAUCCGGCCGGGCCGAAUACAGCAGACAAGACUCGUAUGAACUGCAUCGUGAUAUAGCCCGGCACAGAGGCGCCGCACACCCCCUAUGCUUCACCGAUGAAGUAAUGGACCAUGAGUUCCCAGAAGGAUUCAAACCCGUGAACAUUGAGUCAUACGAUGGCACAACAGACCCCGCAGUAUGGAUCGAGGAUUUCCUCCUCCACAUCCACAUGGCUCGCGGUGAUGAUGUACAUGCCAUCAAGUACCUCCCACUAAAACUCAAAGGACCAGCUCGGCAUUGGCUGAAUAGCCUGCCAGCAAACUCCAUUGGUAGUUGGGAGAAUUAGGAAGAUGCAUUCCUUGACAACUUCCAGGGCACUUAUGUGCGACCACCAGAUGCUGAUGACUUGAGCCACAUAACCACUACUAGGAAAAGGGCUAUAGAUGGAAUGGCCACUAAUGGCGCACCACAUGUCUGGUGCGCCAUUAGUGUGAAAGACACUAAUGGCGCACCAGACAAACGGUGCGCCAUUAGUAACAAAUUUUAUUUUUUUAUUUUGCCAGACAUACUAAUGGCGCACCAGCACAUAGUGCGUCAUUACUAGUUGUAACUAGUAAUGGCGCACCAGCAACAUAGUGCGCCACUAAUUUUUUUUUUACUUUUUUGCAAAACUACUAAUGGCGCACCUGGUGCGGUGCGCCAUUACUAGUUUAAGCUAGUAAUGGCGCACUGCUCCCCGUGCGCCAUUAGUGUAUAUUUCAUGGACACUUGAUCUCGAUCCCCCUCCAUCUCGCGAUCGCUAUCCCACCUCGCCAGAUCCGGUCCCCCUCGCCGCCGAGCACCCCCUGCACCCUCUACCCCGCUCCACCGGGCGCCGCCCCCGACCCCCCGCACCCUCCCCCGCUCCACCGCCGCCGACGACCCACCGCANNNNNNNNNNNNNNNNNNNNNNNNNNNNNNNNNNNNNNNNNNNNNNNNNNNNNNNNNNNNNNNNNNNNNNNNNNNNNNNNNNNNNNNNNNNNNNNNNNNNNNNNNNNNNNNNNNNNNNNNNNNNNNNNNNNNNNNNNNNNNNNNNNNNNNNNNNNNNNNNNNNNNNNNNNNNNNNNNNNNNNNNNNNNNNNNNNNNNNNNNNNNNNNNNNNNNNNNNNNNNNNNNNNNNNNNNNNNNNNNNNNNNNNNNNNNNNNNNNNNNNNNNNNNNNNNNNNNNNNNNNNNNNNNNNNNNNNNNNNNNNNNNNNNNNNNNNNNNNNNNNNNNNNNNNNNNNNNNNNNNNNNNNNNNNNNNNNNNNNNNNNNNNNNNNNNNNNNNNNNNNNNNNNNNNNNNNNNNNNNNNNNNNNNNNNNNNNNNNNNNNNNNNNNNNNNNNNNNNNNNNNNNNNNNNNNNNNNNNNNNNNNNNNNNNNNNNNNNNNNNNNNNNNNNNNNNNNNNNNNNNNNNNNNNNNNNNNNNNNNNNNNNNNNNNNNNNNNNNNNNNNNNNNNNNNNNNNNNNNNNNNNNNNNNNNNNNNNNNNNNNNNNNNNNNNNNNNNNNNNNNNNNNNNNNNNNNNNNNNNNNNNNNNNNNNNNNNNNNNNNNNNNNNNNNNNNNNNNNNNNNNNNNNNNNNNNNNNNNNNNNNNNUAUGAUUUAAACAAGUUUGAACAUAUUUAAACACAAAUAAAUAUCAAACAGCAUUUUAAAUGCAUAAAAAAAUUGGGGAGCCUGGGAAUCGAACCCAGGACCUCCUAGUGUGUGUGCUGCGUGCUGACCAGUCGGGCUAGUGGGCAUGUUCUAAUGGAGAUAGGGUUAGGUGGGAUAUAACCUGACCAGUCGGGCUAGUAAGUAAAACAAAAUUCUAAUGGCGCACCAGGGGGAGGUGCGCCAUUAGAAUCGACGUACUUAUGGCGCACCAGGGGGAGGUGCGCCAUUAGAAUUUUUAUACUUGUUCCCCUCGCACUGUCGCCUCCCUCCCUCCCUCGCUCGCCAGAUCCCCCACUCCUCGACCCCAACCGUACGCCGCCGCCCCCUUGCUCCGCCCCCUCCGUCCGCCGCGCCUGCACGCCGGCGAGCGCGGCCCCGACGCGCCCAUCCCGCCUGCCCCUGCCGUGCUCCGCCACCGGCCCCUGCUCUCCUUCGACCGCGGCGAGCGAGGACCCGGAAGAGCUCAGAUCCCGACCGCGACCCCUUCGCCGACCCCGACCCGACCCCUCCGGCGACCAGGUACCUCUCCUCCUUCCUCCUUCCUCCCUCUCUCCACCACUCCCCAUUCCCUCCCACCUGUCCAGCGCCGACUCCAUCACCAUGGACUGACUCCCUCGCAGUCGAGAUCCGCCCCGUCGACGUCUAGCAGCCUAGCUCGACCUCCAGCCACUCCAGCUCCCUGGUGCGCCAAAAAGGUGGCAGCUCGUAGGUAAUAACACAGAAGCUCAAGGUGACCAGGGCUCAAGGUACUAACACAGAAGCUGACAAUGUCCCAUGCUCUAGUUCUGUCCAUUCUCUACCACUUCGAGGGUAACUUUGAAUUUCAGAAAUUUCCGAAGAAACAAAAUAUGAACUGUAUGAUACAAUAUAGAGCAGACUUGGUGAGUCAAGUUUUAGCUCCUUUCUCCGAACUUCAUCUCGUAGCUGACAGUAAUCCAAGGCCUGAAAUGUCGAAUAAUAUUUUUCAGAUAAGUUAAGAAGAUCAUAGGGCCUCUGUAUUUGAGAAAUGCACACACCCAUAUUGUGAAGACAUAUCAAACUAAAAAACAAUUGCGAGCACUUUAAAAGAGGGUCCUCUGUUUCUGUUAUUUUCUAAUUCACUAUGACCACUUUGCACACACGCAGAUGUAAUCAAAAUAACAACAUCUGUAUUCAUCAACCUCUGAUAUGGAUAUCAUACUCGUGUAUUCAGUGAUGGCCUAGUGUACACAAAAGUCAGUCACACACCAAACAUUGGGAAUGCAUAGCCUGUUGGAGUAUUCCUUCUUGAGCCAGGCUCGUAGCCUCGUACAUUGCUUUUAGUAUGGGUGUAGAAUCUCUAGCAGAUAGUUCACUAGUAUAACAACAAUGGUCAUUGUUUAGUAUUUGGCACUUCUGUUUAGGUUAAAACAAUGUUAUUUUUUUGUUCUUUUGCAAAGAUUAGAGUGCAGCAGCCCUGUAGAUUGUGAUUAAUUACUAUAUGAUUCAGUUCUAAAUAUUUUGUUUUAUGAUCCCAGUGCAAAGGAAUUCAUAUUUUAGUUUACAUCUGUCUAUGUAGUGUGUUGUGAAGGCCAAGUUUGAGAAGUGGUGGUGUCGCAGAGCAAUCCUCUCCCUUGAUAGGUACAAUGUCCACUCUUCCACAUGUCUUAGUUUUUUUAAUGCAAUUGCUUCAUUGCCAUAUUACAUCAUUAACUGUUAUAUAUUCCAAAUCGUGCAAAACUUCAAUAGGUCAAACCUUAUGUGAUGAUACAGGUUGUUAGUUGCUACUAGAAAGUGUUGAGAGAUAUUAAAGCGGUGUAACAAUUGCUGUCGGGUUUAGCAACUGAUAUCUUCUUCAUCUCCUUUUGCACUGCUUACAUGUAAGGUAUUGUAGUUUAGGUGCUUCUUUCACCAGCUGCAAAACAAUGCAGCUGGUGCUUGAUGCAUGUGUUAAUGCAUGCAUAAUGCUAGUAAGCUCCUGUUAUGGGUCUCAAGCAUGAAUGUACCCCAAGAUUUCUAUUGGAACUGGACAUGUGUUAAUGCAAUUAGGUGCUUCUUUCACCAGCGGCAAAACAAUGCAAUUUCAUACGUUUUCACCAGCUGCAAAACAUCAUAAAAAUACCAUUAGGUACUUCCGUAAACACAAAAAUAGAAACAAUGCAAGACAUGGCUUGUCUCUGAUCCUCUGUUUUCUUUUUUCAUUGGUUGCAUUUUGAUCCUAAAUGUCAAUCAAUAAGUCUAUUAUUAGGAAUCAGCAAAGUUGAUUAUCUAUUCUACAUAAUUUCUAAUCUGAUGUUUGCAUUUCCUAACUGUAGCAUUUUUUUCUCAGACCAAGGCAAAUGAAAUCGACUAAAGAAAGAAAUAGCAUUUACCAAUUACCACUAACCAUGGCACUAAUGUUUCACCUUAGAUCAUAUGUUUGUUCUCUGAUACACAUGUGGGAAACCUUCUAAACAACAACCUAUUAAUGGUAGGUGUUCUUUGUAUUGUGGAAUACAUCGCAUGUUUUAUAAAUGGGGUCAGAUGUAUAAUUAGUCGAUGUAUAAUCCUGGUACUAAUUGGUCUCUUCUGCUGCUUAUCAGAGAUGGGGGGAAGCAGCCACCGCCGCUCUGCCUCACCGGAGUACGAGUUGGAUGCUUUCGAGUUCUUCAGUAUCAUACUUGGGACUUCAGUAUCAGCCACGAGGCAGGUAUAUAAAACGAGAGAUCUCCCCUUCACCCAUCUCAUUAUGAUAACUCUGUUGUUUGCUACAUCACUCCUUGUCCCAAAUUGCAGAGGCUGCCUGACACUUUUAUGAACAUGCUGGGUGAAGAUCCGCCACAUAAUGUGAAGCUCCGACAGGCCGGCAGCGGGGUUCGCAGGCUGUGGGACGUGGAGUUGGUGAUCGAGGAGGGCCACAUGUACCUGUGCCGUGGCUGGGAGAAGUUCUACAGUGCCUACGACCUACGGACCGGGUACUUUCUUCUCUUUAGGUACGACGAUGACGCCACAAUGCUCAUCGUGAAUGUUUUCAACACGACUAUGUGUCGCAUGCGCUACACUGACGACGAAGAUGCCAGUGCGUUCUGCCUCUUCUUAUUCCUCUACAUUUGGCUUUGUCUCACAUCGAUUGUUAACGGCCAUUGUUGCAUUUGGACAGGCAAUGGGAGCAGCAGCAGCGACACUGGCUAUAGCCAAAGCAGCAGCGAUUAUGGUUGUAGCAAAAGCAACAACGAUUCUGGCUUUAGCGAAAGCAGCAGCGAUUCUGGCAGCAGCAAAGACAACAAGAAGGAUGAUCCGGACUGGAGUGGGGGAGAAGAGGAGCAGAGUGGGCCGCUGCAGGAUGACGAUGGACAUCAGGCUGAGGAUGACCUAGCGCUGGUGGUGGCUGACCAAGGGCAAGAGAUGUUGGUGGUUGACCAUGGGCAAGAGAUGGUGGUGGCUGACCAUGGGCAAGAGAUGGUGCUGGCUGACCAUGGGCAAGAGAUGGUGGUGGCUGAGGAUGACCUAGCGAUGGUCGUGCCCGUCCUGCCUGAAGGUGGCCUCACGAUGGUGGUGGUGCCUGACAAUGACCACGCACCGGUGGUGGCGCCGGCGAUCCCACAACUGGGCGACAUGACCACGCCAAUUGUGGUAGAAGACUACAUCCCACAGCUGCCUCCACCGCCUCGCCGCUCUUGGCGCAUCAGGCUGAGGAAGGAGAAGGAGAAGAACAAUGAGAACUGAACUAUGUGAAACUUUUGUAAUAUGGUGUUGGAUGGAUAACGAUGUUGGAUGAACAAUGUGAAACUUUUGUAAUAUGUAACGAUGGAACUAUGUGUUGGCUAUGUAUGUAUAUAUGAUGAAACUUGUGUGUUGGAUAUGAUUGUUAUAUGGAUGCUUGUUGUAUAUAUAUGUGUUGGAUAUCUCAUAUGUGAAAUAGUGACCUGAGAUUAAGAAAAAAACGAUUUUUUUAAAUAAAAAAUGCUACUAAUGGCGCACUUCCAUCUGGUGCGCCAUUAGUAUACCAGUUACUAAUGGCGCACCUAUGGGAUACUAAUGGCGCACCCGUGGUGCGCCAUUAGUAUACCAGAUACCAAUGGCGCACCUGUGGUGCGCCAUUACUAAAAUAUUCUAGUGGCGUGGUGCUAGUGGCGCACCAGUAGUGCGCCAUUAGUAGGCAAAACUGGUGCGCCACUAGUAAGCCUUUUUCUAGUAGUGAACCCAACAGCCUAGGGAAUCGGCCAGGAAAUUCUGGACUCGGUUCCUAACGAAAAAGAACCAAAUCGUCGACUGUCCGGAUGCCGAGGCCUUAGCGGCAUUUAAGCAUAACAUCCGGGAUGAGUGGCUCGCCCGACACCUCGGCCAAGAGAAGCCGAAGUCCAUGGCAGCCCUCACGACACUCAUGACCCGCUUUUGCGCAGGUGAAGAUAGCUGGCUGGCUCGCAGCAACAACACAUCAAGGAAUCCCGGCACUUCAGAUGCCAAAGAUAAUAACGGCAGACCACGUCGUAACAGACACAAGCGCCGCAACAACGGCGAUAACGCCGAAGACACGACAGUCAAUGCCGGAUUCAGUGGAUCUAAAUCCGGUCAGCGGAAAAAACCGUUCAAAAGAAGCAAUCCGGGCCCGUCCAGUUUGGACCGUAUACUCGAUCGCUCGUGUCAAAUUCACGGCACCCACGAUAAGCCAGCCAAUCACACCAAUAGAGAAUGCUGGGUGUUCAAGCAGGCCGGCAAAUUGAAUGCCGAAAACAAGGACAAGGGGCUGCAUAGAGACGAGGAGGAGGAGCCCCGGCCGCCGAACACAGGAGGACAGAAGAGGUUCCCUCCACAAGUGAAAACGGUGAACAUGAUAUACGCAACCCACAUUCCCAAGAAGGAACGGAAGUGCGCACUAAGGGAUGUCUAUGCGAUGGAGCCAGUCACCCCAAAGUUCAACCCAUGGUCCUCUUGUCCGAUCACCUUCGAUCGCAGGGACCACCCCACUAGUAUCCGUCAUGGUGGAUCUGCCGCAUUGGUCCUUGACCCCAUCAUUGACGGGUUUCACCUCACUCGAGUCCUUAUGGACGGUGGCAGCAGCCUGAACCUGCUCUAUCAAGAUACAGUGCGCAAAAUGGGCAUAGACCCCUCAAGGAUCAAACCCACCAAAACCACCUUUAAAGGUGUAAUCCCAGGUGUAGAGGCCUGUUGCACGGGCUCAAUCACGUUGGAAGUGGUUUUCGGGUCUCCGGACAACUUUCGAAGCAAGGAGUUAAUCUUCGAUAUCGUCCCCUUUCGCAGCGGCUAUCACGCACUGCUCGGACGAACCGCAUUUGCCAGAUUCAAUGCAGUACCGCAUUACGCAUACCUCAAACUCAAAAUGCCAGGACCGCGCGGGGUUAUAACAAUUAAUGGAAACACAGAGCGCUCGCUCCGCACGGAGGAGCACACUGCGGCCCUCGCAGCAGAAGCGCAAAGCAGCCUUAUUAGGCAAACUGCCAAUUCGGCGAAAAAGACCCUGGACACCUUCAAGAGAGUCCGGAGUACCCCGCAGGUGGAUCGGCAGGCACGUUUUGAGCUCGAGUAGCAAUUCGGCCUCCGUCCUAGUCCCAGUCAAGUGGCGAAAUUUGCGCCGCGCGUACAUACCUACGCACUCAAGAUACCAUGGGCAUAGGCGGAGGCACCACUACGGCACGUCCCACAAUGCGGCUCAACCGCCCCAGGGGCUGUAUACCUUUAUCAUUUUCUCUCUUUCAGGACCUUACUCUCUGGAAGCCCUUUCCGGCAGUCUAAUUGUUGGACUCAUCGCAGUAAGGAAAUACCAAGGAAGCAAGACGGUCUGACGUACAAAGGGAAUCCCCAGGUGGUCUCUGAUAACGAUCAAAAUACCUGUUUUACAUACCCGCACGCAACUUGCCCUUGGAUAGGACAUGUCAAAUGGCCCUAUUUUUUGCUUAUUACACUACUUGUAUCCGUACGCCUUGACGUAUUAUUUAAUAACAAUGCAUAGCGUUAGCCUAUUAUUGCAUUCCCCUUUCCUUUUUUUUCUUUUCCUUGUCUGCCUAUUACGACAAAUUGCACCCGUACAUUCUGGUACGACAGUGCGCCAGGGGCCUCAGUAUACCCCAUAACACGGCGUGAGAAGUCCGAACACUUUCGACAGUGCGGCACCCCGAACUUAUAGCAUUAUAUGCAUCAGCUCCAAAUCAUGUCUUGGGUCAAUAGUUGGGUUUGCCCGGCUCCCAUGUUUUGGUACCUUACGUUCCGCAAUAUCGGCUAAGGUAGCGCUGGGAGAACUACUGCGAUUGUGUCCCGAUUCUUCCGGACGAGCACCUCAGUAGAGAAAGCCGAAAACUGACUGUCAUGAUGAGGCGAGAGCUGGUCGCUGUUCGAGAGGUCUCAAGUCCUUAAAGACUUUUUCCGCUUCGGGCGAGGAGUCGGCCUUGUCCGACUUAGGCGUAUAUAGCGCCCCGUAUUCGGCCUUCCGAAUACUAGGGGCUUCGCCAAAAUUUAAAAUUGUAGACUUCUAUGGCUAAGUGAGAGCGAUAAAGCUUUAUAGUCCGAUUGCCUGGUUCGCUGUGCUGAACACCUCCUUUGAAGGACCCAAAAUUGGGAUAAAGAGUGCUCAGGUUUAUCCCGAACACCUCAGUACUAGUUACAUGUGGGCAGAAGCCGACGACUGGCCAACUCUCAAAUUUCAUAAAGGCCGCACAGAAGGUAAUAUUUUAAAUUAACAAGCGUUGCAUAGCGCAAAUGAACUCGUUUCAUAUUACAGGAUCACAUGAGUACAUUCAUUCGAAUAUUACGUCCUUAGCACAUUCCUCCGCCACAAGGCGAGCACCCUUCAGGACACUGUCAUAAUACAUUUCGGGGUGGCGAUACUCCUUGCCUUCCGGUGGCCCCUCCUUCACCAGCUUUACGGCGUCCAGCUUCGCCCAGUGCACCUUCGCCCGGGCAAAAGCCCUGCGCGCACCCUCGAUGCAAACGGACCGCUUUAAGACUUCAAGCCGUGGGCAGGCAUUCACAAGCCGCCUCACCAGACCGAAGUAGCUAUCAGGCAGGGGCUCCCCAGGCCACAUCCGGACUAUAAGACCCUUCAUGGCCUGUUCGGCCACCUUGUGAAGCUCGACCAGUUGCUUCAGCUGGUCGCUCAAGGGCAUUGGGUGUUCGGUCCCAGUAUACUGAGACCAGAACAACUUCUCCGUCAAAAUCCCCUCCUCAGCCCGGUAGAACUCUGCGGCAUCCGACACACUGCGGGGCAGAUCUGCGAACGCUCCUGGAGAGCUCCAAACUCGGGUAAGUAAAAGGAAAGUUUCCUUCACAUGCUUGCUUUGCAUAAUGAAUGCCUUACCCGCUGCUAUCUUCUUAACCGCCUCAAUUUCCUGGAGGGCCUUUUGGGCUUCGGCCUUGGCAUGUUGUGCGCUUUCGAGGGCCUUCGCAAGCUCGGACUCUCGCGUCUUAGAGUCAAGCUCCAAGGACUCGUGUUUUUUGGCGAGAGCCUGGAGCUCUUGCUGCACCUCGCCCACCCGGGCUUCUUGCUUUUCUCGCUCGAUGCGCUCCUUGGCCGCUUUGUCUUCGGCCUCGGAUAGUGCCUUCUGCAGGGUCGCCACUUCGGUCAUGGCCCCUAGCAAAAUUCAUGACGAUCCUAUUAUUCUAAAACCAAAUUUUUUAAUAUACAGACGGGGUAUCGCUUACCUUUGUUCUCUUCAAGCUGCCUCUUGGUAAGGCCGAGCUCUUCCUUGGACCGCUCAAGGUCCUGCUUCAGUGUAGCGACCUCCGCAGUACGUGCAGUAGCGGCUAGCAGUGAAGCCUGCAUAUGCACAUAGACAUAUUCCGAUUAGACUCCUGCGGUCAUUAUUUGAUCCUCUAUUCGGCCUUUCUUCGCGAACGCCAAACAGAGCAUCAGGGGCUACUGUCUACGCGGUAACAUUCUCUUAUAAUCUGGUUACUUACCUCAAAGCCUGUUAGGAGGCUGGCACAGGCUUCAGUCAGUCCGCUCUUGGCGGACUGAACCUUCUUGACCACCGCACUCAUGAUAGUGCGGUGCUCUUCGUUGAUGGAAGCGCCGUGAAGCGCUUCCAGCAAGUUGUCCAAUGACGCUGGAUGGACAGAGGCCAUCGGCACAGGCGGCUUGCCCCUCUUAGCGAGGGGUUGCCUGACAGAGUCCGGAACCACUGGAGGUUCCGGCGCAGUAUUUGGUUGGGGGCCGAAUUUGCUGCCCCGUCAUCGGAGCCCAUGGGAGUCUUGCUCCCCUUGCGCCCAGUGUCCGGAAUGUCACCUUGAGGCGCCUCCAGGACUACCUCCCCUCGGCUUGGUGCCCUUUGAGACAACACCUCGACAUUGUCCGUAGGGCGAGGGGAGGAGGCGGUGGGAAGUGAAUCGCUGUUCAGAUCCGACGGGUCCAAAGAACCAUCCGACGAAGAUACGUCGAUAUGGGCUCGGGACGGACUGCAUAAUCAUGUUCGGCGUGAUGAGAAGCAGUGCAAUAAAACAUAUCAAGGAUUAUUAUGGUAUCCGGAUACUUACGACUUCGCCAGGGGCUUGUCCCUGGGCAACCACUCGUCGUCACUAUAGGUGGCCGUCGUGGCGCAGUCCGGGCGGAGGGUCCUUCCCUUCUUGGACCCUUCGGCCUCCCCGGAGGGGGCGGCCUUCCUUUUCUUGUCCCCUCCGGCUGGGGAGGGGGGAGAAAUUUCCUCUUCUUCCUCCUUGUUUUCGUGGAAGGAGUGCACCUCGGUGUUUUCGGACGAUGAGUCCGAUAUAACCUUGCGCCGGAGACCCUUCCGGGUCCCCGUGGCCUUCUUCUUGGCCUUCUUCACCGGCACCUCGUAAGGCGCCGGAACCAGCAUCUCCGUUAGGAGAGCAUCUGCUGGAUCUUCAGGCAGGGGGCUGGACAAUCGAUCUGCUCCGCUGUCUCUACCCGGUCCUGUUAAAUGGCGUGGAGGCUUAGACCCCGCGCAUGGUUAAACUAGGGAAAAUGAACAUCUUAUGAGACAUAAAAGACUUACCGGAUUGGCAGGGCGCUUUGCGCUGACUCCGCGGUCCUCGGUAAGGGGAGGAGGUACCUCGGCGCCCUUGAACAGCACCUUCCAGAUGUCCUUGUGUGUCGUGUCGCAGAGCUCUCGCAGCAUCUGGUGCUCGGCCGGGUCGAACUCCCACAAAUUGAAUGCCCGCCUUUGACACGGGAGGAUCCGGCGGAAGAGCAUGACUUGGACCACGUUGACGAGCUUAAUUUUCUUGCUCAUCAUGUUUUUGACGCAGGUCUGGAGUCCGGUCAGCUCUACCGAGGAACCCCGGGAUAGGCCCUUCUCUUUCCAGGAGGUGAGCCGCAUGGGGAUCCCGGAUCGAAAUUCGGGGGCCGCCACCCAGUUGGUGUCGCGCGGCUCGGUGAUGUAGAACCACCCCGAUUGCCACCCCUUUAUGGUCUUCACGUUGGAGCCUUCGAGCCAGGUGACGUUGGGCAUUUUGCCCACCAUGGCGCCUCCGCACUCCGCUUGCUGGCCGACCACCACCUUCGGUUUAACAUUGAAGGUCUUCAGCCACAGGCCGAAGUGGGGCUUGAUGCGGAGGAAGGCCUCGCACACGACGAUAAACGCCGAGAUGUUGAGGAUGAAAUUGGGGGCCAGAUCGUGAAAGUCCAGCCCGUAGUAGAACAUGAGCCCACGGAUAAACGGGUGGAGGGGAAAUCCCAGUCCGCGGACGAAGUGGGUAAGAAAAAACACCCUCUCAUGGGGUUCUGGAGUAGGGACGAUCUGCCCCGCAUCUGGCAGCCAGUGUGCGAUAUCCGCGGCCAGAUAUCCGGCUCUCCGUAGCUUUGUGAUGUCCUCCUCCGUAACGGAGGAGACCAUCCACUUGCCUCCCGCUCCGGACAUGCUUGGAGUGGUUUGAGGAGAAAAUGCGAACUUGGGUGCUGGAGCUCGAGUGCGCAAGAAUGGAUGAGCAAGGAGGAAGAAGGCGUGGGUGAAAAAGAAGAAUCCUUGUCCCUUUAUAAAGGCGGAAGAAACUAUACGCCUCCCACCUGCCUGGUAAAACUCGCUUAUUCCCCAAGCGCCGUAAUUGAUGGCGCGGUUGGGUUACCCACACCCGUAUUGUUGAGAAUCACGUGAUAAGGGGACACGAUCUCUGCUUCGACAAGGCGUGCCAAGAAAACCGCCUCGCAAUAUGUGCAGUAGCUGGUUGAGAAAAACGGUUCGAAUAAUGACCAGGCCGUGGUGUGAUGUCACGUUAUGAAAAGUUGUCAGCAGAUUAGAUUUGUGGAAAUAUUAUUCUCUCUAUGGUGGUAUGUGGAAUUUGUUUUGCAGAGUCGGACACUAUCCUUGUGUUUAGAAUCUUCUAUGGAGUAUUCGGAGGAAGAACCCGCCUUGCAAUGCCGAAAACAAUCUGCACGCCGGACUCAUCGUCAUUGAAGCCUGGUUCAGGGGCUACUGAGGGAGUCCUGGAUUAGGGGGUCCUCGGACAGCCGGACUAUAUCCCUUAGCCGGACUGUUGGACUAUGAAGAUACAAGAUUGAAGACUUCGUCCCGUGUCCGGAUGGGACUCUCCUUGGCGUGGAAGGCAAGCUUGGCAAUACGGAUAUGUAGAUCUCCUCCCUUGUAACCGACUCUGUGUAACCCUAGCCCCCUCCGGUGUCUAUAUAAACCGGAGGGUUUAGUCCGUAGGACAACGACAAUCACACCAUAGGCUAGCUUCUAGGGUUUAGCCUCUACGAUCUCGUGGUAGAUCAACUCUUGUAAUACUCAUAUCAUCAAGAUCAAUCAAGCAGGAAGUAGGGUAUUACCUCCAUCGAGAGGGCCCGAACCUGGGUAAACAUCGUGUCCCCCGCCUCCUGUUACCAUCCGCCUUAGACGCACAGUUCGGGACCCCCUACCCGAGAUCCGCCGGUUUUGACACCGACAUUGGUGCUUUCAUUGAGAGUUCCACUGUGUCGUCGCGAUAAAGUCUUGAUGGAUCCUUUGAUCAUCGACAACGAUGCGAUCCGGGGCGAGGUUUUCCUCCCCGGAAAGAUCUUCGUAUUCGGCGGCUUCGUACUGCGGGCCAACUCGCUUGGCCAUCUGGAGCAGAUCGAGAGCUACGCCCCUGGCCAUUAGGUCAGGUUUGGAAACUUGAACUAUACUACCGACAUCCACGGAGACUUGAUCUUCGACGAAUUCGAGCCCAUGUCAGGUGCGCCGCACAGUCACGAUGAGCAUGACUUAGCUCUGCCGUCGGACAGUGUUCGGGAGAUCACACCUGCAACUACUCCGGCCCUCAAUCCGGAACAGAUUGUGCCGUCCGAGGACGGGUGGAUGGACCCCACCACGAAGGCCGCACACUCAACGGUGAUAGAGCCGAAUGCUGACUUCACUUCCUAUGAGGCCCGUGUUGCCGGACACUUGGAUUCGUCCCCGACCACGGGCUCCGAGCCGCCUGCGUCCGUGCCUAUCGAAUCCGAUUGGGCACCGAUUAUGGAGUUUUCCUCCGCGGAUAUCUUUCAGCACUCACCACUGGGCGACGUGCUAAGCUCAUUGAGGUCUCUCUCCUUGUCAGGAGACCCUUGGCCGAACUAUGUCCGGCUAGAGUGGGAUGCGGGCGAUGAAGAAAUUCGCUCCCCACCCAACACCCACUUAGUAGCCACCGUCGACGAUUUAACUGACAUGCUCGAUUUCGGCUCCGAAGACAUCGACGGUAUGGACGACGAUGCAGGAGACGAACAGGAACCACCGCCCACAGGGUGCUGGAUUGCCACCUCACCGUAUGAUAUAUACAUGGUGGACACCCCCAAAGAAGGCAAUGGCGAUAAGACAACAGAGGAUAAUCCCUCCAAGAAGCAAUCCAAGCACCGACGUCAGCGGUGCCGCUCUAAGUCCCGCCAUACCAAAAGCAGCGAUACCGGCACAAGAGACAAUAACGCUCCGGAUAGUGCCAAAGACGACGACAAUCCCCUCCAGCCAGACCUCGGGCGGGAGGAUGAAUAAGCUAGCCCUCCGGAACAGGCAGCAGACGGAGAAUCAGAGGAUGACAAUUACAUGCCUCUCUCCGAAGACGAGGUGAGCCUCGGCGACGAAGAAUUUAUCGUGCCUGAGGAUCCCGUUGAGCAGGAGCGCUUCAAGCGCCGGCUUAUAGCCACAACAAACAGCCUGAAGAAAAAGCAACAACAGCUUCGAGCUGAUCAAGAUCUGCUAGCGGAUAGAUGGACUGAAGUCUUGGCGGCCGAGGAAUACGAACUUGAGCGCCCAACCAAGACUUACCCAAAGCGCAGGUUGCUACCCCAACUCGAGGAGGAAACAUUAAAACCUACAUUACCAGCGUAUGAUGCAGCCGAUCGGCCACCUCGUGGCCGAGACAGAGGGGCAUAUCAGCCCGAAGUCCAGCCCGCACCCCGUCGCCAGGCAAACAAAAACACCAAGGCCCGGGGCAACACGCAGGACCUGCGAAGCGCAUUGGAAAACAAAGCAGGACAUACAAGAUCGAUCUACGGAUCACGGGGUCGCGCCCCAACGCGUGACGAUGAUCGUCACGCCGGACACACUAAAAGCAAAUCCGGCCGGGUCGAAUACAGCAGACAAGACUCGUAUGAACUGCGUCACGACAUAGCCCGACACAGAGGUGCCGCACACCCCCUAUGCUUCACUGACGAAGUAAUGGAUCACGAAUUCCUAGAAGGGUUUAAACUCGUAAACAUUGAAUCAUAUGAUGGUACUACAGACCCCGCGGUAUGGAUAGAAGACUUCUUCCUCCACAUUCACAUGGCCCGCGGGGAUGAUCUACACGCCAUCAAGUAUCUCGCGCUAAAACUCAAAGGGCCGGCUCUGCAUUGGCUGAAUAGCUUGCCGGCAAACUCCAUCGGAAGUUGGGAGAGUGUGGCAGAUGCAUUCCUGGACAAAUUCCAGGGUACUUAUGUGCGAUCGCCGGAUGGUGACGAUUUAAGUCAUAUAACUCAGCAGCCAGGGGAAUCGGCCAGGAAAUUCUGGACCCGGUUCCUAACUAAGAAGAACCAAAUUGUCGACUGUCCGGAUGCAGAGGCCUUAGCGGCAUUCAAGCAUAACAUCCGUGACGAGUGGCUCGCCUGGCACCUCGGUCAAGAGACGCCAAAAUCCAUGGCAGCCCUCACGACACUUAUGACCCGCUUUUGCGCAGGCGAAGAUAGCUGGUUGGCUCGUAGUAACAACACAGCAAGCAAACCUGGCACAUCAGAGGCCAGGGAUAGCAACGGCAAACCACAACGCAACAAACACAAGCGCCGCAAAUAUGGUGAAAACGCCGAAGAUACGGCAGUUAAUGAUGGGUUUAAUGGCUCAAAGUCCAGUCAGCAGAAAGGGCCACUCAAAAAUAACAAUUCGGGUCCAUCCAGUCUGGACCGCAUACUCAAUCGUCAAUGCCAAAUUCAUGGCACCCCAGGGACGCCAGCCACCCAUACCAACAGAGAAUGUUGGGUCUUCAAACAAGCCGGCAGGGCAGGCGCCAAAAACAGAGAAGGGGGGUCUCAAAGCGACGAUGGCGACGAAGAGCCCAGAUCACCGAACACAGGAGGGCAAAAGAAAUUUCCCCCGCAAAUCCAAAUGGUGAACGUGGUAAACACCACCCAAAUUCCCAACCCAGACCGGAUACGCACCCUUAGGGAUGCCGACUUAACGGAACCAGUCGUCCCACAAUAUAAACUAGGGCCGGUCACCUUCAACCGCACGGAUCGUCCGGUUAAUGCCAAUUAGGGCAAUCCAGCCGCACUAGUCCUUGACCCAAUAAUUGACGGGUUCCACCUCACACGAGUCCUUAAGGAUGGAGGCAGCAGUCUAAACCUGCUUUACCAGGACACAGUGCGCAAGAUGGGCAUCGAUCAUUCGGUGAUCAAACCCACUAAAGCCACUUUCAGAGGCAUUAUACCAGGUGUGGAAGCCAGCUGUACAGGCUCCAUCGCCCUCGAGGUAGUCUUCGGAUCACCAGACAAUUACCGUAAAGAAGAGUUAAUCUUCGAAAUCGUCCCUUUCCGCAGUGAUUAUCAGGCACUGCUCGGACGAACCGCGUUCGCUCGAUUCAACGCGGUGCCACAUUAUGCCUACCGUAAGCUCAAAAUGCCCGGUCCACGCGGCGUCAUCACGGUUAAUGGCAAGGAUGAGCUUUACUUCAGCAUCAACGAGUACACCACUGCCUUAACAACAGAAGCAAUGAGCAGCACCUUGCAGCCGAACCUCGAGUCGACGGCCAGGCUCCCGGACACCGUCAAAGGACUCCGAACUACUUCCCGGAAGGAUAACUCGGCUCGUCCAGAGCUCAAUUAAACAUUCUGACGAAGGCCAGGACAGGCCGCACUCAGCGGCUCAACCGCUCUCCGGCACGCAAACAUUUCUUACAUUUCCUUCGCAGGUUCACCUUUGCGCCGACCAGGACGGGCGAUAUGGAGGCAGCUUGAACGCGCAAGGGAAUCCUUAGACAUUCCCCACGAUGACCAUCCGACUAUACUCCGGAUCCGCACACAGCUUCUUCGCCCCAGGUCUCAACAGGUUCCAUAGUCAUAUUUCCUUUUUACCACAUUACCUGUACUUAUACGCAUUGACGUACCAUUCAAACACAACUUAUGAAUUCAUAUGACGCUUAUCUGCUGUUAUUUCUUAUUAAAAUUCUUUUAUCAAGUGGCUGUUGGGGAACGUAGCAGAAAUUCAAAAUUUUCCUACGUGUCACCAAGAUCAAUCUAGGACAUGCUAGCAACAAGAGGGGAGGAGUGCAUCUACAUACCCUUGUAGAUCGCGAGCGGAAGCGUUCAAGAGAACGGGGUUGAUGGAGUCGUACUCGUCGUGAUCCAAAUCACCGAUGAUCCUAGCGCCGAACGGACGGCACCUCCGCGUUGAACACACGUACGGAGCGGGGACGUCUCCUCCUUCUUGAUCCAGCAAGGGGGAGGAGAAGUUGAUGGAGAUCCAGCAGCACGACGGCGUGGUGGUGGAAGUAGCGGGAUCCCGGCAGGGCUUCGCCAAGCGCAAGCGGGGAGGAAGAGGUAUCACGGGGGGAGGGAGGCGCCAGGGCUUGGGGUGCUGCUCCCAUGCACCUCCCCACUAUAUAUAGGGGUGGAGGGGGCUGGUUUCUUGCCCUCCAAGUCCAUUGGGGCGUUGGCAAAGGUGGGGGAAAGAAAUCCCAUCAUUUCCCUUCCCCACCGAUUGUUAUCCCCUUUUUUAGGGAUCUUGAUCUUAUCCCUUCGGGAUAUGAUCUUAUUCCUUCUAAGGUGGGAUCUUGGUGCGCCUUGACCAGGGGUGUGGGGCCUUGCCCCCACUACCCACGUUCAUGUGGGUCCCCCCAUGCAGGUGGGCCCCACUUCAGAACCUUCUAGAACCUUCCCGGUACAAUACCGAAAUAUCCCGAACAUUUUCCGGUGGCCAAAAUAGGACUUCCCAUAUAUAAAUCUUUACCUCCGGACCAUUCCGGAACUCAUCGUGACGUCCGGGAUCUCAUACGGGACUCCGAACGACUUUCGGAUUUCCGCAUACUAAUAUCUCUACAACCCUAGCGUCAUCGAACCUUAAGUGUGUAGACCCUACGGGUUCGGGAGACACGCAGACAUGACCGAGACGACUCUCCGGUCAAGAACCAACAGCGGGAUCUGGAUACCCAUGUUGGCUCCCACAUGUUCCACGAUGAUCUCAUCGGAUGAACCACGAUGUCGAGGAUUCAAUCAAUCCCGAUACAAUUCCCUUUGUCAAUCGGUACGUUACUUGCCCGAGAUUCGAUCGUCGGUAUCCCAAUACCUUGUUCAAUCUCGUUACCGGCAAGUCACUUUACUCGUACCGUAAUGCAUGAUCCCGUGACCAAACACUUGGUCACAUUGAGCUCAUUAUGAUCAUGCAUUACCGAGUGGGCCUAGAGAUACCUCUCCAUCAUACGGAGUGACAAAUCCCAGUCUCGAUUCGUGCCAACCCAACAGACACUUUCGGAGAUACCUGUAGUGCACCUUUAUAGCCACCCAGUUAGGUUGUGACGUUUGGUACACCCAAAGCAUUCCUACGGUAUCCGGGAGUUGCACAAUCUCAUGGUCUAAGGAAAUGAUACUUGACAUUAGAAAAGCUCUAGCAAACGAACUACACGAUCUUGUGCUAUGCUUAGGAUUGGGUCUUGUCCAUCACAUCAUUCUCCUAAUGAUGUGAUCCCAUUAUCAAUGACAUCCAAUGUCCAUGGCCAGGAAACCAUAACCAUCUAUUGAUCAACGAGCUAGUCAACUAGAGGCUUACUAGGGACAUGUUGUGGUCUAUGUAUUCACACAUGUAUUACGGUUUCCAGUUAAUACAAUUAUAACAUGAACAACAAACAAUUAUCAUGAACAAGGAAAUACAAUAAUAACCAUUUUAUUAUUGCCUCUAGGGCAUAUUUCCAACAGUCUCCCACUUGCACUAGAGUCAAUAAUCUAGUUCACAUCACCAUGUGAUUAACACUCAAAGUUCAGUAGAGUCAAUAAUCUAGUCCACAUCACCAUGUGAUUAACACUCAAUGAGUUCUAGGGUUUGAUCAUGUUAUGCUUACGAGAGAGGUUUUAGUCAACGGGUCUGCAACAUUCAGAUCCGUGUGUGCUUUAGAAAUCUCUAUGUCAUCUUGUAGAUGUAGCUACCACGUGCUACUUGGAGCUAUUCCAAAUAACUGUUCUACUAUACGAAUCCGGUUUACUACUCAGAGUCAUCCGGAUUAGUGUCAAAGUUUGCAUCGACGUAACCCUUUACGACGAACUGUUUUACCACCUCCAUAAUCGAGAAAAUUCCUUAGUCCACUAGAUACUAAGGAUAAGUUCGACCGCUGUCAUGUGAUCCAUUCCCGGAUCACCGUUGUACCCCUUGACUAACUCAUGGCAAGGCACACUUCAGGUGCGGUACACAGCAUAGCAUAUUGUAGAGCCUACGUCUAAAGCAUAGGGGACGACCUUCGUCCUUUCUCUCUCUUCUGCCGUGGUCAGGUCUUGAGUCUUACUCAAUACUCACACCUUGUAACACAGCCAAGAACUCCUUCUUUGCUGAUCUAUUUUGAACUCCUUCAAAAUCUUGUCACGGUAUGUAUUCAUUUGAAAGUACUAUUAAGCGUUUUUGAUCUAUCCUUAAAGAUCUUGAUGCUUAAUGUUCAAGUAGCUUAAUCCAGGUUUUCCAUUAAAAACACUUUUCAAAUAACCCUGGAUGCUUUCCAGAAAUUCUACAUCAUUUCUGAUCAACAAUAUGUUAACAACAUAUACUCAUCAAAAAUUCUAUAGAGCUCCCACUCACUUCUUUGGAAAUACAAGUUUCUCAUGAACCUUGUAUAAACCCAAAAUCUUUGAUCAUCUCAUCAAAGCGUUCAUUCCAACUCCGAGAUGCUUACUCCAAUCCUUAGAAGGAUUGCUGGAGCUUUGCAUACUUGUUAGCAUCUUUUCGGAUUGACAAAACCUUCUGGUUGUAUCACAUACAACCUUUCCUCAAGAAAAUCGUCGAGGAAACAAUGUUUUGACAUCCUAUCUGCAAGAUUUCAUAAAUAAUGCAGUAACUGCUAAUAUAAUUCUAACAGACUCUUAGCAUCGCUUCGAGUGAGAAAGUCUCAUCGCAGUCAACUCCUUGAACUUGCCGGAAAACAUCUCAAUGACAAGUCGAGCUUUCUUAAUGGUGACACUUACCAUCAUUGUCUGUCUUCCCUUUAAAAUCCAUCUGUACCCAACAGCCUUACGACCAUCAAGUAGUUCUUUCAAAGUCUAUACUUUGUUUUCAUACAUGGAUCCUCUCAGAUUUUAUGGCCUCAAGCCAUUCGUCGGAAUCCGGGCCCACCAUCGCUUCUCCAUAGCUCGUAGGUUCAUUGUUGUCUAGCAACAUGACUUCCAAGACAGGAUUACGUACCACUCUGAAGUAGUACGCAUCCUUGUCAUCCUAUGAGGUUUGGUAGUGACUUGAUCUGAAGUUUCAUGAUCACUAUCAUAAGCUUCCACUUCAAUUGGUGUAGGCACCACAGGAACAACUUCCUGUGCCCUGCUACACAUUAGUUGAAGUGACGGUUCAAUGACCUCAUCAAGUCUCCACCAUCCUCCCACUCAAUUCCUUCGAGAGAAACUUUUCCUCGAGAAAGGACCCAUUUCUAGAAACAAUCACUUUUGCUUCCAGAUCUGAAAUAGGAGGUAUACCCAACUGUUUUGGGUAUUCUAUGAAGAUGCAUUUAUCUGCUUUGGGUUCGAGCUUAUCAGCCUGAAACUUUUUCACAUUAGCGUCGCAGCCCCAAACUUUUAAGAGACGACAGCUUAGGUUUCCCUAAACCAUAGUUUAUACGGUGUCGUCUCAACGGAAUUGCGUGGUGCCCUAUUUAAAGUGAAUGCGGUUGUCUCUAAUGCCUAACCCAUAAACGAUAGUUGUAAUUCGAUAAGAGACAUCAUGGUAUGCACCAUAUCCAAUAGGGUGCAGUUAUGAUGUUCGGACACACCAUCACAAUAUGGUGUUCUAGGCGGUAUUAGUCGUGAAACAAUUUCCACAAUUUCUUAAUUGUGUGCCAAACUCGUAACUCAGAUAUUCAUCUCUAUGAUCAUAUCACAGACAUUUUAUCCUCUUGUCAAGACGAUCUUCAACUUCACUCUGAAAUUACUUGAACCUUUCAAUAAUUCAGACUUGUGUUUCAUCAAGUAAAUAUUCUCAGCAUCUACCAAAUCAUCUGUGAAGUAAGAACAUAACGAUAUCCACGGCGUGCCUCAGCACUCAUUGGACUGCACACAUCAAAUGUAUUACUUCCAACAAGUUGCUCUCUUGUUCCAUCUUACUGAAAACGAGGCCUUUCAGUCAUCUUGCCCAUGUGGUAUGAUUUGCAUGUCUCAAGUGAUUCAAAAUCAAGUGAGUCGAAAUGAUCCAUCUGUAUGGACUUUCUUCAUGCAUAUAUACUAAUAGACAUGGUUCGCAUGUCUCAAUCUUUUAAAAAACGAGUGAGUCCAAAGAUCCAUCAACAUGGAGCUUCUUCAUGCGUUUUAUACCAAUAUGACUCAAGUGGCAGUGCCACAAGUAUGUGGUACUAUCAUUACUAUGUUAUAUCUUUUGGCAUGAACAUGUGUAUCACUACGAUCGAGAUUCAAUAAACCAUUCAUUUUAGGUGCAAGACCAUUGAAGGUAUUAUUCAAAUAGACAAAGUAACCAUUAUUCUCCUUUAAUGAAUAACUGUAUUGCGAUAAACAUAAUCCAAUCAUGUCUAUGCUUAACGCAAACACCAAAUAACAAUUAUUCAGGUUUAGCCCCAAUCUCGAUGGUAGAGGGAGCAUGCGAUGCUUGAUCACAUCAACCUUGGAAACACAUAUUGUCAUCUCACCUUUAGCUAGUCUCCGUUUAUUCCGCAGCUUUUAUUUCGAGUUACUAACACUUAGCAACCGAACCGGUAUCUAAUACCCUGGUGCUACUAGGAGUACUAGUAAAGUACACAUUAAUAUAAUGUAUAUCCAAUAUACUUCUGUCGACCUUGCCAGCCUUCUCAUCUACGAAGUAUCUAGGGUAGUUCUGCUUCAGUGACCGUUCCCCUCAUUUCAGAAGCACUUAGUCUCGGGUUUGGGUUCAACCUUGGGUUUCUUCACUAGAUCAGCAACUGUUUUGCCGUUUCAUGAAGUAUCCCUUCUUGCCCUUGCCCUUCUAGAAACUAGUGGUUUUAAUAACCAUCAACAAUUGAUGCUCCUACUUGAUUUCUACUUUCGCGGUGUCAAACAUCGCGAGUUGCUCAAGGAUCAUCAUGUCUAUCCCUGAUAUGUUAUAGUUCAUCACGAAGCUCUAAUAGCUUGGUGGCAGUGACUAUGGAGAACCAUCACUAUCUCAUCUGGAAGAUUAACUCCCACUCGAUUCAAGUUAUUGUAGUACUCAGACAAUCUGAGCACAUGCUCAACGAUUGAGCUUUUCUCCCUUAGUUUGCAGGCUUAAGAAACUUGUCAGAGGUCUCAUACCUCUUGACGUGGACACUAGUCUGAAAUCCCAAUUUCAGUCUUUGGAACAUCUCAUAUGUUCUGCGACGUUUCAAAACCAUCUUUGGUGCCACAAUUUUAAACCGUUCAACAUUACGCACUGAACUAUCACGUAGUCAUCAAAACGUGUAUGUCAGAUGUUCGCAACAACCACAAACGACGCUCGAGGUUCAGCACACCGAGCGGUGCAUUAAGGACAUAAGCCUUCUGUGCAGCAAUGAGGACAAUCCUCAGUUUACGGACCCAGUCCGCAUAAUUGCUACUAUCAACUUUCAACUAAAUUUUCUCUAGGAACAUAUCUUAGUAGAACUAAAGCGUAAGCUACGACAUUAUUUGCAAAGACCUUUUGACUAUGUUCAUGAUAAUUAAGUUCAUCUGAUUAUUUAAUGAACUCCCACUUAGAUAGACAUCCCUCUAGUCAUCUAAGUGAUACAUGAUCCGAAUCGACUAGGCCAUGUCCGAUCAUUAUGUGAGACGGACUAGUCAUCAUCGGUGAACAUCUCCAUGUUGAUCGUAUCUACUAUACGACUCAUGUUCGACCUUUCGAUCUCUUGUGUUCCGAGGCCAUGUCUGUACAUGCUAGGCUCGUCAAGUCAACCUAAGUGUUUUGCUUGUGUUCCGAGGCCAUGUCUGUACAUGCUAGGCUCAUCAACACCCGUUGUAUGCGAACAUUAGAAUCUAUCACACCCGAUCAUCACGUGGUGCUUCAAAACAACGAACCUUCGCAACGGUGCACAGUUAGGGGGAACACAUCUCUUGAAAUUUUAGUGAGGGAUCAUCUUAUUUAUGCUACCGUCGUUCCUUAGAUGUAAAAAUGACAAACAUCACAUGCAAAUCAUAAAGUGACAUGAUAUGGCCAAUAUCAUCUUGCGCCUUUUGAUCUCCAUCUUCGAGGCGCGGCAUGAUCACCUUCGUCACCGGCAUGACACCAUGAUCUCCAUCAUCAUGAUCUCCAUCAUCGUGUCUUCAUGAAGUUGUCUCGCCAACUAUUACUUCUACUACUAUGGCUAACGGUUAGCAAUACAGUAAAGUAAUUACAUGGCGUUUUUCAUUGACACACAGGUCAUACAAUAAAUUAAGACAACUCCUAUGGCUCCUGCCGGUUGUCAUACUCAUCGACAUGCAAGUCGUGAUUCCUAUUACAAGAACAUGAUCAAUCUCAUACAUCACAUAUAUCAUUCAUCACAUCCUUUUGGCCAUAUCACAUCACAUAGCAUACCCUGCAAAAACAAGUUAGACGUCCUCUAAUUGUUGUUGCAUGUUUUACGUGGCUGCUAUGGGUUUCUAGCAAGAACGUUUCUUACCUACGCAAAAGCCACAACGGUGAUAUGCCAAUUGCUAUUUACCCUUCAUAAGGACCCUUUUCAUCGAAUCCGAUCCGACUAAAGUGGGAGAGACAGACACCCGCUAGCCACCUUAUGCAUCAAGUGCAUGUCAGUCGGUGGAACCUGUCUCACGUAAGAGUACGUGUAAGAUCGGUCCGGGCCGCUUCAUCCGACAAUGUCGUCAAAUCAAGAUAAGACUAGUAACGGUAAGCAAAUUGAACAAAUCGUCGCCCACAACUACUUUGUGUUCUACUCGUGCAUAGAAACUACGCAUAGACCUACCUCAUGAUGCCACUGUUGGGGAACGUAGCAGAAAUUCAAAAUUUUCCUACGUGUCACCAAGAUCAAUCUAGGAGAUGCUAGCAAUGAGAGGGGAGGAGUGCAUCUACAUACCCUUGUAGAUCGCGAGCGGAAGUGUUCAAGAGAACGGGGUUGAUGGAGUCGUACUCGUCGUGAUCCAAAUCACCGAUGAUCCUAGCGCCGAACGGACGGCACCUCCGCGUUCAACACACAAACGGAGCGGGGACGUCUCCUCCUUCUUGAUCCAGCAAGGGGGGAGGAGAAGUUGAUGGAGAUCCAGCAGCACGACGGCAUGGUGGUGGAAGUAGCGGGAUCCCGGCAGGGCUUCGCCAAGCGCAAGCGGGGAGGAAGAGGUAUCACGGGAGGGAGGGAGGCGCCAGGGCUUGGGGUGCUGCUCCCAUGCGCCUCCCCACUAUAUAUAGGGGUGGAGGGGGCUGGUUUCUUGCCCUCCAAGUCCAUUGGGGCAUUGGCAAAGGUGGGGGAAAGAAAUCCCAUCAUUUCCGUUCCCCACCGAUUGUUAUCCCCUUUUUUAGGGAUCUUGAUCUUAUCCCUUCGGGAUAUGAUCUUAUUCCUUCUAAGGUGGGAUCUUGGUGCGCCUUGACCAGGGGUGUGGGGCCUUGCCCCCACUACCCACGUUCAUGUGGGUCCCCCCAUGCAGGUCGGCCCCACUUCGGAACCUUCUAGAACCUUCCCGGUACAAUACCGAAAAAUCCCGAACAUUUUCCGGUGGCCAAAAUAGGAUUUCCCAUAUAUAAAUCUUUACCUCCGGACCAUUCCGGAACUCCUCGUGACGUCCGGGACUCCGAACGACUUUCGGAUUUCCGCAUACUAAUAUCUCUACAACCCUAGCGUCACCGAACCUUAAGUGUGUAGACCCUACGGGUUCGGGAGACAUGCAGACAUGACCGAGACGACUCUCCGGUCAAUAACCAACAGCGGGAUCUGGAUACCCAUAUUGGCUCCCACAUGUUCCACGAUGAUCUCAUCGGAUGUACCACGAUGUCGAGGAUUCAAUCAAUCCCGUAUACAAUUCCCUUUGUCAAUCGGUACGUUACUUGCCCGAGAUUCGAUCGUCGGUAUCCCAAUACCUUGUUCAAUCUCGUUACCGGCAAGUCACUUUACUCGUACCGUAAUGCAUGAUCCCGUGACCAAACACUUGGUCACAUUGAGCUCAUUAUGAUCAUGCAUUACCGAGUGGGCCCAGAGAUACCUCUCCAUCAUACGGAGUGACAAAUCCCAGUCUCGAUUCGUGCCAACCCAACAGACACUUUCGGAGAUACCUGUAGUGCACCUUUAUAGCCACCCAGUUAGGUUGUGACGUUUGGUACACCCAAAGCAUUCCUACGGUAUCCGGGAGUUGCACAAUCUCAUGGUCUAAGGAAAUGAUACUUGACAUUAGAAAAGCUCUAGCAAACGAACUACACGAUCUUGUGCUAUGCUUAGGAUUGGGUCUUGUCCAUCACAUCAUUCUCCUAAUGAUGUGAUCCCAUUAUCAAUGACAUCCAAUGUCCAUGGUCAGGAAACCAUAACCAUCUAUUGAUCAACGAGCUAGUCAACUAGAGGCUUACUAGGGACAUGUUGUGGUCUAUGUAUUCACACAUGUAUUACGGUUUCCAGUUAAUACAAUUAUAGCAUGAACAACAGACAAUUAUCAUGAACAAGGAAAUACAAUAAUAACCAUUUUAUUAUUUCCUCUAGGGCAUAUUUCCAACAGUGGCAUUCGUACACCAUGAUAUGCCCUCAAAUAUGCCAGGGGCUUCGUUUUACCCAUAAUACGGCAAUAAAGUCCGAACACCCUUGCGGAAGUUCGGCAUCCCGAACCUAUAGCAUUAUAUGCAUCAACUCCAAGUCAUGUCUUACGUCAAUAGUUGGGUUUGCCCGGCUCCCACGUUUUGGUACCUUACGUUCCGCUAUAUCAGCUAAGGUAGCACUGGGAGAACUACUGCGAUUGUGUCCCGGUUCUUCCGGACGAGCACCUCAGUAGAGAAAGCCGAAAACUGACUGUCAUGAUACGACGAGAGGUGGUCAGCUGUUCAAGAGGUUGUAAAAUCUUUAAGGAUUUCUCCCGCAUAAUGCCAUAACCAAUGCAGCGUGCGAUGGAUCGGUUUUUUCUUCCGAUCAGGUGCUUAUAGAGCCCCUCGUGCGGUCUUCCGAACACCAGGGGCUGCGCCUACCUUCCUAAAGCUCCUAUGGCUAAGUGAGAGCGAUAAAGCCCUAUAGUCUGAUUGCCUGGUUCGUUGUGUUGAACACCUCCUUCGAAGGACCCAAAACUGGGAUAAAGAGUGAUCAGGUCUAUCCCGAACACCCCCUGUCGGUGUCAAAACCGGUGGAUCUCGGGCAGGGAGUAUCGAACUGUGCGUCUAAGGCGGAUGGUAACAGGAGGCGGGGGACACGAUGUUUACCCAGUUCCGGGCCCUCUUGAUGGAGGUAAUACCCUACUUCCUGCUUGAUUGAUCUUGAUGAUAUGAGUAUUACAAGAGUUGAUCUACCACGAGAUUGUAGAGGCUAAACCCUAGAAGCUAGCCUAUGGUAUGAUUGUUGUUGUCCUACGGACUAAACCCUUCGGUUUAUAUAGACACUGGAGGGGGCUAGGGUUACACAGAGUCGGUUACAAGGGAGGAGAUCUACAUAUCCAUAUCGCCAAGCUUGCCUUCCACGCCAAGGAGAGUCCCAUCCGGACACGGGACGAAAUCUUCAAUCUUGUAUCUUCAUAGUCCAACAGUCCGGCUAAAGGAUAUCACUACUAGGAAAAGGCCUGCUAGUGGCGCACCUGUUUUGGCCAUUAAUGGCGCACUACAGGUGCGCCACUAGCAUCACGCCACUAGUAAUUAAUACUAAUGGCGCACCCCUAGUGCGCCAUUGGUAUACCAGAUACUAAUGGCGCACCCCUGCUGCGCCAUUGGUAUAUCACACGGUGCGCCAUUAGUAUACCAGAUACUAAUGGCGCACCACAUGGAAGUGCGCCAUUACUAACAUUUUUUUUCAAAUUUUUUCGGAAUUUUUUUUCAAUUUUUUUGUUUUUUCUUAAUCUUGGGUCAAUAUGCUUAAUCUCAAGUCAAAUCGCACUCCCUGGUCAAACUUCCCGAAAGGUCACCCAUCCUCACAUUACUCCAGCCCAAGCACGUUUAACUUCAUAGUUCUACCCAACCCCAGCACCAGCUCACUUAACACGCAUUUGUUGAUAUAUCUAGCAUAUCAAUCCUAUUAAACCUUGUUGAUGUCUAGGACAUUGUUCAUGUUCAUAAGUGUGAUGAAAUUUUGAAGAAAUAUUUCAAACUUUCGUUCAUAUUACGUAUCAUAUUUUGAAUAUUUUUUCAAAAAAAAUCGAAACUAAUUUUUUUUCUGUUACUAGUGGCGCACCUAGCAAAUGGUGCGCCACUACUAAGUUUGAAUUUUUUUCCAUUUUCCCCUCUAGAUCUUAAAAGCCCCGUAUCUUUUAUUCUGUUAGGUUUUUGGGGAUUCUAAAAAUCUUCAACGGGGUUCCUCCUCCGAAUACUCCGUAGAAGAUUUUGAACACAAGGAUAGUGUCCGGCUCUGCAAACCAAAUUCCACAUACCAUCGUAGAGAGAAUAAUAUUUCCACAAAUCUAAUCUGCUGACAACUUUUCAUAACGUGGCAUCACACCACGGUCUGGUCAUUAUUCGAACCGUUUUUCUCAACCAGCUACUGCACAUAUUGCGAGGCGGUUUUCUUGGCACGUCCUGUCGAAGCAGAGAUAGUGUCCCCUUAUCACGGGAUUCUCAUCAAUACGGGUGUGGGUAACCCAACCGCGCCAUCAAUUAGGGCGCUUGGGGAAUAAGCGAGUUUUACCAGGCAGGUGGGGAGGCGUAUAGUUUCUUCCGCCUUUAUAAAGGGACAAGGAUUCUUGUUUUUCACCCACGCCUUCUUCCUCCUUGCUCAUCCAUUGUUGCGCACUCGAGCUCCAGCACCCAAGUUCGCAUCUUCUCGUCAAACCACUCCAAGCAUGUCCAGAGCGGGAGGCAAGUGGAUGGUCUCCUCCGUUACGGAGGAGGACAUCACAAAGCUACGGAGAGCCGGAUAUCUGGCCACGGAUAUCGCACACCGGCUGCCAGAUGCCGGGCAGAUCGUCCCUACUCUAGAACCCCAUGAGAGGGUGUUUUUUCUUACACUUCGUCCGCGGACUGGGAUUUCCCCUCCACCCGUUUGUCCGCGGGCUCAGGUUCUACUACGGGCUGGACUUUCACGAUCUGGCCCCCAAUUUCAUCCUCAACAUCUCGGCGUUUAUCGUCGUGUGUGAGGCCUUCCUCCGCAUCAAGCCCCACUUCGGCCUGUGGCUGAAGACCUUCAAUUUUAAACCGAAGGUGGUGGUCGGCCAGCAAGCAGAGUGCGGAGGCGCCAUGGUGGGCAAAAUGCCCAACGUCACCUAGCUCCAAGGCUCCUACGUGGAGACCAUAAAGGGGUGGCAAUCGGGGUGGUUCUAUUGAAGGAAAUAUGCCCUAGAGGCAAUAAUAAAGUUAUUAUUUAUUUCCUUAUAUCAUGAUAAAUGUUUAUUAUUCAUGCUAGAAUUGUAUUAACCGGAAACAUAAUACAUGUGUGAACACAUAGACAAACAGAGUGUCACUAGUAUGCCUCUACUUGACUAGCUCGUUGAUCAAAGAUGUUUAUGUUUCCUAGCCAUAGACAUGAGUUGUCAUUUGAUUAACAGGAUCACAUCAUUAGGAGAAUGAUGUGAUUGACUUGACCCAUUCCGUUAGCUUAGCACUCGAUCGUUUAGUAUGUUGCUAUUGCUUUCUUCAUGACUUAUACAUGUUCCUAUGACUAUGAGAUUAUGCAACUCCCGUUUACCGGAGGAACACUUUGUGUGCUACCAAAUGUCACAACGUAACUGGGUAAUUAUAAAGGUGCUCUACAGGUGUCUCCAAAGGUACUUGUUGGGUUGGCGUAUUUCGAGAUUAGGAUUUGUCACUCCGAUUGUCGGAGAGGUAUCUCUGGGCCCACUCAGUAAUACACAUCACUAUAAGCCUUGCAAGCAUUGUGACUAAUGAGUUAGUUGCGGGAUGAUGUAUUACGAAACGAGUAAAGAGACUUGCCGGUAACGAGAUUGAACAAGGUAUUGAGAUACCGACGAUCGAAUCUCGGGCAAGUAACAUACCGAUGACAAAGGGAACAACGUAUGUUGUUAUGCGGUCUGACCGAUAAAGAUCUUCGUAGAAUAUAUGGGAACCAAUAUGAGCAUCCAGGUUCCGCUAUUGGUUAUUGACCGGAGAGGUGUCUCGGUCAUGUCUACAUAGUUCUCGAACCCGUAGGGUCCGCACGCUUAACGUUACGAUGACAGUUAUAUUAUGAGUUUAUAUGUUUUGAUGUACCGAAGGUUGUUCGGAGUCCCGGAUGUGAUCUCGGACAUGACGAGGAGUCUCGAAAUGGUCGAGACAUAAAGAUUGAUAUAUUGGAAGCCUACGUUUGGACAUCGGAAGUGUUCCGGGUGAAAUCGGGAUUUUUCCGGAGUACCCGGAGGUUACCGGAACCCCCCGGUAACUUGAUGGGCCUUAGUGGGCCUAGGUGGAACAGAGGAGAGGAGGCCAGGGCAAGGCCGCACGCCCCUCCCCCCAGUCCGAAUAGGACAAGGAGAAGGGGCCGGCGCCCCCCUUUUCCUUCCUCCCCUCCACCUCUUCCCCCUCUCUCUCCUAGUCCAACAUGGAAAAGGGGGGAGUCCUACUCCCGGUUGGAGUAGGACUCCUCCUGGCGCGCCUCUCCCCUUGGUCGGCCGAACCCCCCUUGGUCCUUUAUAUACGGGGGCAGGGGGGGCACCUCUAGACACACAAUUGAUUAUUGAUCUCUUAGCCGUGUGCGGUGCCCCCCUCCACCAUAUUACACCUCGAUAAUAUCGUAGCGGUGCUUAGGCGAAGCCCUGCGUCGGUAGAACAUCAUCAUUGUCACCACGCUGUCGUGCUGACGAAACUCUCCCUCAACACUCGGCUGGAUCGGAGUUCGAGGGACGUCAUCAAGCUGAACGUGUGCUGAACUCGGAGGUGCCGUACGUUCGGUACUUGAUCGGUCGGAUCGUGAAGACGUACGACUACAUCAACCGCGUUGUGAUAACGCUUCCGCUUUCGGUGUACGAGGGUACGUGGACAACACUCUCCCCUCUCGUUGCUAUGCAUCACCAUGAUCUUGUGUGUGCGUAGAAUUUUUUUGAAAUUACUACGUUCCCCAACAGUGGCAUCCGAGCCUGGUUUUAUGCGUUGAUGUUAUAUGCACGAGUAGAACACAAGUGAGUUGUGGGCGAUAUAAGUCAUACUGCUUACCAGCAUGUCAUAUUUUGGUUCAGCGGUAUUGUGAGAUGAAGCGGCCCGGACCGACAUUACGCGUACGCUUACGCGAGACUGGUUUCACCGUUGCGAGCACUCGUUGAUUAAAGGUGACUGGCGGGUGUCUGUCUCUCUCACUUUAGUUGAACCGAGUGUGGCUACGCCCGGUCCCUGCGAAGGUUAAAACAGCACCAACUUGACAAACUAUCAUUGUGGUUUUGACGCGUAGGUAAGAACGGUUCUUGCUAAGCCCGUAGCAGCCACGUAAAACUUGCAACAACAAAGUAGAGGACGUCUAACUUGUUUUUGCAGGGCAUGUUGUGAUGUGAUAUGGUCAAGACAUGAUGCUAUAUUUUAUUGUAUGAGAUGAUCAUGUUUUGUAACCGAGUUAUCGGCAACUGGCAGGAGCCAUAUGGUUGUCGCUUUAUUGUAUGCAAUGCAAUCGCCAUGUAAUUGUUUUACUUUAUCACUAAGCGGUAGCGAUAGUCGUAAAAGCUAUAGUUGGCGAGAUGACAACGAUGCUACGAUGGAGAUCAAGGUGUCGCGCCGGUGACGAUGGUGAUCAUGACGGUGCUUCGGAGAUGGAGAUCACAAGCACAAGAUGAUGAUGGCCAUAUCAUAUCACUUAUAUUGAUUGCAUGUGAUGUUUAUCUUUUAUGCAUCUUAUCUUUGAUUGACGGUAGCAUUAUAAGAUGAUCUCUCACUAAAAUUUCAAGAUAAAAGUGUUCUCCCUGAGUAUGCACCGUUGCCAAAGUUCGUCGUGCCCAGACACCACGUGAUGAUCGGGUGUGAUAAGCUCUACGUCCAUCUACAACGGGUGCAAGCCAGUUUUGCACACGCAGAAUACUCAGGUUAAACUUGACGAGCCUAGCAUAUGCAGAUAUGGCCUCGGAACACUGAGACCGAAAGGUCGAGCGUGAAUCAUAUAGUAGAUAUGAUCAACAUAGUGAUGUUCACCAUUGAAAACUACUCCAUUUCACGUGAUGAUUGGUUAUGGUUUAGUUGAUUUGGAUCACGUAAUCACUUAGAUGAUUAGAGGGAUGACUAUCUAAGUGGGAGUUUUUUAAGUAAUAUGAUUAAUAGAACUUAAAUUUAUAAUGAACUUAGUACCUGAUAGUAUCUUGCUUGUCUAUGUUAAUUGUAGAUAGAUGGCCCGUGCUGUUGUUCCAUUGAAUUUUAGUGCGUUCCUUGAGAAAGCAAAGUUGAAAGAUGAUGGUAGCAAUUACACGGACUGGGUCCGUAACUUGAGGAUUAUCCUCAUUGCUGCACAGAAGAAUUACGUCCUGGAAGCACCGCUGGGUGCCAGGCCUGCUGCAAGAGCAACACCAAAAGUUAUGAACGUCUGGCAGAGCAAAGCUGAUGACUACUCGAUAGUUCAGUGUGCCAUGCUUUACGGCUUAGAACUGGGUCUUCAACGACGUUUUGAACGUCAUGGAGCAUAUGAGAUGUUCCAGGAGUUGAAGUUAAUAUUUCAAGCAAAUGCCCGGAUUGAGAGAUAUGAAGUCUCCAAUAAGUUCUACAGCUGCAAGAUGGAAGAGAAUAGUUCUGUCAGUGAGCAUAUACUCAAAAUGUCUGGGUAUAAUAAUCACUUGAUUCAACUAGGAGUUAAUCUUCCGGAUGAUAGCAUCAUUGACAGAAUUCUUCAAUCACUGCCACCAAGCUACAAGACCUUCGUGAUGAACUAUAACAUGCAAGGGAUGAAUAAGACAAUUCCCGAGCUCUUCGCAAUGCUAAAGGCGGCGGAGGUAGAAAUCAAAAAGAAGCAUCAAUUGUUGAUGGUCAAUAAGACCACUAGUUUCAAGAAAAAGGGCAAAGGGAAGAAGAAGGGGAACUUCAAGAAGAACAGCAAGCAAGUUGCUGUUCAGGAGAAGAAACCCAAAUCUGGACCUAAGCCUGAAACUGAGUGCUUCUACUGCAACCAGACUGGUCACUGGAAGUGGAACUGCCCCAAGUAUUUGGCGGAUAAGAAGGAUGUCAAGGUGAACAAAGGUAUAUGUGAUAUACAUGUUAUUGAUGUGUACCUUACCAGAGCUCGCAGUAGCACCUGGGUAUUUGAUACUGGUUCUGUUGCUAAUAUUUGCAACUCGAAACAGGGACUACGGAUUAAGCGAACAUUGGCCAAGGAUGAGGUGACGAUGCGCGUGGGAAACGGUUCCAAAGUCGAUGUGAUCGCCGUCGGCACGCUACCUCUGCAUCUACCUUCGGGAUUAGUAUUAGACCUAAAUAAUUGUUAUUUGGUGCCAGCGUUGAGCAUGAACAUUAUAUCUGGAUUUUGUUUGAUGCGAGACGGUUAUUCAUUUAAAUCAGAGAAUAAUGGUUGUUCUAUUUAUAUGAGUAAUAUCUUUUAUGGUCAUGCACCCUUGUAGAAUGGUCUAUUUUUAAUGAAUCUCGGUAGUAGUGACACACAUAUUCAUAAUGUCGAAGCCAAAAGAUGCAGAGUUGAUAAUGAUAGUGCAACUUAUUUGUGGCACUGCCGUUUAGGUCAUAUCGGUGUAAAGCGCAUGAAGAAACUCCAUAAUGAUGGACUUUUGGAAUCACUUGAUUAUGAAUCACUUGGUACUUGCAAACCGUGUCUCAUGGGCAAGAUGACUAAAACACCGUUCUCCGGAACUAUGGAGAGAACAACUGAUUUGUUGGAAAUCAUACAUUGAGAUGUAUGUCGUCCGAUGAAUAUUGAGGCUCGUGGCGGAUAUCGUUAUUUUCUCACCUUCACAGAUGAUUUGAGUAGAUAUGGGUAUAUCUACUUAAUGAAACAUAAGUCUGAAACAUUUGAAAAGUUCAAAGAAUUUCAGAGCGAAGUUGAAAAUCAUCGUAACAAGAAAAUAAAGUUUCGACGAUCAGAUCGUGGAGGAGAAUAUCUGAGUUAAGAGUUUGGCCUACAUUUGAAACAAUGCGGAAUAGUUUCGCAACUCACGCCACCCGGACACCACAGCGUAAUGGUGUGUCCGAACAUCGUAAUCGUACUUUACUAGAUAUGGUGCGAUCUAUGAUGUCUCUUACUGAUUUACCGCUAUCGUUUUGGGGUUAUGCUUUAGAGACGGCUGCAUUCACUCUAAAUAGGGCACCAUCAAAAUCCGUUGAGACUACGCCUUAUGAACUAUGGUUUGGCAAGAAACCAAAGUUGUCGUUUCUUAAAGUUUGGGGUUGCGAUGCUUAUGUGAAGAAACUUCAACCUGAUAAGCUCGAACCUAAAUCGGAAAAAUGUGUCUUCAUAGGAUACCCAAAGGAGACUGUUGGGUACACCUUCUAUCACAGAUCCGAAGGAAAGACAUUCGUUGCUAAGAAUGGAUCCUUUCUAGAGAAGGAGUUUCUCUCGAAAGAAGUGAGUGGGAGGAAAGUAGAACUUGAUGAGGUAACUGUACCUGCUCCCUUAUUGGAAAGUAGAUCAUCACAGAAACCAGUUUCUGCAACACCUACACCAAUUAGUGAGGAAGUUAAUGAUAAUGAUCAUGAAACUUCAGAUCAAGUUAUUACUGAACCUCGUAGGUCAACCAGAUUAAGAUCCGCACCAGAGUGGUACGGUAAUCCUGUUGUGGAGGUUAUGUUACUGGACCAUGACGAACCUACAAACUAUGAAGAAGCGAUGGUGAGCCCAGAUUCCGCAAAAUGGCUUGAGGCCAUGAAAUCCGAGAUGGGAUCCAUGAAUGAGAACAAAGUAUGGACUUUGGUUGACUUGCCCGAUGAUCGGCAAGCCAUUGAAAAUAAAUGGAUCUUCAAGAAGAAGACUGACGCUGACGGUAAUGUUACUGUCUAUAAAGCUCGACUUGUUGCGAAAGGUUUUCGACAAGUUCAAGGGAUUGACUACGAUGAGACCAUCUCACCCGUAGCGAUGCUUAAGUCUGUCCGAAUCAUGUUAGCAAUUGCUGCAUUUUGUGAUUAUGAAAUUUGGCAAAUGGAUGUCAAAACUGCAUUCCUGAAUGGAUUUCUGGAAGAAGAGUUGUAUAUGAUGCAACCGGAAGGUUUUGUUGAUCCAAAGGGAGCUAACAAAGUGUGCAAGCUCCAGUGAUCCAUUUAUGGACUGGUGCAAGCCUCUCGGAGUUGGAAUAAACGCUUUGAUAGUGUGAUCAAAGCAUUUGGUUUUAUACGGACUUUUGGAGAAGCCUGUAUUUACAAGAAAGUGAGUGGGAGCUCAGUAGCAUUUCUGAUAUUAUAUGUGGAUGACAUAUUGCUAAUUGGAAAUGAUAUAUAAUUUCUGGAUAGCAUAAAGGGAUACUUGAAUAAGAGUUUUUUAAUGAAAGACCUCGGUGAAGCUGCAUAUAUAUUAGGCAUCAAGAUCUAUAGAGAUAGAUCAAGACGGUUAAUUGGACUUUCACAAAGCACAUACCUUGACAAAGUUUUGAAGAAGUUCAAAAUGGAUCAAGCAAAGAAAGGGUUCUUGCCUGUACUACAAGGUGUGAGAUUGAGUAAGACUCAAUGCCCGACCACUGCAGAAGAUAGAGAGAAGAUGAAAGAUGUUCCCUAUGCUUCAGCCAUAGGCUCUAUCAUGUAUGCAAUGCUGUGUACCAGACCUGAUGUGUGCCUUGCUAUAAGUUUAGCAGGGAGGUACCAAAGUAAUCCAGGAGUUGAUCACUGGACAGCGGUCAAGAACAUCCUGAAAUACGUGAAAAGGACUAAGGAUAUGUUUCUCGUUUAUGGAGGUGACAAAGAGCUCAUCGUAAAUGGUUACGUUGAUGCAAGCUUUGACACUGAUCCGGACGAUUCUAAAUCGCAAACCGGAUACGUGUUUACAUUGAACGGUGGAGCUGUUAGUUGGUACAGUUCUAAGCAAAGUGUCGUGGCGGGAUCUACGUGUGAAGCGGAGUACAUAGCUGCUUCGGAAGCAGCAAAUGAAGGAGUCUGGAUGAAGGAGUUCAUAUCCGAUCUAGGUGUCAUACCUAGUGCAUCGGGACCAAUGAAAAUCUUUUAUGACAAUACUGGUGCAAUUGCCUUAGCGAAGGAAUCCGGAUUUCACAAGAGAAUCAAGCACAUCAAAAGACGCUUCCAUUCCAUCCGGGAUUUAUUCCAGGUGGGAGACAUAGAAAUUUUCAAGAUACAUACGGAUCUGAAUGUUGCAGACCCAUUGACUAAGCCUCUUCCACGAGCAAAACAUGAUCAGCACCAAGACUCCAUGGGUGUAAGAAUCAUUACUGUGUAAUCUAGAUUACUGACUCUAGUGCAAGUGGGAGACUGAAGGAAAUAUACCCUAGAGGCAAUAAUAAAGUUAUUAUUUAUUUCCUUAUAUCAUGAUAAUUGUAUAUUAUUCAUGCCAGAAUUGUAUUAACCGGAAACAUAAUACAUGUGUGAAUACAUAGACAAACAGAGUGUCACUAGUAUGCCUCUACUUGACUAGCUCGUUGAUCAAAGAUGGUUAUGUUUCCUUGCUAUAGACAUGAGUUGUCAUUUGAUUAACGGGAUCACAUCAUUGGGAGAAUGAUGUGAUUGACUUGACCCAUUCGGUUAGCUUAGCACUCGAUCGUUUAGUAUGUUGCUAUUGCUUUCUUCAUGACUUAUACAUGUUCCUAUGACUAUGAGAUUAUGCAACUCCCGUUUACCGGAGGAACACUUUGUGUGCUACCAAACGUCACAACAUAACUGGGUGAUUAUAAAGGUGCUCUACAGGUGUCUCCAAAGGUACUUUUUGGGUUGGCGUAUUUCGAGAUUAGGAUUUGUCACUCUGAUUGUCGGAGAGGUAUCUCUGGGCCCACUCAGUAAUACACAUCACUAUAAGCCUUGCAAGCAUUGUGACUAAUGAGUUAGUUGCAGGAUGAUGUAUUACGGAACGAGUAAAGAGACUUGCCGGUAACGAGAUUGAACUAGGUAUCGAGAUACCGACGAUCGAAUCUCGGGCAAGUAACAUACCGAUGACAAAGGGAACAACGUAUGUUGUUAUGCGGUCUGACCGAUAAAGAUCUUCGUAGAAUAUAUGGGAACCUAUAUGAGCAUCCAGGUUCUGCUAUUGGUUAUUGACCGGAGAGGUGUCUCGGUCAUGUCUACAUAGUUCUCGAACCCGUAGGGUCCGCACGCUUAACGUUACGAUGACAGUUAUAUUAUGAGUUUAUAUGUUUUGAUGUACCGAAGGUUGUUCGGAGUCUCGGAUGUGAUCUCGGACAUGACGAAAAGAUUGAUAUAUUGGAAGCCUAUGUUUGGACAUCGGAAGUGUUCCGGGUGAAAUCGGGAUUUUUCCGGAGUACCGGGAGGUUACCGGAACCCCCCGGUAACUUGAUGGGCCUUAGUGGGCCUAGGUGGAAGAGAGGAGAGGAGGCCAAGGCAGGGCCGCACGCCCCUCCCCCCAGUCCGAAUAGGACAAGGAGAAGGGGGCGGCGCCCCCCCUUUUCCUUCCUCCCCUCAACCUCUUCCCCCUCUCUCUCCUAGUCCAACAUGGAAAAGGGGGGAGUCCUACUCCCAGUAGGACUAUGACUCCUCCUGGCGCGCCUCUCCCCUUGGCUGGCCGAACCCCCCCUUGCUCCUUUAUAUACGGGGGCGGGGGGGCACCUCUAAACACACAAUUGAUUAUUGAUCUCUUAGCCGUGUGCGGUGCCCCCCUCCACCAUAUUACACCUCGAUAAUAUCGUAGCGGUGCUUAGGCGAAGCCUGCAUCGGUAGAACAUCAUCAUUGUCACCACGCCGUCGUGCUGACGAAACUCUCCCUCAACACUCGGCUGGAUCGGAGUUCGAGGGACGUCAUCGAGCUGAACUUGUGCUGAACUCGGAGGUGCCGUACGUUCGGUACUUGAUCGGUCGGAUCAUGAAGACGUACGACUACAUCAACCGUGUUGUGUUAACGCUUCCGCUUUCGGUCUACGAGGGUACGUGGAGAACACUCUCCCCUCUCGUUGCUAUGCAUCACCAUGAUCUUGCGUGUGCGUAGAAUUUUUUUGAAAUUACUACGUUCCCCAACAUCCAUAUCACCGAGCCGCGCGACACCAACUGGGUGGCGGCCCCAGAAUUUCGAUCCCGAAUCCCCAUGCGGCUCACCUCCUGGAAAGAGAAGGGCCUAUCCUGGGGUUCCUCGGUAGAGCUGACCGGACUCCAGGCCCGCGUCAAAAACAUGACGAGCAAGAAAAUUAAGCUCGUCUACGUGGUCCAAGUCAUGCUCUUCCGCCGGAUCCUCCCGUGUCAAAGACGGGCAUUCAAUAUUUGGGAGUUCGACCCGGCCAAGCACCAGACGCUGCGAGAGCUCUUCGACACGACGCACAAGGACGUCUGGAAGGUGCUGUUCAAGGGCGCCAAGGUCCCUCCUCCCCUUACCGAGGACCGCGGACUCAGCGCGAAGCGCCCCCCCCCUCGUGAAUUCGGAUGUAACUUUUCGAGUAGAUGAUUUUUCAUACAAAGACUUUUUAAUCCGAGUUCGUAUGCAAAAUUUAUGCCCAUUUUACAAAUUCCAAAGAGAUUUUGCAAAUAAAGUCAAAAUUCAUAUUUGUAAAUUUUCCCAACAAGUAGACCACAUAUCACAUGGGAAACUUAUUUUCUUUUAUUUUUUUUGACAUUUCCGUCAUUUUGUUUUAUUUUUUAAACUAAAAAGGCGGUCCACGGGGGGGGGUGCAUUCGGUGGAAUUUUUGGUAACUAGUAAUGGCGCACCACACCCACGGUGCACCAUUACUAACUUUGAAAAAAAAAUAAAAAAAUUGUUAGUAGUGGCGCACCGAGGGUGUGGUGCGCCAUUACUAGUUUUGAAAAAAAAAUUAGAACUAUUUGUUAGUAGUGGCGCACCGAGGGUGUGGUGCGCCAUUACUAGUUUUUUUUUAAAAAAUUGUUAGUAGUGGCGCACCGUGGAUGUGGUGCGCCAUUAGUAUUUGGAGUUUAAUGGCGUACCCACAGAUGGUGCGCCAUUAGUAUAUAGCAGUGGCGCACCACAUGUGUGAUGCGCCAUUAAUGUCCAUAUUAUCUAUAGCCCUUUUCCUAGUAGUCUAUAGUCCGGCUGUCCGAGGGCCCCCUAAUACAGGACUCCCUCAGUAGCCCCUGAACCAAGCUUCAAUGACGAUGAGUCCGGCGCACAGAUUGUCUUCGGCAUUGCAAGGCAGGUUCCUCCUCCGAAUACUCCGUAGAAGAUUUUGAACACAAGGAUAGUGUUCGGCUCUACAAAACAAAUUCCACAUACCAUCGUAGGGAGAAUAAUAUCUCCACAAACCUAAUCUGCUGACAACUUUUCAUAACAUGACAUCACACCACGGUUUGGUCAUUAUUCGAACCGUUUUUCUCAACCAGCUACUGCACAUAUUGCGAGGCGGUUUUCUUGGCACGUCUUGUCGAAGCAGAGAUCGUGUCCCCUUAUCACGGGAUUCUCAUCAAUACGGGUGUGGGUAACCCAACCGCGCCAUCAAUUAGGGCGCUUGGGGAAUAAGCGAGUUUUACCAUGCAGGUGGGGAGGCGUAUAGUUUCUUCCGCCUUUAUAAAGGGACAAGGAUUCUUCUUUUUCACCCACGCCUUCUUCCUCCUUGCUCAUCCAUUCUUGCGCACUCGAGCUCCAGCACCCAAGUUCGCAUCUUCUCCUCAAACCACUCCAAGCAUGUCCUGAGCGGGAGGCAAGUGGAUGGUCUCCUCCAUUACGGAGGAGGACAUCACAAAGCUACGGAGAGCCGGAUAUCUGGCUGCGGAUAUCGCACACCGGCUGCCAGAUGUGGGGCAGAUCGUCCCUACUCCAGAACCCCAUGAGAGGGUGGUUUUUCUUACACUUCGUCCGCGGACUGGGAUUUCCCCUCCACCCGUUUGUCCGCGGGCUCAUGUUCUACUACGGGCUGGACUUUCACGAUCUGGCCCCCAAUUUCAUCCUCAACAUCUCGGCGUUUAUCGUCGUGUGCGAGGCCUUCCUCCGCAUCAAGCCCCACUUCGGCCUGUGGCUGAAGACCUUCAAUUUUAAACCGAAGGUAGUGGUCGGCCAGCAAGCGGAGUGCGGAGGCGCCAUGGUGGGCAAAAUGCCCAACGUCACCUGGCUCGAAGGCUCCUACAUGGAGACCAUAAAGGGGUGGCAAUCGGGGUGGUUCUAUAUCAACGAGCCGCGCGACACCAACUGGGUGGCGGCCCCCGAAUUUCGAUCCGGAAUCCCCAUGCGGCUCACCUCCUGGAAAGAGAAGGGCCUAUCCUGGAGUUCCUCGGUAGAGCUGACCGGACUCCAGACCUGCGUCAAAAACAUGAUGAGCAAGAAAAUUAAGCUCAUCAACGUGGUCCAAGUCAUGCUCUUCUGCCGGAUGCUCCCGUGUCAAAGACGGGCAUUCAAUAUUUAGGAGUUCGACCCGGCCGAGCACCAGACGCUGGGAGAGCUCUUCGACACGACGCACAAGGAUGUCUGGAAAGUGCUGUUCAAGGGCGCCAAGGUACCUCCUCCCCUUACCGAGGACCGCGGACUCAGUGGGAAGCGCCCCCCUGUGAAUUCGGAUGUAACUUUUCGAGUAGAUGAUUUUUCAUAUAAAAAACUUUUUAAUCCGAGUUCGUAUGCAAAAGUUAUGCCCAUUUUACAAAUUCCAGAGAGAUUUUGCAAAUAAAGUCGAAAUUCAUAUUUGUAAAUUUUCCCAACAAGUAGACCACAUAUCACAUGGGAAACUUAUUUUCUUUUAUUUUUUUGACAUUUCCGUCAUUUUCUUUUAUUUUUUUAAAACUGAAAAGGCGGUCCACGGGGGGGGGGAGUGCAUUCGGUGGAAUUUCUGGUAACUAGUAAUGGCGCACCACACCCACGGUGCGCCAUUACUAACUUUGAAAAAAAAUUGUUAGUAGGGGCGCACCGAGGGUGUGGUGCGCCAUUACUAGUUAAAACUAGUAAUGGCGCACUAUCCCCUCGUGUGCCAUUACUAGUUUUGAAAAAAAAAUAAAAAAAAUUGUUAGUAGUGGCGCACCGAGGGUGUGGUGCGCCAUUACUAGUUUAACUAGUAAUGGCGCACUAUCCCCUGGUGCGCCAUUACUAGUUUAAAAAAUGGUUAGUAGUGGCGCACCAUGGAUGUGGUGCGCCAUUAGUAUUUGGAGUUUAAUGGCGUACCUACACAUGGUGCGCCAUUAGUAUAUAGCAGUGGCGCACCACAUGUGCGGUGCGCCAUUAAUGUCCAUAUUAUCUAUAGCCCUUUUCCUAGUAGUGUAUAGUCCGGCUGUCCGAGGACCCCCUAAUCGAGGACUCCCUCAGUAGCCCCUGAACCAGGCUUCAAUGACGAUGAGUCCGGCGCGCAGAUUGUCUUCGGCAUUGCAAGGCGGGUUCCUCCUCCGAAUACUCCGUAGAAGAUUUUGAACACAAGGAUCGUGUCCGGCUCUGCAAAACAAAUUCCACAUACCAUCGUAGAGAGAAUAAUAUUUCCACAAAUCUAAUCUGCUGACAACUUUUCAUAACGUGACAUCACACCACGGUCUGGUCAUUAUUCGAACCGUUUUUCUCAACCAGCAACUGCACAUAUUGCGAGGCGGUUUUCUUGGCACGUCUUGUCGAAGCAGAGAUCGUGUCCCCUUCUCACGGGAUUCUCAUAAAUACGGGUGUGGGUAACCCAACCGCGCCAUCAAUUAGGGCGCUUGGGGAAUAAGCGAGUUUUACCAGGCAGGUGGGGAGGCGUAUAGUUUCUUCCGCCUUUAUAAAGGGACAAGGAUUCUUCUUUUUCACCCACGCCUUCUUCCUCCUUGCUCAUCCAUUCUUGCGCACUCGAGCUCCAGCACCCAAGUUCGCAUCUUCUCCUCAAACCACUCCAAGCAUGUCCGGAGCGGGAGGCAAGUGGAUGGUCUCCUCCGUUACGGAGGAGGACAUCACAAAGCUACGGAGAGCCGGAUAUCUGGCCACGGAUAUCGCACACCGGCUGCCAGAUGCGGGGCAGAUCGUCCCUACUCCAGAGCCCCAUGAGAGGGUGGUUUUUCUUACACUUCGGCCGCGGACUGGGAUUUCCCCUCCACCUGUUUGUCCGCGGGCUCAUGUUCUACUACGGGCUGGACUUUCAUGAUCUGGCCCCCAAUUUCAUCCUCAACAUCUCGGCGUUUAUCGUCGUGUGCGAGGCCUUCCUCCGCAUCAAGCCCCACUUCGGCCUGUGGCUGAAGACCUUCAAUGUUAAACCGAAGGUGGUGGUCGGCCAGCAAGCGGAGUGCUGAGGCGCCAUGGUGGGAAAAAUGCCCAACGUCACCAGGCUCGAAGGCUCCUACGUGGAGACCAUAAAGGGGUGGCAAUCGGGGUGGUUCUAUAUCACCGGGCCGCGCGACACCAACUGGGUGGCGGCCCCUGAAUUUCGAUCCGGAAUCCCCAUGCGGCUCACCUCCUGGAAAGAGAAGGGCAUAUCCAGGGGUUCCUCGGUAGAGCUGACCGGACUCCAGACCUGCGUCAAAAACAUGAUGAGCAAGAAAAUUAAGCUCGUCAACGUGGUCCAAGUCAUGCUCUUCUGCCGGAUCCUCCCGUGUCAAAGACGGGCAUUCAAUAUUUGGGAGUUUGACCCGGCCGAGCACCAGACGUUGCGAGAGCUCUUCGACACGACGCACAAGGACGUCUGGAAGGUGCUGUUCAAGGGCGCCAAGGUACCUCCUCCCCUUACCGAGGACCGCGGACUCGGCGCGAAGCGCCCCCCCUGUGAAUUCGGAUGUAACUCUUCGAGUAGAUGAUUUUUCAUAUAAAAAACUUUUUAAUCCGAGUUCGUAUGCAAAAGUUAUGCCCAUUUUACAAAUUCCAGAGAGAUUUUGCAAAUAAAGUCGAAAUUCAAAGUUGUAAAUUUUCCCAACAAGUUGACCACAUAUCACAUGGGAAACUUAUUUUCUUUUAAGUUUUUGACAUUUCUGUCAUUUUCUUUNNNNNNNNNNNNNNNNNNNNNNNNNNNNNNNNNNNNNNNNNNNNNNNNNNNNNNNNNNNNNNNNNNNNNNNNNNNNNNNNNNNNNNNNNNNNNNNNNNNNNNNNNNNNNNNNNNNNNNNNNNNNNNNNNNNNNNNNNNNNNNNNNNNNNNNNNNNNNNNNNNNNNNNNNNNNNNNNNNNNNNNNNNNNNNNNNNNNNNNNNNNNNNNNNNNNNNNNNNNNNNNNNNNNNNNNNNNNNNNNNNNNNNNNNNNNNNNNNNNNNNNNNNNNNNNNNNNNNNNNNNNNNNNNNNNNNNNNNNNNNNNNNNNNNNNNNNNNNNNNNNNNNNNNNNNNNNNNNNNNNNNNNNNNNNNNNNNNNNNNNNNNNNNNNNNNNNNNNNNNNNNNNNNNNNNNNNNNNNNNNNNNNNNNNNAAAAAAAAGUUAGUAGUGGCGCACCGAGGGUGUGGUGCGCCAUUACUAGUUAAAACUAGUAAUGGCACACUAUCCCCUGGUGCGCGAUUACUACUUUUGAAAAAAAUUAUAAAAAAAUUGUUAGUAGUGGCGCACCGAGGGUGUGGUGCGCCAUUACUAGUUUAACUAGUAAUGACGCACUAUCCCCUGGUGCGCCAUUACUAGUUAAAAAAAAAUUGUUAGUAGUGGCGCACCAUGGAUGUGGUGCGCCAUUAGUAUUUGGAGUUUAAUGGCGUACCACACAUGGUGCGCCAUUAGUAUAUAGCAGUGGCGCACCACAUGUGUGGUGCGCCAUUAAUGUCCAUAUUAUCUAUAGCCCUUUUCCUAGUAGUGUAUAGUCCGGCUGUCCGAGGACCCCCUAAUCCAGGACUCCCUCAGUAGCCCCUGAACCAGGCUUCAAUGACGAUGACUCCGGCGCGCAGAUUGUCUUCGGCAUUGCAAGGUGGGUUCCUCCUCCGAAUACUCCGUAGAAGAUUUUGAACACAAGGAUAGUGUCUGGCUCUACAAAACAAAUUCCACAUACCAUCAUAGAGAGAAUAAUAUUUCCACAAAUCUAAUAUGCUGACAACUUUUCAUAACGUGACAUCACACCAUGGUCUGGUCAUUAUUCGAACCGUUUUUCUCAACCAGCUACUGCACAUAUUGCGAGGCGGUUUUUUUGGCACGUGUUGUCGAAGCAGAGAUCAUGUCCCCUUAUCACGGGAUUCUCAUCAAUACGGGUGUGGGUAACCCAACCGCGCCAUCAAUUAGGGCGCUUGGGGAAUAAGCGAGUUUUACCAUGCAGGUGGGGAGGCGUAUAGUUUCUUCCGCCUUUAUAAAGGGACAAGGAUUCUUCUUUUUCACCCACGCCUUCUUCCUCCUUGCUCAUCCAUUCUUGCGCACUCGAGCUCCAGCACCCAAGUUCGCAUCUUCUCCUCAAACCACUCCAAGCAUGUCCGGAGCGGGAGGCAAGUGGAUGGUCUCCUCCGUUACGGAGGAGGACAUCACAAAGCUACGGAGAGCCGGAUAUCUGGCCACGGAUAUCGCACACCGGCUGCCAGAUGCGGGGCAGAUCGUCCCUACUCCAGAACCCCAUGAGAGGGUGGUUUUUCUUACACUUCGGCCGCGGACUGGGAUUUCCCCUCCACCCGUUUGUCCGCGGGCUCAUGUUCUACUACGGGCUGGACUUUCAUGAUCUGGCCCCCAAUUUCAUCCUCAACAUCUCGGCGUUUAUCGUCGUGUGCGAGGCCUUCCUCCGCAUCAAGCCCCACUUCGGCCUGUGGCUGAAGACCUUCAAUGUUAAACCGAAGGUGGUGGUCGGCCAGCAAGCGGAGUGCGGAGGCGCCAUGGUGGGGAAAAUGCCCAACAUCACCUGGCUCGAAGGCUCCUACGUGGAGACCAUAAAGGGGUGGCAAUCGGGAUGGUUCUAUAUCACCAAGGCGCGCGACACCAACUAGGUGGCGGCCCCCGAAUAUCGAUCCGGAAUCCCCAUGCGGCUCACCUCCUGGAAAGAGAAGGGCCUAUCCUGGGGUUCCUCGGUAGAGCUAACCGGACUCCAGACCUGCGUCAAAAACAUGAUGAGCAAGAAAAUUAAGCUCCUCAACGUGGUCCAAGUCAUGCUCUUCCGCCGGAUCCUCCCGUGUCAAAGACAGGCAUUCAAUAUUUGGGAGUUCGACCCGGCCGAGCACCAGACGCUGUGAAAGCUCUUCGAUAGGACGCACAAGGACGUCUGGAAGGUGCUGUUCAAGGGCGCCAAGGUACCUCCUCCCCUUACCGAGGACCGCGGACUCAGCGCGAAGCGCCCUGCCAAUCCGGUAAGUCUUUUAUAUCUCAUAAUAUGUUCAUUUUCCCCGGUUUAACCAUGCGCGGGAUCUAAGGCUCCACGCCAUUUUAACAGGACUGGGUAGAGACAGCGGAGCAGAUCGAUUGUCCAGCCCCCCUGCCCGAAGAUCCAGCAGACGCUCUCCUAACAGAGAUGCUGGUUCCGGCGCCUUACGAGGUAACAAUGAAGAAGGCCAAGAAGAAGGCCACGGGGACCCGGAAGGGUCUCCGACGCAAGGUUAUAUCGGACUCAUCAUCCGAAAACACCGAGGCGCACUCCUCCCACAAAAAUGAGGAGGAGGAAGAGGAAAGUUCCCCCCACCUGCCGGGGGAGACAAGAAAAGGAAGGCCGCCCCAUCCGAGGAGGCCGAAGGGUCCAAGAAGGGAAGGACCCUCCUCUCGAACUGCUCCACGACGGUCGCCUAUAGUGACGACGAGUGGUUGCCCAGGGACAAGCCCCUGGCAAAGUCGUAAGUAUCCGGAUACCAUAAUAAUCCUUGAUAUGUUUUAUUGCACUGCUUCUCAUCAUGCCGAACAUGAUUAUGCAGUCCGUCCCGAGCCCAUAUCGACGUAUCUUGUCGGAUGGUUCUUUGGAACCGUCGGAUCUGAAUAGCGAUUCACUUCCAACCGCUUCCUCCCCUCGCCCUACGGACAACGUCGAGGUGUUGUCUCAAAGGGCACCGAGCCAAGGGGAGGUAGUCCUGGAGGCGCCUCAAGGCGACAUUCCGGACACUGGGCGCAAGGGGAGCAAGACUCCCAUGGGCUCCGAUGACGGGGGCAGCAAAUUCGGCCCCCAGCCGAAUACUGCGCCGGAACCUCCAGUGGUUCCGGACUCUAUCAGGCAACACCUCACUAAGAGGGGCAAGCCGCCUGUGCCGACGGCCUCUGUCCAUCCAGAGGCAUCGGACAACUUGCUGGAAGCGCUUCAUGGCGCUUCCAUCGACGAAGAGCACCGCACUAUCAUGAGUGCGGUGAUCGACAAGGUUCGGUCCGCCAAAAGCGGACUGACUGAAGCAUGUGCCAGCCUCCUAACAGGCUUUGAGGUAAGUAAUCAAAUUAUAAGAAAAUGUUACAACAUAGACAGUAGCCCCUGAUGCUCUGUUUGGCGUUCGCGAAGAAAGGCCGAAUAGAGGAUCAAAUAAUAACUGCAGGAGUCUAAUCGGAAUAUGUCUAUGUGCAUAUGCAGGCUUCAGUGCUAGCCGCUGCCGCACGUACUACAGAGGUCGCUAUACUGAAGCAGGACCUUGAGCGGUCCAAGGAAGAGCUCGGCCUUACCAAGAGGCAGCUCGAAGAGAACAAAGGUAAGAGACACCCCGUCUGUAUAUUGAAAAAUUUGGUUUUAGAAUAAUAAGAUUGUCAUGAAUUUUGCUAGGGGCCACGACCGAAGUGGCGGCCCUGAAAAAUGCGCUAUCCAAGGCCGAAGAUAAAGCGGCUAAGGAGCGCACCGAGCGCGAGAAACAAGAGGCCCGAGUUGGCGAGGUGCAGCAAGAGCUCCAGGCUCUCGCCAAAAAACACGAGUCCUUAGAGCUUGACUCUAAGACGCAAGAGUCCGAGCUUGCGAAGGCCCUCGAAAGCGCACAACAUGCCAAGGCCGAAGCCCAAAAGGCCCUCCAGGAAAUUGAGGCGGUUAAAAAGAUAGCAGCGGGUAAGGCAUUCAUUAUGCAAACCAAGCAUGUGAAGGAAACUUUCCUUUUACUUACCCGAGUUCGGAGCUCUCCAGGAGCGUUCGCAGAUCUGCCCCGCAGUGUGUCAGACACCGCGGAGUUCUACCGGGCUGAGGAGGGGAGCUCGACGGAGAAGUUGUUCUGGUCUCAGUAUACUGGGACCGAACACCCAAUGCCCUUGAGCGACCAGCUGAAGCAACUGGUCGAGCUCCACAAGGCGGCCGAACAUGCCAUGAAGGGUCUUAUAGUCCGGAUGUGGCCUGGCAAGCCCCUGCCUGAUAGCUACUUCGGUCUGGUGAGGCGGCUUGUGAAUGCCUGCCCACGGCUCGACGUCAUAAAGCGGUCCGUCUGCAUCGACGGUGCGCGCAGGGCUUUUGCUCGGGCGAAGGUGCACUGGGCGAAGCUGGACGCCGUAAAGCUGGUGAAGGAGGGGCCGCCGGAAGGCAAGGAGCAUCGUCACCCCGAAAUGUAUUAUGACAGUGUCCUGAAGGGUGCUCGCCUUGUGGUGGAGGAAUGUGCUAAGGAUGUAAUAUGCGAGUGAAUGUACUCAUGUGAUCCUGUAAUAUGAAACGAGUUCAUUUGCGCUAUACCAUGCUUGUUAAUUUAAAAUAUUACCUUCCAUGUGGCCGUUUAUGAAAUCUGAGAGUUGGCCAGUCGUCGGCUUCUGCCCCCAUGUAACUAGUACUGGGGUGUUCGGGAUAAACCUGAGCACUCUUUAUCCCAAUUUUGGGUCCUUCGAAGGAGGUGUUCAGCACAGCGAACCAGGCAAUCGGACUAUAAAGCUUUAUCACUCUCACUUAGCCAUAGAAGUCUACAAUUUUAAAUUUUGGCGAAGCCCCUAGUAUUCGGAGGGCCGAAUUUGGGGCGCUAUAUACGCCUAAGUCGGGCAAGGCCGACUCCUCGCCCGAAGCGGAAGAAGUCUUUAAGGACUUGAGACCUCUCGAACAGCGACCAACUCUCGCCUCACCAUGACAGUCAGUUUUCGGCUUUCUCUACUGAGGAGCUCGUCCGGAAGAACUGGGACACAAUCGCAGUAGUUCUCCCAACGCUAGCUUAGCCGAUAUUGCAGAACGUAAGGUACCAAAACAUGGGAGCCGGGCAAACCCAACUAUUGACCCAAGACAUGAUUCGGAGCUGAUGCAUAUAAUGCUAUAAGUUCAGGGUGCCGCACUGUCGAAAGUGUUCGGACUUCUCACGCCGUAUUAUGGGGUAUAGUGAAACCCCUGACGUACUAGUCGUACUAGAAUGUACGGGUGCAAUCUGUCGUAAUUAAGCAGACAAGAGAGAAAAAAAAGAAAGGGUAAUGCAAUAAUAGGCUAACGCUACGCAUUGUUAUUAAAUAGUACGUCAACGCGUACGGAUACAAGUAGUGCAAUAAGAAAAAAAUAGGGCCAUUUGACAUGCCCUAUCCAAGGGCAAGUUGCGUGCGGGUAUGUAAAAUAGGUAUUUUGAUCGUUAUUAGAGACCACAUGGGGAUUCCCUUGUACGUCAGACCGUCUUGCUUCCUUGGUACUUCUUUACUGCGAUGAGUCCAACGAUUAGACUGCCGGAAAGGGCUUCCAGAGAGCAAGGUCUUGAAAUAGAGAAAAUGAAAAAGGUAUACAGCCCCUGGGGCGGUUGAGCCGCAUUGUGGGACGUGCCGUAUUGGUGCCUCCGCCUAUGCCCAUGGUAUCUUGAGUGCGUAGUUAUGUACGCGUGGCACAGAUUUCGCCACUUGACUGGGACUAGGACGGAGGCCGAAUUGCUAGUCGAGCCUCAAACGUGCCUGCCGAUCCGCCUGCGGGGUACUCCGGACUCGCUUGAAGGUGUCCGGGGUCUUUUCUGCCGAAUUGUCAGCUUGCCUAAUAAGGCUGCUUUGCGCUUCUGCUGCGAGAGCCGCAGUGUGCUCCUCCGUGCGGAGCGAGCGCUCUGUGUUUCCAUUAACUGUUAUAACCCCGCGUGGUCCUGGCAUUUUGAGUUUGAGGUAUGCAUAAUAUGGUACCGCAUUGAAUUUGGCAAAUGCGGUUCGUCCGAGCAGUGUGUGAUAGCUGCCGCGAAAGGGGACGAUAUCGAAGAUUAACUCCUCGCUUCGAAAGUUGUCCGGAGACCCGAAGACCACUUCCAGUGUGAUUGAGCCCGUGCAACAUGCCUCUACACCUGGGAUUACCCCUUUAAAGGUGGUUUUUGUGGGUUUGAUCCUCGAGGGAUCUAUGCCCAUUUUGCGCACUGUAUCCUGAUAGAGCAGGUUCAGGCUGCUGCCACCUUCCAUAAGGACUCGAGUGAGGUGAAAUCCGUCGAUGAUGGGGUCAAGGACCAAUGCGGCAGAUCCGCCAUGACGGAUACUAGUGUGGUGGUCCCUGCGAUCAAAGGUCAUCGUCCUGGGAAUUUCUUCGUCAUCCGCAUCCCAUUCUAGCCGGACAUAGUUCGGCCAAGGUUCUCCUGACAAGGAGAGGGACCUUAAUGAUUUUAGCACAUCACCAAAAGGCGAGUACUGAAAGAUAUCCGCAGAGAUAAACACCAUGAUCGGUGCCCAAUCGGAUUCGAUAGGCACGGACGCAAGCGGCUCGGAGCCCGUGGCCGGGGACGAAUCCAACGGUUCGGCAACACGGCUCUCGUAGGAGGUGAAGUCAGUAUUCGGCUCUAUCGCCACUGAGAGUGUGGCCUCCGUGGCGGGGUCUAUCCACCCUUUCUCAGAUGGCGCAAUUUGUUUCGGAUUGAGGGCCGGAGUAGUUGCAGGUGUGAUCUCCCGAACACUGUUCGACGGCAGAGUUAAGUCAUGCUUGUCGUGAUUGUGCGGCGCACCUGACAUGGGCUCGAAUCCGUCAAAGAUCAAGUCUCCACGGAUGUCGGCAGUAUAGUUCAAGUUUCCAAACCUGACCUGAUGGCCAGGGGCGUAGCUCUCGAUCUGCUCCAGAUGGCCAAGCGAGUUGGCCCGCAGUACGAAGCCGCUGAAUAUGAAGAUUUGUCCGGGGAGGAAAACCUCAUCCUGGAGUGCAUCGUUGCCGAUGAUCGAAGGAGCCAUCAAGCCUUACGGUGACGGCACAGUGGAACUCUCAAUGAAAGCACCAAUGUCGGUGUCAAAACCGGCGGAUCUCGGGUAGGGGGUCCCGAAUUGUGCGUCUAAGGCGGAUGGUAACAGGAGGCGGGGGACACGAUGUUUACCCAGGUUCGGGCCCUCUCGAUGGAGGUAAUACCCUACUUCCUGCUUGAUUGAUCUUGAUGAUAUGAGUAUUACAAGAGUUGAUCUACCACGAGAUCGCAGAGGGUAAACCCUAGAAGCUAGCCUAUGGUAUGAUUGUUGUUGUCCUACGGACUAAACACUCCGGUUUAUAUAGACACCAGAGGGGGCUAGGGUUACACAAAGUGGGUUACAAGGGAGGAGAUCUACAUAUCCAUAUCGCCAAGCUUGCCUUCCACGCCAAGGAGAGUCCCAUCCGGACACGGGACGAAGUCUUCAAUCUUGUAUCUUCAUAGUCCAACAGUCCGGCUAAAGGAUAUAGUCCGGCUGUCCCAAGACCCCCUAAUCCAGGACUCCCUCACCCCCGUACUUCUCACGUGGGGGCAGAAACCGACGACUGGCCAACUCUCAGGAUUCAUAUAUAAAACGGCCGCGCAGGAGUAUAAACUUUUAUAUAACAGGAAAUAAAUAAUAUAAAUGACCUUGUUCAGACAUUACAAAGGACAACAUGAUUUGCAUUCAUGGAAAUAUAAUGUCCUUGUUGCAUAGCUCCGCUGCAAGGUAGGAUCCCUUCAAGACACUCUCAUAAUAUAAUUCGGGCUUGCGGUGCUCCUUCCCCUCUGGCGGCCCUUCGGUCAUCAGCUUUUCAGCAUCCAUCUUCCCCCAGUGCACCUUUGCGCGGGUGAAGGCCAUUCGCGCACCCUCUAUACAGACCGACCGCUUGAUGACAUCAAGUCGAGGGCAAGCACUCACAAGCCACUUCACGAGCCCGAAGUAGCUGCUCGCAAUCGGCUCGGCGGGCCAUAGCCGGAUAAUCAAAUCCUUCAUGGCUAGUUCCGCCGCCUUAUGCAGUUCGAUCAGCUGUUUCAGUUGAUCGACAAAAGGCACCGGAUAAUUCGGUGCCAAAUACUGCGACCAGAAGAGCUUAUCCGCAGUGUUCCUUUCUUCGGCUCGGUAGAAUUGGGCGGCAUCCGAUAUGCUGCAGGGCAUCUCCGCAAAUACCCCUAGAGAAACCCGAAUUCAAAAUUAGAAACAUAAUUUUCACCUCAAAUACUUGCUUUACAUGGAAAAAGCCUUACCCGCCGCAAUCUUCCUCACCUCUUGGAUCCCCUGCAGGGCACUUUGGGUUUCCCCCCGGGCAUCGCUCGUGGCCUGAUGCGCCUUGGUGAGUUCAGAUUCUUUCUCCGUUAAACUCUGCUCCAAGGUCUCGCAUUUCUUCACGGCCUCUUGUAGCUCCUGCUCAGCUUUAAUAACCCUGGCCUCGUACUUCUCACGAAGAGCCUGCUCUGUGGCUGCCUUUUUCUCGGCCUCGGCCACAACCUUCUUAUGGGCCUCGACUUCGGUCACCUUCCCUAGCGCAAAUCAUGAAGCCUAUUUCAUCAUACUGAAAAUUCAUUCGCAAUAAACGCGAACAAGACUUGUGCAUACCUUGUUUAUCUCCCAACUGCAUUUUCAACUGGCCAAGUUCUUCUUUAGCCCACUCCAGACUUUGAUUCAGUCCGGAGAUCUCUGUAGUAUGAGAGGCAGCAGCCGCUAUAGACGCAUGCUUAUAACAGAAGAGAAAUAGAUGUCAUUCAAUGAGUCUUGCUGAGAACAUAAAUUUGAUCCUCUGUCCGGCUUUUUAUUUCACCGAACAGUGUAUCAGGGGCUACUAUCCAUACCAUGACACUCUUCGAAACCUCAUACAACAUACCUCAAAACCUUUUAUAAGGCUGAUACAGGCUCCAUUCAGUCCACUCUCAGCAGACUGAAUCUUCUCAAUCACCGCACCCAUAAGGGCACGGUGUUCAUCGACGAUGGAGGCGCUCUUCAGUGCCACCUACAAAGCAUCCGACACCUCUGGUUGGACAGAGGUUGCCGGUAUGCCCCCUCCAGCUAAGAGAGGCUGCCUGCCUGAUUCUGGAGCCGUAUUGGUCUCCGGAACUGCAUCUGGCUGGGAGCCGAAUUCAAGAUGGCCCCCGCCGUCAGCUCCCAUGGGAAUUUUCUCCCCCAUGUGCCCGGCCCCUGAAGUUUGACCUCCAGGCGCCGCCUUCACGGUCUUCUCCUCUCCUCCUUGGCCGGGGUCCCUCUGGGACAAAGCCUCGGUGGUAUUCACCUAUUUGAAGGAAGGGGCCUUCGGGGGCGUCUCGCUCUCCAUAGCAUCCGAGCUCAGUGAAUCCUCUGAUGAGCAUUGUUCGGUACGGGACCUCGCCGGACUACAAAAAUAUGGCUCAGGUUAAAAUACUAUGCCAUGACGAGUCUUGACACAUAAACGUAUUCGGACUGUAUAUACUCAGGAGUUCACCAGGGGCUGGGCCCUGGGAUCCCACGCCGGGCCGCUGUCGGCGGCGGCAGUGGACUCCUCCGGAAGAGGAGCUUUUCCCCUUUUAGGCGACUCGGCCUCCAAGUGUGCGGAGGCCGUCCUCUUCUUUCUUCCCCACGCAGGGGAUUCAUCUUCCUCCUCCUCCUCGUCCUCUUCGGAGGCGGAACGGGCGUCAGAGCCUUUGGAUAUUGUGUCCGAAGUGCCGCGGGGACGAAGGCCGCCCCGGGUCUUUUUGGCCUCCUUCUCGGCCAUCUUCUUUGGCACCUUGUAAGGCGCCGGGACCAGCAUCUUCGUCAAAAGUGGGGCGGCCGGUUCUUCGGGCAGCGGGGCCGGACAAUGGAUCCGCUCCGCCUUCUUCGUCCAGCCCUAGGAGAGUUGUGGAAAACACAUUAAGCGCUUCCCUUGGGUUAUGCGGAUAAAAAGUACGAUGACUUACCGAACUUGCAGGGCGGGACAGUUGGUACCCGCGGUCUUCGGCGGAGUCCGGCCAUGAUUUGCUGGACUUGAAAAGCACCUUCCAGAUGUCCUUGUGCAAGGAGCCGAAAAGCUCUCGUAGGGUUUGGUGCUUGGCCGGAUCGAAUUCCCAUAGAUUGCAAGUCCGGUGUUGACAAGGCAGGAUCCGGCGAACUAGCAUCACCUGGACUACAUUGACAAGUUCAAUGUUCUUGUCUCCCAUAUCUUUAACGCGCGUCUGGAGCACCGAUAGUUUGUCGGAAGAGGACCAGUUCAGGCCCUUCUUGACCCAGGAUGUAAGCCGCAGGGGGGCACCGGAUCGAAACUCAGGAGUAGCGGCCCAUUCCGUGCCGCGCGGCUCGGUGAUGUAAAACCACUACUGUUGCCACUCCUUGACGGAAUCGUUAAAGGUGCCUGUUGACCAUAUGACGUUGGGCAUCUUGCUCACCAUAGCGCCCCCACACUCGGCGUGCUCGCCGCCCACUACCUUGGGCUUCACAUUAAAAAUCUUCAGCCAUAAGCCGAAGUGUGGCGAGAUGCGGAGAAAAGCCUCGCACACGAUAAUAAAUGUCGAGAUGUUGAGGAAGGAAUUAGGGGACAGAUCAUGAAGAUCGAUCCCAUAAUAAUACAUGAUGCCGCGAACGAACGGGUGGAGGGGAAACCCUAGCCCGCGGACGAAGUGAGGGAGGAAUACAAUCCUCUCGUGGGGUUCCAGAGUAGGGACGAUAUGUCCCGCCGUCGGGAGACGAUGGCUGAUUUUCUUGGCCAGAUACCCGGCCUCCCGAAGCUUUUUGAUAUCCUUCUCCCGGACGGUAGAGGCCAUCCAUUUGCCUCCUGCUCCGGAUCCGGACAUUUUCGGAAGGCCUUUGUGGGCAGAGAAUAUGAACGCUUGGGCGCUGGAGCUCGGGCGGAGGGGAAUGGAUCGGGAAGAAGAAAGCAUGGGUGCGGAAGGGAGUCCUUAUCCCCUUAUAAAGGCAGCAGGGAUUCUGCGCCUCCCCACUUGCCUGGUAAAACCGCUUAUUCCCCAAGCGCCAUAAUUGAUGGCGCGGUUGGGUUACCCACACCUGUAUUGAGAAUCCCAUGAAAAGAGGGACACGAUCUCUGCUUCGACAAGACGUGCCAACAAAACUGCCUCGCAACACGUGCAGUGGCAGGCGCCGAGAAACGGUUCGUCAUGACUAGACCACGGCAGAACGUCACGUUAAGAAAUGUGUCAGCAGAUUAGAUUUGUGGAAAUAUUAUUCUCUCUACGGUGGUAUGUGGAAUUUGUUUUGCAGAGCCGGACACUAUCCUUGUGUUCGGAAUCUUCUAUGGAGUAUUCAGAGGAGCACUACAAAAAAAUACACUUCCGUGAUGAUACGUGUUUGUCACAGUAGGUCGCGUUUUUUGUCAUGCAUGUACAUCCAUGACAAAUUUAUGACAGAAUCAAGAUAGUCAUACCUGUGCUGUCGUAGAAGUGUUCCAUGACAUUACCAAAAUUGUCAUCACGGAAAUGUCCACUUCCAUGACGAUAAAUCGCGCGUCACAUAAGUGCUUUCGUCAAGGGUGACCGACAUGUGGCAUCCACCAUAACGGAACGCUGUUAAGCUUUCGGGUCGGGUUUUGGAUCCGAUAACCCGUUAACAGCGCCGACCAAUGGGGAUUUUCCACGUGUAAAAUCAUCAUUGGCUGGAGGAAACACGUGUCGGCUCAUCGUUGGGACAGAUGUCAUCCACUCAUUGGACAGAAGGCGCCUAUGAUACGUCGACACGUGGCACGGCCCAAUAGAGGCCCAUUCCUGUGAAAAGGCCGGCCCAUUUGACUUGGUCAAAAGGUGGCAGGCCGGCCCGUGGAAAGCCUGUUAACGGCAUGUUCGCAUAUAGCCCAUUUACAGCCCGCUAACCCAAGGCCCGUUACGCCCUAUCCGAAUUAGGCCCAGUAGCGUCAUCUGGGCCAUCCAAUAUGAUUCCAGCCUGUUUUCACUUCUGGCCCAUGUAUGGCCCAUGACGUCUUUCGGCCCAUAUGAGGCCCUAUGUAACUCUUGGCCUAUUAACGGCCCGUGGUGAAACUGGCCUGUAAUGAACAGUGUAUCACUUUACACCCAUUAACGGCCCAUGGUGAAACUGGCCCGUAAUGAACGGUGUAUCACUUUAUACCCAUUAACGGCCCGUUAUUCUGUUGGGCCGUUUCCAGCCCAUGUUAUCUUUCGGCCUUCUCAGAGCCCAUUUAUUCUUGGGCUCAUUUCCAGCAUUCAUUUACUUACGGCCCGUUACUGUAAUUUUCUGCUUGUGGGCCAAAUUCAGCCCGUGGUUACAGUCGGCCCGUUUGUGGUCCGUUAAUACGUUGGGCCAUUUUCAUAGCGUCAUCAAAUACGGCCUAUUAACGAUGGCCCAUUAUGGUCGGCCCAUGAACGGACGAUUCCAACUCUAGCCCGUUUACGGCCAUAAUGCGGUCUGUUUGGCCCAUGUUUGGCCAAUCGAUCAUACGGCCCGUAUAAGGCCCAUUGAUGAUACGGCCCGCGAAAGGCCCAUUGUUUCUACGGCCCGUAGAAGGCCCAUUGUUUCUACGGCCCGUAGAAGGCCCACUGUUUCUACGGCCAGUAGGAGGCCCAGUGUCACUACAGUAAAUAUUAGCCCAUGGUUAUUGUGGCCUAGUUUUAAAAAAUAGGUUAUUGCAGCCACUAGCUAACCGUGGAAAAAGAACUGCAAUGACUACAAGCAAACAAAUAAACAAGACAACAAGGAAAUAAAUAAGCAAGCAACUAACGCUAGGCUAUCACGGCUAUUACACAUAUUACAUCCACUGGGCAUCAAAGUUCGCCACCAGUGCAAAUAUAGGGAACAAAGCAGCAUAUCAUAUACACUGGUUGUCAAAGUUGGCGACCAGCACAAAUAAACGCCGCAGCAAAACAAAUCCAGAACUGAAACCACUUCAGAAGAUCUCAAGAAACAAUAUCCUGGGUACCCAUAAUGCUGGCAAGAUGCUUAGCAAGCUUAUUAACUUUCUCUUGUUUGGCGCUUAAAUCCUCCAGCGCUUGCUGUUGCACCAGAAAAUAUGCAUCUGAAUUCUGCAGGGACUUCCUCAGUCCUUCAGCUUCCUGUCGUAGCACAUCUGAUCGAUGUCUUUCAACUUGAAGCUGAGACUCAAGAAGAUGAACUGAUUUUGGCAGCGAGUUCGAAGAGCUUGUGCCAGCAGUAGUGGCCAGUAACUCGAACACUACAUCAAGACAGGACUUCUGGGUUCCCUCACUGUCGUCAAGAUAGUUUUUAUCAGCUUUCUUGGAGACCAACAAGGAUGUCUCACUAUCUUGAACCUUAUCUGCAUUACUUCCUUUACCAUUGGAUAACGCGGUACUGUUCUCCAAUAUUUUGUCCGCAUUCUAAAAGAGAAACAAGCAGACACAUCACAUGUUUACCAUGUUGUAUAUGAAACUCAUUUUGGUAAAUGAGUUCAGUAGUAAAGUGGACAGGAUAACAAAAUGAAACAAACAUAUAUCUAUGUACCAUGGUCACUUUAUGGUCUAUAUCAUUCUAGUUUUUGUUGCCAAAUCAAGAUAGAGACACAGUUCAAAUAAUAUUUGUUCAAGACAAAGCAGA